UUGCUCGCGGGCAAAAGAUUCCUCUCUUUUCUGCUGCUGGUCUCCCUCACAAUGAAAUUGCUGCUCAGAUUUGUCGUCAGGCUGGCCUUGUGAAGAGAUUGGAGAAAGGCAAGCAUGCAGAGGUAGCUAAUGUCCUAAUUACAACCCCAUGACCCCAUCCUCCACCCAAAAAAUCUCUAUUUUCCAAAAUAUUAUCAAAAAUGCAAGAAGUUAAAAAAAAGAAAUCUAACAUAAAGAUGAACUGGCUUAACAUUUUAUAACCUGAUAUGAAUUCUGCUCUUAUGUUGGCUCAAGUUAGUUAUGGUAUUCCUGACAGUUUUCCAUAUCUCCCAUUCCUUAAACUAAGCUAAUAGUUUUUAUUGGUCCUAUUGCACUUAUUUUCUAUUUUCUGAGGGCAACAUUAUAUGCAGCACAGCAUAUUAAUUUAUGCUUUACAUGUUCAAGUAUGGCUCAAUUGCUGAUUCUGUUUUUACAACCUGCAGGGUGGUGAAGAUGACAACUUUGCUAUUGUGUUUGCUGCUAUGGGAGUGAAUAUGGAAACAGCCCAAUUCUUCAAACGUGAUUUUGAAGAGAAUGGCUCCAUGGAGCGGGUCACCCUUUUUCUGAAUCUGGUACUUACAAUGAUUUGUGGUCUGGAUUCAUUUAUCAUUUUAUUUCUGCUACAAGAGUGCUAGUAUCGAUUCUCUAACCAUUUAGAUGCAUUUUUACAAAAGCUUGAACCUACUUAAUGACAACCAAACAUACUUUUAGAAUUGACCUAAUUAAUGCCUAGCAAAGCAUAUUUUUAACGCCCUUCUCCUGUCUUACAGGCCAAUGACCCUACCAUCGAACGUAUUAUCACCCCUCGGAUUGCACUAACAACAGCAGAAUAUUUGGCAUAUGAAUGUGGGAAGCACGUGCUUGUCAUCUUGACAGAUAUGAGCUCUUACGCAGAUGCACUUCGUGAGGUAUUGAGAUUUAUUUUGUAUCAUGUCUUGUGUUGUGAAUUCAUAUGGAGUACUGUGAAUCAUAAGUUCUUCAUUGCAAAUACUUCUGCUUUUGUUGCAGACUCGAUUCACUGAUUUUUUAAUUCAUUGAUUCACGAAUUAUGUAGUGACUGCACGGGAAUUUAUCAUCCAUGUAAUUGCAGCAUUUGUGCUGGAAUGAACUAAAAGAAAGCUACAUGUUCUCUUGGUCCCACAAAUCUUUUAGAAUUUUUUGAGUGUGCAUUAUUUAACACUGUAAAUGGCUAAAUGGAUGCUUGAAAUAUUCCUUGUUGUCUUCUGAUCGUAUUUUGUAGUUCCUCAUUAAGAACCAAGAAUGCUAUUGUUUUAGUCUUGCAUGUCCCUUUUUAUAUGUUUAAUGUUUGUGCCUAGCUAAUAAAUUGGUUAGUUGAUGUAAUGUGUUUAUAAUGUUUAUAAUGGUGUUGUGCUUAUUUGUAGGUAUCUGCUGCCCGAGAAGAGGUGCCAGGUAGGCGUGGUUAUCCUGGGUAUAUGUAUACUGAUUUGGCAACAAUAUAUGAGCGUGCUGGACGGAUUGAAGGACGAUCAGGGUCCAUUACCCAAAUUCCCAUUCUAACGAUGCCUAAUGAUGGUAAGUGCUGAAAUCAAUUGCUUUGUUAAUCUUUGUUGUUAUACUAUGCCUUAUCCUUAAUUCCUCCUAUUGUCAAUAUAGGUUUACUUAGGUUUGUCUUUAGUUAAACCUUUUAAUUUUGACCAUCAAUAUCUGAAAGUUUAUAUAGAUUUACUGCACAAGAUUGACAUUACUAGAUACAUUAUGAAAAACACUUUGAUAAUUUAUAACUCUUUUCAUUUAAGAUGAUAUAUAUUGCUAGUCAAAGUGAAAAAAGGUGAUUUGGCAAAAACUUACAUGGACUUAUAUUUGUGAUCAGAGGAAGUAUUGUUUUUGUACAAUUGUCAUCUAGUUCAGCAUGAAUUAGUUUUUGCUUGUAUUGGCCUAUGAGCUGAUUGCACAGCCUGAUAUGGUGCAGUCAUUUUCGUCUGAUCCAAUAGAUCAAUCUUAAACUACUUCUGGUUGCAUUUAUAUUUAUCAUUAUCAUGCAUUUCACUUUGUUGGCUAUUUAACUCAAAUAUACCAUGUCUUCUAAACAGAUAUCACACAUCCGACUCCUGAUCUUACGGGAUACAUUACCGAGGGACAGAUAUACAUUGAUAGGCAGCUCCAUAACAGACAGGUGCUUUUACAUGUUCUUAUUUUGAGUUCUCAAAUGUUACAGCUUCACAAGGGGCAACUCUAGAAUUAGUUGUAACUCAUCUAGCAUUUGUUAAAUAUUGUCUCUCAUAUUGAUAUCUCAAGAAAAAAGAUGUAAAAUAUUUCCUUUUUACUUUAAUAUUUGAUAUAUCUUGAUCUGAUGGCAUUAUAUUACUUUCAGAUUUACCCACCGAUCAAUGUCCUGCCAUCUCUCUCUCGAUUGAUGAAGGUAAGAAAAGUUUCCUGUAUGCUGUCACUCUGUCAGCAUUUAUACCGAAGGUUAGUUCUAAGAACCACUGAAUAACUCUUGCAGAGUGCUAUUGGUGAGGGUAUGACGCGUCGGGACCAUUCAGAUGUAUCUAAUCAGGUGCCUAUUUUGAGUCCAUAUUGGUAUCUUCCUUCAAUCUAUGAUGUACACGACAAAUUGACAUGUACCCUUCUGUUCAGCUUUAUGCCAACUAUGCAAUUGGAAAGGAUGUUCAGGCUAUGAAGGCAGUCGUUGGAGAGGAGGCACUCUCAUCUGAGGAUCUGGUCUGUUGCGAGUGUAAUAAAUUUCAUAAGCUGGUGUUUUUUGAAGUCCAAAACCUAAUGCUCUAUCCUUUAUAUCUUGCACAGCUUUACUUGGAGUUUCUCGACAAGUUUGAGAGGAAGUUUGUGGCACAAGGAGCAUACGACACGAGGAACAUCUUCCAGUCCCUUGAUCUUGCAUGGACAUUGCUUCGUAUCUUCCCUCGCGAGCUUCUCCACCGUAUUCCUGCAAAGACCUUGGACCAGUACUACAGCAGAGAUGCCACCCACUGAUUGUUGAUCAGGGUCCCAAUGUUUUGGCAAGUGCAGCUUUGAAUAAAUUGAACAGAUUGGCCUUGUGGCCAUUUUGCUGUAUUUAUCUAUAGUCAGGUCCAAUUCUUUUCCGUUGGUGAGCGCAAGUUAUUCGUAGAUGACUCUCGGUCACGGCGACAUUUGUAAUAUUAUGUCAUGUAUCAUCGUUAAAUCACACACUUGAGUUAUUUGUUUCACCUGCCAGAACUGUUAGCAAGAGCAUUCUGGGCCAGGAUGUUCGAACGCACUGGUUGUAUCUACAAUUUGUGAAUGAAUAAAGGAAGGGGAAUAAACUGCUGCGGAACACAUGCUGCCGAACAUUGUUGAUUUUCUUGUUCUUUUGCUAUUUUUACUACAGGUUCUGCUGAUGCUCGUAUAAUGUGUAUUAAGGCAAUCCGAGGGCUCGAGUUUCAACUGCUGCUCCAUCUCAAGUAACAACUCACAAGUUGGUAUUUGUGGUGGAAUUUCAAAUACUUGCGUGUACGGCACACGGUGACUUAUUUAGCGUGUAGAGGAGAAAAAUGCAUUUUCUUGGGUUAGCAACCAAAUUUAAUCAUAGAGGAUGUUGGGUCGGUCGUUGCUGUCAUUUGGAUUUUGGCUGUGCUCUCAUUUUGGGUUGUUGGUAUGCCUUUAGGCGCCAUACCUUUUACCUAAAUGUCUUUACAAAUUCUUGUGUCAUGGUAAAAGUAGCAUCAAAACUUUGUCAUAGUUUUCGUGCCCCAAAAAUAUGUCUAUUAAGGCAUUGAAAUAGUAAUUUUAGACCAAAGACCAUUGGCCCUGCUUAUAUUGAAAGCAAACGAGUUUGCUGGGGUUGCCAGCUUACAAGAUAGAGUCCAACUUAUUCUACUGAAACGAGCCAGUAGAGAUCUCAACCAUCCAUCUACUCAGGAGACAAAAGUAAAAGCUAAUUAACAACUCGUCUUCUCCCCCACAACCUAGAAGGGAACAGAUUUUUUGCCCUGAAAUCCGAUCAGCUUCUUGCAUCGACGUCUUCAGUAGAUCACCUCGCCGUCCACAUGGGUUAGAUUUUCUCCGGUUCUUGCCUUAGUUUCUGCAACAAAUCUUCCCGCUUUGCUUGCUCCUCCAUGGACGCUAUCUUGCUCCAAUGCUGCAGGAAACCAAUGGUUUUGUAAGCUAGAACCUUGGAGUUAGCUAUCAGUAUAUUGGAAAACCCAAUCGUUCCUAGUGCGCCAAAUCGCACAGCUCACACCCGCAAAGGAGAUACAACAUCAGUUCCCCCCUCUCCCAAAACCCCCCUCUAGCCUAUGUUCUGCAAAAUCACUAAGGACUCGUUUGUUUCCUUAGAACUUUCUUGCUCUUUUCUUCCUUGGGUCUGACCUACAAGCAAAGAUGUAGGCUUCCACGUAGGAAAGAGCCUUGACAAUUACUGCCAUGCUCCUUUCCCUUUCCGCGUCUCCACAUCAGAUGGAAUUGGAAUUAAUUUCCAGGGUUGGCCUGUUUGGUUCCAUCAAGAAUUAGAAAGGGUCUUUCCACAAGUUUCCAACAUCUAAAUCAGAAGCGUGCGAAACAUUCCGAGUCUAAAUCAGGAAAUCGUUUCCCCCGACUCCCCUCUCCCCCGUGCCGCCACCCCCGACUCCCCCGAGCGCUGCGCCACCGCCUCUCGAGCCACGACCCCCUCCUCCACUUCCUCCGCCGCCCCCUCCUCCUCCGCCCCCUCUUCCUCUUCCUAAGAAGGCGACGUCGAGGAUCUUUAGAGCCGGCACAGAGUGCGCCACCCGUGCUGCUCCUCUGCACGAGCAGCUUCUCGCCGGUGACCACACGCCACGUGGUGAGCCCGUGCUCCUUCCCCCUCUCCCUCCCUCUCUUCCUCGUCCACAUACACAACAAUUUCUCUCCUAACCCUAACCCUUGACUCGAUCUGUUCUUUUUUAGAGGUUGUAGAUAGAUCUGAGGGAAGGGAAGCAUCGAUAUGUUCUUUUUUAGAGGCUGUAGAUAGAUCCGAGGGAAGGGAAGCACAGGGACGGGAGGAGGAGGAGCUCGGCCGCCAUCCAUUUUACUCACUGGAAGAUCGACGUGCACCACCAAUACUCCUGCCUUGGUGAGUCCUACCUCUCUUCCUCCCCAUGUGAGGCAGCAAGUUAGUAGCUUUAGGCAGCGAGUUAGGCAGUGAUUUCUUGAAUCAAAGUAUUGUGGAUGAUGUGAUUCAUAACUCAAGAUGGAUCCAUGGAUUGUAUGCUCUUUACAGUUAAUUCUGAUUUUUUUUGCUCUGUUCCUGAAUACAGUGUGCAAUUAAUCUUAGGUCUUUGCCCUGAAUCAGAUUGUUCCUGAAUAGAGGUCAAGUUUCCAUAUGAAAACAUCUUGGAAUAGCUAACAUUACUAUGGCUUGUCAAAUAAAUCUGUAGGUCUACUAGAAUCAGAAUACUAGGAUGGGUUAAUCCAAAGAGUAUAUGCUAUAAGCUCUACUAGUAUGUUGUCCUAUAAGCUCUGUUGACUGUUUUUCUAUACAUGCACAUACUGAGUAGGUUGCAUAUAUGCUAUGGUAUGACACUAAAUCUGAUAUGGCAAGUCGUAAAAUACUAAUUCCUUUGAUUUUGCUGUUAUGAACUGUUAUGCACAUACUGAGUGAAUUAUAUAUGCACAUACUGGGUGAAUUAUAUAUGCACAUACUGAGUGAACUGGCAAGUCUUAUAUAUGCAUUUAUUGAGUGAGUUAUAUAAACUGUUAUGAACUGCAAAAAUGAAAAGCAAAGUGACAGGUAAAGUAUAGGAUACCCUUGCACUGUUUUUAUGUUCAAGCUAGUAAGCUUUUUAACAUUGCUUAUAGUGCCCUGUUCAGGUCUCAAUUUGUGACAUAUGGCCUGUUUAGAAUUCUUAGUUCACUAGUAGUAUAUUUAUUUCUGUUUUGAUCUGGAUCAAACUGUUUGUGACAUAUUUAUUUCUGCUUCCUGGUUGAUGGCUGCUUCCUGUUACUACUAAUUUCCUGGUUGAUGGAUGCUUCCUGGUUCCUAUCUUCUUUUUUUGUGCGUUGGCCAGUAGAGUGCUAUGUUAUGUUUGGUUGUUUCAAUUAAUACAAGCAUUCCUUUUUGCAUAUCUGCUUUAGAUGUCUGACAACAAUAUAGACUUGGUUAAUACAAGCAUGGAACAAAUGAGAGAGCGUAAGAAGAAGAGAAAAAGAGUGGCUGUUUUAUUUGUUUCUGCUGUCAUGAGCAUGAUUGUGCACUGGUAUCAACGUAAGAGACCUAGACAUAUCGUUGCUCCGGAUGAAAUGGCUGAGAGAGAUGUAGCUAAAUGGAAACAAAUGCUAAGAAAUCUGUACCAAGGAUCAAAUGUCUAUUGCUAUGAUAGUUUGCGCCUAACUAAGAGAUCAUUUCAUGACCUAUGCGCCAUCUUACGUGAGAUAUGUGGUAUGUGUGAUAACUUGAAUGUGUCGGUAGAAGAAAAUGUAGCAAUCUUUUUGCUUAUAGUGGGUCAUGGCAGUAAGAUGAGGAUGAUUCGUAGUUCAUAUGGAUGGUCACUUGAGCCAAUCUGCCGUCACUUCAAUGAGGUGUUGAGAGGUAUUCUAUCAUUAUGCCAUGAGUUUAUCAAGCUUCCCGAUCCAUCAGCUGUACAACCUGAGGAUUCCAAGUGCAAGUGGUUUGAAGAUUGUCUUGGAGCAUUAGAUGGUACACACAUUGAUAUUUUUGUGCCUUUGGUUGACCAAGGGAGGUAUAGGAAUACGAAGUAACAGAUUACCACCAAUGUUUUGGGGGUUUGUGAUCGUCACAUGAAAUUUGUUUACGUCUUAGCGGGAUGGGGGAUCGGCUUCAGAUUCUCGUGUGCUACGUGAUGCAAUGUCUCGGGACGAUGCAUUUGUUAUUCCAAGUGGGAAAUACUAUCUAGUAGAUGCUGGAUAUACUAAUGGAUUGGGUUUUAUUGCUCCAUAUCGGUCCACUCGCUACCACAUGAAUGAGUGGGUACUCAAGGGCAUAACCCAUCCACUGCCAAAGAACUAUUCAAUUUGCGCCAUUCAAUAGCUAGAAAUGUGAUAGAGAGAACAUUUGAGCUAUUGAAGAUGAGGUGGGCUAUACUAAGAAGCAACUCAUAUGUUGACUUAUAAAAUCAGGUAUUCCAUAGUUAGUAACCUAGCUUGAAAUUCAACUCUGAAUAACCCUAGCAUGUAACUCAUUUCUACUAAAUUCUUGCAGAUUAGGAUCAUUAAUGCUUGCUACAUAUUGCACAACUUUGUAAGUGAUAGACAGAGAGAUAUGGAUGACUUACUUAUACGCCAAGUUGAUCAAGUAAUAUCCGUUGAAUCUCAUGAAGUUCAAAGUGAAGUGGGUAUGAUUACCAAUGUUCAAUCAUGAAAUGAAUGACCAAUUUUAGGGAUACCAAAGCUAACCAAAUAUUUGCUGAUUACCAAGCGAGACAUGGUCAAUGUAUGAUAAAUUCUAUCAUCAAUGCAUGCUCAAAUUUAUGAUAAAGAAUAUUUUUUUGUAGAUUUGGUUCCUAAUAUUUUUACUGAUAACCUUUGUGAACUUUUUUCCUAUAGGAUAUGGAGAAGGGCAAGAGGUCAGGCUCGGGCAGGGGUUACAUUUCUUGGAAUGAUGACAUGGACAAGGCUCUUCUUGACACAUUUGUGGAGUACUAUAACUAGGGUGACAUGUGCCAAAAUGGGUGGAAGUCUCAUGUCUAUACAACUGCUAUCAAGAAUGUCCGAGAAAAGUGUAAUAUGGAUAUCACAAAAGACAACAUCAUGUCGAGGAACAAGACCUUUGACAAGCACUACAUUAUCAUCAAUGGUAUGCUGGAAUCAAGUGGAUUUGGUUGGGAUUGGAACAAGAACAAAAUAUCUAUUGAUAGUGAUUCUGUAUGGGAAGCAUAUGUGACGGUAUGUUUCAAAAAUCAUUGUUUUACUUGCUUAACUUGCUUCCUGCACAGUUUUUUGUAGUUUGACUGCCUGUCUUGUAGUCAGAUGCUUUGUCCUUGAUGUUAAAUAGGCAUUGUCUUAGCUGCUGGAUAAACGUAAUUUGGACAUGUAUCUACAUUGUGUAAUUUGGACCAGGGGUAUCAAGUUCUAGUAGAUGUCAGUUAUAAUAGUACAGUUUUUGUGUUGAAAGUCUGUAACAUGUCAAUAGCAUAUUCUGUUAUGCAUAUCAUCAAUCUUUUCGUGUAUGUGUGUGCUUGCUUCCAUGUUCUAGAAGCAGAAAGAUUGAUGAUAUGCAGAAUAGGAUGUUGAGAUUUCAUUUUGCAAUUUAGCAGGAAAAAUGGAUGUUUCCUUUCUUCUGCAAUCACAUUUUACCGUGUUAAGUUUAGUCAAUGACAAGAAAAACACUUGUUCAGUUCCAUGAAUGCAAACUUCAUCAUUGCUGCUGAAUCUGGUUGCAUCUGAAUCUAGUUGGUGUCAUGCUACAUUGCUGCUGCAAUGCUGUGUCUAAUCAGAUAUCCUAUUUGGUUGUUAUUUCUGGAGAUCUUUUGUCCGUACCAUUUGAUGUUUUAACUCAGCUACUAACUUGCUUUACACUUGUUUUCUAACCAAGUAUAACACUUAUUUUUUUGUAGAAAAACAAAGAAGCUACUGGGUACAGGCACAAGACUGUCUUGUAUUGGGACUCAAUUAGCUUGGUGUUGGGUAAAGACCAUGCUAUAGGUGAAGCGGCAAAGACUGCAGCUGAGAGCUCAAAAGACAUGAGUAAGGAAGAUCUUAGCAACAAAGAGCCUACAUCAUCGGCAACUUCAGGAAGUUUAAAGAGGCAACGGUCAGGUCACUCUUUUACCUCUGUGAUGGCUGAAAAAAUGGACAAGUUUGCUGAAGCACUCAAGGAGGAAGCACCUAAAGGCCCAAUAUCAAACGAAAUUCUCAACACACUGAAUGAGGUAGAAGGAUUGGAUGAAGACACUUUGUUGGACCUAUUUGAUAUCCUGACUGGUGAUGCACGCAAGUAUGAGUUUUUGUUGACGCUUCUGGUGGGGAUGAGGAAAAGGUGGCUCUUAAAGCAACUCAAAAAGUGAUGCAUGCUUAGAUGCUAAUUACUAUCACUAUGCUCAUUAGUCAUGUCAUUUUGAGUGUGUAUCAUCAUAAUGUAUGACUUUGUUUAGACUUUAGACCAAGUUCUCUGUGUUCCUGACUUGGUUUUCUGUGUUCUCACUAGUCAGGUACCAUGAGCUUUUUUUCCAUCCUUGCACGUUCCUCAUUCUUGUCUCUAUGUUAUAUCUAUGUUCCUGUGUUACUGACUUGGUUCUCUGUGUUAUAUCUGUGUUCUCCGUGUUCUUGACUUGGUUCUCUGUGUUCAUGACUUGAUUCAGUGUGUUAUAUCUGUGCAUGACUUGUUCUCUGUGUUGUACUGGCUUUGAAUACAGAGACAAUUCAACAGGAUGAGAGAGUUGUGCUAGUAUCAUGUUGUUCCAUUUGAAUUUCUAAACUUAAAAUGAUUCCAUAUUUAGCUUUCCAAACAGGAUAUGGAAUUUGAUUCAUGGAAAAGAAUUCCAUCAACACACAAACAAAAAAAAUUGAAUUAAUCAAAUUCUGAGCAAUUAAUUUCUGGUGGAAUCUAAUUGCUAGAAUAUGAUUCAUAGAAUGAGUUUCAAUUCUAAGGAAACAAACAGGCCCUAAGGUUAGUUGGGAUGGACUCCCACCCUAAGCUAUCUCUAAUCCAGCACCAAACAAAGGAUGCCAGGGGGCAUCUGAAAAUAAGGUGGUCGACAUCCUCCCUUUCCUUGCAGAGCUAAAACUCCUCUGGGCCAUCCCAAUUCCUCCUUUUCAAUUGCAUCGCUGUUUGUAGCCUGUCGUGCCAAAUCAUCCAUAAGAAAAUUUGGAUUUUAAGGGGCAGUCUCAUAUUCUACAACUCCACCAUUCUCUGGUCUACACACCCAGGAUUAACGAUGAAUCUGUACAAUGAUCUUGUGGAGAACUUCCCUUUUCCUUCUAACAUCCACACCAUUUGGCCAUCUCUAUCUUGCAGAUUUACCUGUUCCAGAUCCCCUCUCAUACUAAUCCACUCAUCCCUUGUCUCCACAUUUAAACUUCUUCAACAUCUGAGAUGCCACCCUUUCUGCUCCGUCACUGUUAUGUGUUGGUCACUACAUAUUUUGAGUAACUGGGGAAAUUUGAUUUUCAGGGCACAGUCUCCUCUCCACACAUCUAGCAAGAAUCUGGUUUUCGCCCCAUUGUCGAUUUUGAUAGUUCUACCAUACUGGUACCACUCUCCAGCCUUUUGCAGGGCUUGCCAGAAUUGUGAUUCCUCUGUUUGUGACUAGGAGAAAACCUUCCUAUCCUAAGUAUUUCUUUUUCAAUAGCUGGAUGCAUAAGCUAUCAUCUCCACUUUCUAUCCGGUAUAUCCACUUGGCUAGCAGCCCAGCUCCCCAAAUUCCUUGGGUUUGCUCGGGGCUUCCCACUUCACCAUAUGGUACUUUUUCUUGUUCCCCACACCCUGCCAGAAGAAUCUCCCCCUGGUCGAGUCUAGCUUUUGAUGAGUCCCCUCAUGUAACCAAUACAACCCCAUCAUACACAUAGGAAUGCUUGUCAGGUUUGUAUUGAUCACGAUGGCUUUUCCCCCGUAAGAAAAAGAGCCCACAUUUCCAGGUGCCUAGUCUCCCCUCCACUUUAGUUGUUGGCCCGCUCAUCUUAGCUUUUGAUUAUCUCAUGUUACUGACCAGGAGCCCUAAGUACUUCAUUGGCAAAAACCCCAUCUGACAGUUGAAGGCAUUUGCAAUUUCCUCUUGCUCCUGUUUCUCCACACCCACCACAAAUAUUUCACUCUUGUUGUAAUUUAUUCUCAUACCCAACAUUUCCUCAUAGCAGAACAAUAGAAAUUUGAGCAUGAUGAUACUGUUCUUGGUUUUUUUAGGAACAUGAUGGUAUCAUCUGUAUAUUGUAGAUGUGCGAGACCCCCCUCCACUAGGUCCGGCACCAACCCUUCAAUGAGGCCUUUCUCUUUUGCACGAUUAAGCAUUUCUGAGAAGGCAUCGCUCACCGGAUUAAACAACAGCGGUGAUAGUGGGUCUCCCUACCAGACCCCUUUAUAGCUUCUAAAGCAUCCCCCCUCUCUCCGUUUAAGUUGAUUGCCACUCUACCCCCUGUCACUACCUUCAUCAUCCACUCCACCCAUUUCUUAGGAAAGUUCUUCCCCUUCAUCACCCCCAUCAAGAAGCUCCAAUCUACUUUGUCGUAUGCUUUCUCAAAAUCCAGUUUGAGGAUUAUCCCCUCCAACUUCCUAACUUUCAAGUGCUGUAGAACUUCAUGUAGGACUACCACACCAUCCAGAAUGUGUCUUCCAGGAAUGAAUGUUGUCUGACUUGCUCCUACCACUUUGCUUGCAACUUUGGUUAGUCUGAGUGUUAGUACUUUAGUAAUGAUUCUGUAUAUUAUGUUCAGGAGACAUACGGGUCUGAAUUACUUGAUAUGUGGUCCCCGGAAUGAGGGUGAUUACACCAUAGUUUAGUCUCGAUAUAUCUAGCUCACCCUUGUGAAGUUUCUCGAGCAUUUUCAAAAUGUCACCGUUUACCUGCCCCCAGAAUUCUUUGAAAAAUAUAACAGAGAACCCAUCAGGGCUGGGCUGUGUUGUUUUUCAUAUCCUUAACUGCGUUUUCCAGCUCCACCAUUGUAGAUGGUUUAAUUAAGUCAAAGCUUGUCUUCUUCUUGUAGUUUGCCAUUCUCUCCCCAGAAGUUUUCUGCCAAGUGAACUUGUGAUGGAUCUUCGCUGCCAAAGAGGCUUUUUUAGAAAUCUGUCACAUAUUGUUUCAAUUGCUCAGUCUCUGUGAAUAUAUUCCCCCCUCUUCCAAGCUUUUGAUAGUGCAUUUCCUCUUCGUCCUAUUUGCUAUUUCAUGGAAGAACCGGCGGCGGUCGCUGCACCAGACCUCGAAGGACGGGUGGCCGCAGGGUGAUGAGGUCUGGUUGCCGCUGCCCAGCCAGAAUAGAUUGUCCUCAAGCUUGUGUCUAGCCCUCCACUCUUCUGCAGACAAUCCUCUUUCGUUUGACUCCACGUCCCAUUUUUUAAGUUCCAGAAUGAUGUUAUGUUUUGCCUUCCUUUGAUCACUACCCACAUUUGCCCCCCACCCUUUCAACCUCCUCUUCAACAAUCCUGAGCAUUGGUAUUGGUGUCAGUGAUCUAAAACAUAAUCUUUCAUCCUGCUAGGCCACUUAGAGAUAUAGUAAUUUAACUAGCAUAUAGUAUAAAUAUCAUUAUUUCAAAUGCAAAAAGCUAUACAUUAUGAAACUAUUCUUUAAGAUGAAGCAAGUAGUAUAUCAAUCUUAUGUUGUCAACUUGAUCUUUUGUGUCUUGAUAAGUAAAGCUGGAAAUGUUUGACCAAUAGCACUAAUGUUUCAUCAUUCAUCUAAUGGCCUACCCUAGCUUUUAUCUGAUCGUGAGCAUGUGAGGUCUGAGCAAAAAUAUCAUAUGUUCACUCAAGAAAUUUUUCAAAAGUAUCACGAUGAAUAACAUCUUAAUUGAAAAUCUAGAAAAAAUUAGUCAUCGUAGCUCACUCCUGCUGGCUGGUUAAUUCAACAAACUCCUAUAUUUGAUAAGAUAAUCUAGAAAGUUUAUGAAUCGCAACACAUUACAGGCAUGUCGGAAACUGAUUUUUACAGGAGUUUCACAUGGAAACACUUGCAAUUUCACCAAAAUCAGAAAAAGUCUAAAUGGACCCAGCUUUGAAAUAUGCAGGCGUUUACCUAAUUUAAUCAGUUUUCUUUUACCAGGAAUGGAAUAACCACUGCCCCCUCCCGGGCCUCGGGCCGCGUGUCCCCUCUCCGUCUUAACUACUCGCACUUGCCCACCGGGCACCGCCUCCCUCGCCCAUCCCACUCCUUUCCCCGCCCCACGCCACCGGCCCCGCACCCAUGGCGACCCCCGGCCGCGGCCUGCGCCCCCGCCACCUCCUCAUCUUCCUCGCCGCCGCCGUGCUCUACGCCGCCUCCUCCCCCGCCGGCGCCUUCUACCUCCCCGGCGUCGCCCCCCGCGACUUCCAGAAGGUGAUCGACCGACUCAUUCCCUGGCUUCUCGCCCGCAUGUUUCUCCGCUUCCUCUACCUGUCGGAUCCAGCGCUAGGUGUUCCCCUCCGGCUUUCAGUGGCCGCGGAUCUGGCAGUGCUGGGAGGAGCCGCCUCAGAUCUGGCUUCCGGGACGCGCGGGGCGGGCGGUGGGUGUGCACGUGGUUCAGGGUUUAGGGAUGCGCAGUGUCAUAGCAUUGGUGUGCACGCCUGUUCUGGGCGUGGAGGAAAAGUGAUGCGGCGCGCAAUGCUCGCAUCCUAUCUUUGAUCGCGCACGUUUUGAUUUGGGGCCGGAGAGCGUUGGGGAGUUAAGCUCUUCCGUUCCUUGCGUGGCCCCUGAUACUGAUAACAUGUUUUUCGUCAUGCGGUGAGGACUGUAGUUUUGCAUUUUGCAUAGCACGAUGUAGUGGUCUUGGGAAUAACAGCAAUUUCUGGUAAAUAUAGAGCUUCUGGUGUUUUCAUGUUUGAGUUCAUCUAUUUCUGUGAAUUGUGAUACUGUAUACAAUGCUGUGGUUGUAUAGGUUACUGCUUGAUUUUGUUGUCAUUUUGUCUUUGAUGAGUUGUGUUUAAGUUGGCCUGUUAGCUAGGUUGGUGUAUGGGAUGGAAUAGAUCACUUGCCACUCACAAGUCGUCACCAAUUGCAGUUUCCUUCAUUCAGUUUCAUGACUUGGCAUUUGAGUGGCAUGUACUUGAGGUUUCAUGAAGCAUUGCCUUUGUUUAAUUUUCAAGGAUUUAGCUAAAAUCUGUAUGAUUAUUGCUAACUAGCGAGUAGACAAUUCAUUGCUAGCAAACAUGCGUAAAUUCAUGCCUUCUCGUUUUGUUGAUACAACUUUCAUUCUAGUCAUUGGAGUACUUGUCUGAUCCAUUGCAAGCUGGUUGAUUCCUGAUCUCCACUGAUUAAAUGUUUCAAAAAAAAAAAAAUCCACUGAUUAUGCUGUAGGGAUGAUUGUCAUUUGAUCAUAGAAGUGGGGACCCAUACUGUCUAGAAUAUAAAUAGAAUGCCAAAUAAUUAUUCUAAUAUUAAUCCUUUCUGACCAUUCACUGUGCAGGAUGAUGAGCUUCAGGUGAAAGUCAACAAGCUGUCAUCCAUAAAGACACAGCUCCCAUAUGACUACUAUUUCCUGGACUACUGCAAACCUCAAGCGAUUAAGAACAGUGCCGAGAACUUGGGUGAAGUCCUUCGUGGGGACCGCAUUGAAAAUUCUGUCUAUAAUGUAAGGACAUGAAACCUUUUGUUUUGUACUAGUUCAAGUAAAAAGAAGGGGGAUUACUUGAUAAAAAUACAAAAUACUGUGCGAAGCUGUCUGAUCAACAGACAUCUCAUUUUUUUAAUUCAUACAGUUCAAGAUGAGGAGGGAUGAGAGUUGCAAGGUUGUUUGUCGAAGGAAGCUUUCUCAAGAAGCUGCGAAGAAUUUCAAAGAAAAAAUCGAUGAUGAAUACCGAGUGAACAUGUACGGUUUUAUGUUAAAGCUGAUACUUUUUUUAAUUGUCCGUAGAACAAUGUGACCAUCUAGUAAGUAGAAUAUAGAGUUUUUCUGCUUCAAAUUUGUGCACAUGAGAUUUAUCACUCUAUUGUCUUGCUGUCAUUUGCUCGUUCGACUGCCAUGUCCAUGAGAUAUUGACUGGAAGUUUCUGGAGUGUCCUUGAAUUAUCUCAGUAUGUGUUUCUUAUGUUCAGUACUGUGCCUAACUGAAUUUGUUUUGUUUAAAAACUUGUGCAUGUUAGGAUUCUAGAUAAUCUCCCAGUUGUGGUACCUAGACAGACACGGGAAGGAAGCCAAACACCAAGCUUUGAGCAUGGUUAUCGAGUUGGUUAUAAGGUGAGCAUAACAAAUUUAUGCCUCAUAAGUUGAACAUGAACUGUUAAAAUUUUUAUUGGAGAACUUAUUUGGUUUGAAUGAAAUAUUACCAGCUCAAGGAUGACAAGUAUUAUAUCAACAACCACUUGAGUUUUAAAGUUUUGUACCAUGAAGACCAAACUUCUCCAGACGCUCGCAUUGUUGGCUUCCAUGUGAUUCCUAGCAGGUAUGUCAUAUUUCAUGAUCUACAACUUGCAUAGAUGUUUGGCACUUACAUUUUCUCCACGUCUGUUUCCACUAUUUUGUUCUCUUUUUGCUUACAGUUGGCUUCCCACUUUCAUCUCCACAUCUUCUUAUGAACGAUGAAGUCAUCUAUAUUUGAUUACUUCUUUAUUCUCGUUUGUUACAGCAUCAAGCAUGAAUACGGUACCUGGGAUGACAAUAAUCCCACAGCGCAAACUUGCAAUGCUAACAUUAAGAUUACACCUGGUAGUCACACUCCUCAAGAGGUGGCUCCUGAUGCAUAUGUAGUAUUCUCUUAUGAUGUUACCUUUGAGGUAUAGCUCAUUUCUCAAAGAUUCUCUCACUGAGAUUCUUGUUCCCCCAAUUUUGAUUAAUUUUGAAUUACCUACUGCAGGCAAGUGAGAUCAUAUGGGCAUCUCGCUGGGAUGUCUACCUUCUUUCUAGCGAUAGCCAAAUCCAUUGGUUCUCAAUUGUUAACUCAUUGAUGAUUGUCCUAUUCCUUUCUGGUAUGGUGGCCAUGAUCAUGAUGAGAACUCUUUACAAGGACAUAGCAAACUAUAAUCAGCUUGACAAUCAGGAUGAGGCCCAGGAAGAAACUGGAUGGAAGUUAGUGCAUGGUGAUGUAUUCCGGCCUCCUGUCCACUCAGGCCUCCUUUGUGUUUACGUUGGUACUGGCGUGCAGUUCUUUGGGAUGACACUAGUAACCAUGAUGUUUGCGCUACUUGGAUUCUUAUCACCAGCAAACCGCGGAGGACUCAUGACUGCUAUGGUCCUUUUGUGGGUGUUCAUGGGUGUACUGGCAGGAUACACCUCGUCUCGCCUGUACAAGAUGUUCAAAGGCACUGAGUGGAAGAAGAUCACCCUCAAAACUGCCUUCAUGUUUCCUGGAAUUAUCUUUGCGCUCUUCUUCUUUUUGAAUGCCCUCAUCUGGGGUGAGAAAUCAUCUGGCGCAGUUCCUUUUGGAACAAUGUUUGCUUUGUUCCUCCUAUGGUUUGGCAUCUCUGUGCCGCUGGUCUUUGUUGGAAGUUUCUUGGGAUUCAAGCAGCCAGCCAUUGAGGACCCAGUGAAGACAAACAAGAUUCCCAGGCAAAUUCCCGAGCAAGCAUGGUACCUGCAGCCAGCUUUUGCUAUACUUGCUGGUGGCAUAUUGCCAUUUGGGGCUGUCUUUAUUGAGCUCUUCUUCAUCCUGACAUCCAUCUGGCUGAACCAGUUCUACUACAUCUUUGGCUUCCUCUUCAUAGUCUUCAUCAUCCUCAUUGUGACCUGUGCUGAGAUCACGAUUGUGCUAUGCUACUUCCAGCUAUGCAGUGAGGAUUACCACUGGUGGUGGAGGGCAUACCUGACUGCAGGCUCAUCAGCACUCUAUCUGUUUGCUUAUGCUAUCUUCUACUUCUUCAACAAGUUGGAGAUCACGAAGCUUGUCUCAGGCAUCCUGUACUUUGGUUACAUGCUGAUCAUCUCUUAUGCCUUCUUUGUGCUGACUGGUACCAUUGGCUUCUAUGCCUGCUUCUGGUUCGUGAGGAAGAUAUAUGCUUCUGUGAAGAUUGACUGAUUGAACUACUGUCUAGAGAAACUUAGAGCACCUUGUUUCCAAGGUUUUAUUUCAAGGUCGCGCAUGGUGCUGCUCGAUUGACAUAUAGAGGAAACUGGGAUUUGAGAUGGGAUUCCAUGGUUUUGGUAGAGUAUGUGUAGUCCAUUAGGAGUAAGAACUGCUGGAAGUUAAAGUGAGAUCUUGAUACGUGAUGAUCAGCAUGGAUUUUGUACCUUUAAAGAUAUUGAGUGCUGUCUUGUAAUAUGCCUUAUCAUGAUUUUCUUUGCAUGUUCCACCACACCACGUGUGCUGAUAUUGUGCUCCAGAAUCCAGAUCAUAGCUGAACAGGUGGUCAAGCUUUCUCACCGGCUUGUGAGUUUGAAAUCUCGAUGCUGUUAAUUUCUCACUAGUAUGUUUGCUGUUUUGGACUUUGGUCAAGCGGCCCUGCUAAAACAUUGGUGGUUUUAGAUUGCUUCCUGUUAUGUGGAAGGUGUCUUUGCAUGGGCCAGUUAGUAGUCUGUACUUAGUAGACAUUUCUUGUAGGAUUUGAUUUUGGAGUUAAAAUACGAUUAUGCACUGAUUGCUGUUUUCACAAGAUUCUCGACUCGAGUACUUACCCUGUUCAUCAUGCAGGUUCUUUGGUUAAUGAUGUUUCCCCCCUUGUGAUUAUAAAUAUGGUUAAUAUUAUUGGAUACAUACUCCCUCCGUUUCAAAUUGUAAUUUAUUUUGGUUUUGUAAUUCAUAAAUAUUAUUAUGCAUCUAUAGAGUAUGUCUGAUGCUAAUGCAUAAUAAUAUCUACGAACAUAGAAAAACUAAAAUGACCUACAAUUUGGAACGGAAGGAGUAGCAUGUAAAUGAAUUUUUUUAUUUUUUACCUUUUUUUCAAUAUAAUUUUAAAAAUAAUACAAAUAUUUCUAAUAUAAUUUUAAAAAUAAUCCCUUCGACGAAUAUUUCCAUUCGGUGACCCUUUUGGUCGUGCCAAUCCGCGUGGCGUGACAUGAUCAAUUUGUCGCGCCACAUGCCUUGGCACGACAAGGCCAUCAUACUGGCAGGAGCCGAUGAUAUGGAACACUUCUGUUACACCAAUGCAUGUGGGUAACGUGAUUUUGUCGUGCCAUCAUGCCGUGUGACAAAAUGUGCUCAAUUCAAUUUACCCACUUUGAACCAUUUAAAUAAAAUAGACUUUGAACUAUUUAAAUAAAAUAGUAUUUGAAUUUCAAAUAUUACGAAACUUUGUAUGCACAUUGUACAAUGUGUAAAUACAUUUUAGUAGCAUGCAUAAGGUCAAGAGUUACAUAUUUUAAAAUCUAUAGUUUCAAACUAGGCUAUAUAUUAUCCCUAUAUCCAUAUUAGGGCUCCCGUUAAAUUUACCCACUUUUGAGUCAUCUUAAUAAAAAUAGUAUUUGAACUUCAAAUGUCAUGUCACAAAACUUAGCAUGCAUAUUGUAUAAGGUGUAAAGAUACCAUUUUAUUAACACCCUCAAGGCUAAGUGCUACAUAUUUUGAAAUCUAUAAUUUCAAAGUAGGCUAUGUAUUAUCCCUUUACGCUUAUUACGAAUAUACUUUGCAAGUGUUAGAAAAAUAAUUUAACUUUGCAUAUUUUCUUUCCAUAAAUUUAAUUAGUUAAUGGGAUCCAAAUAUUUCCAAACUCUGAUGAGGCUACAUAUAUCACAAUAUACAUGUUUCAUUUUAACUGCAUUCAAACCAUCACCUAUUAUACAAAUUGAUCCUAUUCAAUUGUAAUCGAUACUGGAUAGAUCGGACCAUACGAAGCUUAUGUCAUAUAAUGCUUUUUUGCACAUCUUUCUUAUAUUGAUCUACUAUCUUGGUCCAGACCAUAUUCCCAUACCUUAAUUAAUAAAGUUAAUUUGGGAAUCUCAGUUCAUAUAUUGUAGCUAUUGAAAUGAGAGUAAAAGAACAAGACAAAAUUGAAGAAUGUAUCUCGAUUGUUUUAGUGAAUAAUGUGAUUACAUAUUUAUACGUAGGGAAAGGGUGUGGCCAAAGGGGUGAUGUCCUUAUAGAAAGGUAUCUCAUGAAUAGACAUACAUGUUCAUGGACACGUGUCUAUGGACUAACAUGUGUAGAUGGUGUAUCGCGUGAUAAGAAACUUGUCGACCUAUGGCCCUUGAUGUGGGGGAGCAUCACAUGCCUUGCAAACUAAUUAUAGUAUUAUGUUAUGAUUUUUAAUCGAAGAUGUCUCUUCAUAUGAAGAGAGAAUAGUAUAAUCUAUAAUGUAUAGUAUUAUUGUGUUGUUUCUUAGUAAUAAAUAAAUGAUGUCGAAAGCUAAGAGUGAGGGUAAUGAUUCACUACUUACCUACUGCUCUUUAGGUGGUAAUUUUAGGCCCGUUUGGUAUGGUUUCAGUUUCACUGAGAAAUGUUUCAUAUUCAGUUUCUCUAUAGAAGUGUUUUUCAUAUUCAGUUUCUCUAUAGAAGUGUUUCUCUAGUGAAUCAGAAUCAUUUUGUGAAAUCAUUUGGCUGGUUGGAAAGAUUCUUGUUCUACCUCGUUUUCUUUGAAAAUUCAUAGAAACAAAUAUGCUUCAAAAAAUAUCAAAAAUGGUUUGUGUGCGAGGAGGAUCUCAAAUAAGAUCCAUUUUGACUAUAGUUUCACUUAUAAAGAAUAAAUAGUAAAAGAUGACCGCUACAAGACUAGAGAGAUGGUUGGAAACGGUGAAUCAGAAUCAUGCGAAAAUGAUCUGUGGCCGUUUCACGCUCCUAGGCAAAAAAGAGAAACGUUUCAAGUAAGUCGUGGGUGAAAUGUUUCACCUUUUCACCAUUUAGCAUAUAUUUUAGUGAUUCUCCGUAGAAAUAGAAACGUUUCUGCUAGCCAAAUGCACCCUUUGCAUCUUUCAUGACACAUAAGCUUUCAGGGAAUAGCUUCCUAAUACAUUGUAAAGAAAGGAAAUCUAAUUAAAAUGGGACAAAUAUAUCUUAUAACAUAGCUUUAUUGGAGUUUGGGGCUACUUAAUUAAAUUUAAGGUAACAAAAUAGGCAAAGUCAAAUUAUUUUUCCAACACUUCCGAGCUGCCUUAAGAGGAAUAGAGGGAUAAUACAUAACCUACUUUGAAAUUAUAGAUUUCAAAAUAUGUAGCACUUAGCCUUGGAGGUGUUAAUAAGAUGGAAUCUUUACACCUUAUACAAUAUGCAUGCCGAGUUUCGUGACAUUUGGAGUUCAAAUAGAUGACAUAAAAGUGGGUACAUUUAACAGUAGCCCUAAUAUGGAUAUAGGGAUAAUACAUAGCCUACUUUGAAACUAUAGAUUUCAAAAUAUGUAACUCUUGACCUUAUGUAUAUUACUAAAAUGGAUUAUUUACACCUUGUACAAUGCGUAUACAAAGUUUUGUAACAUUUGAAGUUCAAAUACUAUUUUAUUUAGAUGGUUCAAAGUGGGUAAAUUGAAUUAGGUUCCUUUGUCACGCCAGGCACGAUGGCGCAACAACAUCACAUUGUCGUACCACAUGCAUUGUGUGAUAGGAGCAUUUCACAUCAUCGGCUCCUGCCAGAGGUGGCCUCAUUGCGCAAAUGCAUGUGGUGCGACAACGUGAUCCUGUCACACCACGCGGAUUGGUGCGACUAAAAAGGUCACCGGAUAGAAAUACUUGUUGGGAGGGGUUGUUUUUAAAAUUAUAUUGAAAAAAGGAUUAAAAUUAAAAUAAAUUCUAACUAUUGUUCCUGCACCAUGAGUGAGUGCACGCCGCCCUUUUGGGCUAAUUCAACUUCAACACUCAAGCCUCGUUUGGCAGAGCUCCCAUAGCUGAUUCUUUGUUGAAUCCAGCAGGAGCUCUGCCAAACAGUUUUUCAGAGAGAAGUGAUUCUCUGCUGAUCCUGUGAAGUGAUUCUCUAAGGAUGGGGUUGAAAAAAGUAGCUUCUCCCGAUUUUGUGAAGUAAUUCUCCAUCCUGAUUUUAAGAGUUUAUGCUAUAUAAUUAAAGAGAAUCAUUUCUAUCAAAAAAUCAGAAUCAUAUGAAGCUCCAGUAAAUAAGCCCUCGUAAUAGCGUAUACGUGGUGUAGGCGUAGCACAUAUGGCAUUCUACAGGCACUGAAACUUGGCCCAACGCGAACGAAAAGGAGCCUCCCUGCUAUUCAGCACUUGCGCGUCGAGUGGGGAAUGCACGCGGAAAACUGGUAUCGAUUGCCAGGCGUGCCGCGUGCAUAUGACACACUCUUAAGUUGAGACUCGAGAGGCACCUUUCUUAUGUGAAGAUAUGCAAGUAUACAUGUGUGGUCGACAAAACGAUCGACAGAAAGUCAUUUGGACUCAUGCGGACACAUAAAACAGUUUUUUACCAUAAUUGGAUGUCUUGAACUUGGUAACAAUUAGAGAAUGACAAACAUCCUUCUCAAAAGAGCGAAAAUGACAAAUACGGAGAAAGUAACAUGCGAAUCAGUCGACAUUUUGUACAAAUUUUAUGAACGGAAGCUCUUACGUGUUGCUUACUAAUAUUACUUUUUGCAAAGUAGAGAGGUCAUUUCAUAUUAAGCACGUGCAACAUCACGUGUGAUGAUAUUGAAAUACAUCCACUCUUAUAUAGUACACCCUCUUAGUACAUAAUUAGGAAAACGAGACAUAAAAAAGAAAAUGGAAAACAUAUUAGGAUAUAUGGAUGGGAUGUUACGACGCUAUCAUAAGACAUGCAUACACAGAAGAUAAAGAGUAGCCACCAGACAACUAGUGCUACCACAUUAAGUGGUGAGCACCAUGCCAUGUGGCGUUCGCGUGUUAAAGAAGAUGGAGAUUGCUAUUGUGCAAAUUUAUGUCAACACACCAAAUGCGUUAGAUUGUGCGGUCGUCGAACAUCACCUCGUGGAGCCUCUGCCCUCGAUCGGUCACCGAUAGAGGAAGCUAGUUAGACUGGUUUGCGUAGAAAUGCAGGAAAAAAUCUAGAAACACUACCACGGGAGGGAUCCCGUCAAGGAUGGCGCGCCUAGGGUUACUCUGAUGUUGGCAGGCCACUCAGAGCUUUCUCAGCCACUGUGGAGAUGAAGGAGGGAAGUAAAGGUACUAUUGAUUGAUCGAUUGGACUAACUCUCAAUCCGCCGUGGCCCUUCAUAUUUAUAGGGUGGGAGGUCCUGCCCUAUAAGGAAAUCAUUAUACAAGUCGUGAUCUAAAAGGAUUCCUCAAAUCCACUCGGAUUAGGGAUGAACCGCUUUGCAAACCGAUCAGACCGGUCAGUGUUGCCGGAUCGUCUAUAGCCCCCCUCCCCGAACGGUCAGACCGCCUUGACAAACAGGUUAGACAGGUUGGCCUCGCUAGGUUGACUUGGUGCUAAUUUUGACCACUAACACAUGCCCCCUGUUUUUAAAAGCAUGCGUACCAUAAAACAUAUUAAGAUAAAAAUAAGCGUAAGGGCGAUGCUCUCUACAGAAUUCAUCGACCAUUUAUUCUGAGGAUGAUAUUUGAAGAUACCGGCCAUGUAGUAUUAUGUGUCUUGCCGUACGCUUGGAUAGUAUCUUAGUAUUUCCCAUUAAGUGCUCUAAGUAGCAGCUGACCUUGCAAUGUAUCCACCGUACGCUGUGUACCUUCUCCGCUCUAUUUUUCAGUAAUAUAUUUGCUUAGGGGAACUGCCCCACAGUUUGCCUUUUAAGAAAAAUGUAUCCACCAUACAAGAAUUCCCAAAGAAUGCUUUUACCACCUUGUAUUGCCCUUCCCAACUUGGAGACCGUUUGCCGAACUUAUUACUCUUUGUCCUUAUAGGUAGAAUUAUCUUCCAAACCAGAUCACCAACUUGAAAUUUUUUUGCUUUUACCUUCUUAUUAUAUGCUUUAGCAACUCAAGCUUUAUCCUUCUCAAUCUCCUUCAAAGCUUCUAAUUGCUUGUCAGUGACCUCAUCAAUAUUAUCCAUCAUUAAUUAUGAUAAAUAACAACAUUAAGAUCAUUUUGUUUAGCCAAUCUAUAUGCGCCUAGAUUCAUCUCAAUGGGCAAAAUGACUUCUUGAUCAUACACAAACUCAAAGGGAGUAACUUUAGUAGCAUCAUGUCUAGAAAUAUGAUGAGACCAUAAAGCUUCAGAUAAUACCUCAUGCUAACUCCUAGGAUUUUCUUCUAUUUUCUUCUUAAUGAGCUUAAUCAAUAUCUUGUUACUAGACUCAGCUUGACCAUUUGCUUGAGCAUAUUAUGGAGAUGAAUUGAGCAAUUUAAUACCAUAAGAUCCAACAAACUCACGCACCUCUUUAGAUAUAAAUGAAGUCCCAUGAUCCGUAGUCAAAGUUUAUGCAAUACCAAAUCUAUGCACAAUAUGUUCUUUGAUAAACUCAAUCACCUCUUGAUGUGUUAUGUUCUUGAGGAGAAUUGCUUCAGUCCAUUUAGUGAAAUAAUCAAUAACCACUAACACAAAACAAUGUUCCUUUGAUGAAGAAGGAUGGAUUUUAACAACAAAGUCCAACCCCCAUCCUCAAAAGGCCAUGGCUUGAUAAUAGGAUGCAUUAACGUAGCGGGAACCAUCUGAAUGUGCCCAAACUUCUGACACUCUUUAUAUCCUUUGUAGUAGCCAAAAAAAUUAGCUAUCAUAUUAGGCCCAUAAAAGCAAGCCAGCCUAAGGAGCCACUUCAUCUUGGGAGCCAACUGAUGCGUAACACAAAUACCUUUAUGAACCUCUCCCAUAGCCACUUUAGCUUGAUUAGAAUCCAAACACUUCAAAAGCAAAUCCUUGGUGGUCCGAUGAUAUAAUUCACCAUCAACUAAAGUGAAUUUGAAUGCCCAUCAUCGGACUUUUCUAUCAACUGUGCUACUAGGAUUAUGCAAAUAAUCAAUAAAAUAUUUUUUCCAAUCAUUUACUUCAUCCUCAAUAGCUUUAAAGCAUCCAAUGGCUGAAGUAAGAUCUCUAAUAGGUAAACUAGUCAGACCAAUCUCUAGGACGGUCAGACUAGUCGCACACCUGUCAGACUGGUCUGGAGGAAGCAGUCUGACCGGUUCCUCCAGGACAUAACCCUUAGCCUCGCUAAACGUUGACUUUCUUUCACAAAAAUUUCUUUUCUGAGCAUCAUUGCCAGACACUGCGUCAGAGCAUUACCCGUCGGAUUCUUAUCUCUUGGUACAUGAUAGAUAGUAAAUUCAUCAAAGCAAGAUAUGAUGCCUAGGCAUUUAUUGUAAUGACCUAAUUUUAAUUAACUUGUUGAGCAUUGCAUCAUGAGCAUCAUUGUUUGCUAGUAUAAAAAAAAUUUGUUCUUGUUUGAACGCAUUUGCAUUUUUACUUGAAUUAUUGAAUAGAGUGGAAAUGCAUGCCUUGUGAAGAAAUUUUAUUUUUCCAGUAGGACAUAUGUUCAGUUAUAACUUGGUACUUCUUCCUCAAAUCUGAAUUUAGAUGAUUUUUCCCGAAUUUUAGGAAUCCAUCUUGAAGCCAAACAGCUCAGCCGAAAACCCAAAAAUAACAUUCCGGUAAGAAUUUUCAUUUCAAAUCUACCAUAGCUUUUCUUCUCAAUUCAAGCAAAAUGGGUUGCUUUUGAUUUCUUGUAUCAACAUAAUUUUUGGUGGAAUUUUUGGAGGCUUGGAAGAUCAAGUUUGGAGUAUGGAGAAAGAGAGAAGUUUCUGUGCAGUGUUCCGCGGACAGUCCGCCUCUCCCACACGGACUAUCUGCAAGACGCCUGUGUGCAUGUGUGCAUGUCGCGCUUGCAGAGAUGCAGUGCCACACGCUCUGGAUGGCAACUGAUCCCUCCCUCUCACCCCUGCGCCUCCCCCUCCCCCUGCUGCCUUCCUCACACACAGCAGGAGUCGUCUCCCUCCCUUGCUUCUUCCCCAACCAAACCAUGGAGGAGAGAACUCCUCUCGCCUACCAAAUCCACCACCACUCUUGAUGGAGUUCGCUAGAGGACUACCGGAGGAUGUCAUCGACGAGCUUCUCCACCACCUUGUCCACCUCUUCCUCGUAGGAGACCAAGGAGAAGGCCACCCCAAGCAUCUUCUUCCUCUCCUUCAUCUUCUCCAAGCUCUCAAUGAUGAACUCGACCCGAUCUAUACCGACGCUACCCUACUCCAACAAGCAGCCCCUUGCUCAUGCUCUACUCAUUGCUGGUGAGCUCCCCUUGCUCCUCAUCACUUCCUUUUGCCCUCAAUCAAACUCCAUAGCCUAUCCAUGGCUUCAUCACCAUUAUUGAUCUAGAGCUCCAAAUACCCCAUGCAUGUCAAAUCCAUCUCCCUAGAUGAACUCUAGACACUCCCAGGAAUCCAUAGAAACAAACCGCACCUUAAACCGACACCGGAGUCACCGCCAACGAACUUGCUGGCAAGCCACAAUGGUGGUGCAGACGGUCCGCUCGUCACCUACGGACGGUCCGCCACUUGUACCCCAAAAAUCCGUAGAACUGGUUUGUUUAUGCUACUCAGCCCAUCUUUGCAUGGCAGACGGUUCACCAUUUGACACUGGACGGUCCGCGGUUCAAUCCUAAAGUUUGCACAGAACCCAUGUGUUCCUGGAGACCGUCCCGUACUUGGUCGGUGGACGGUCCUUCCGCUAUGAGUGGACGGUCCGCAGGUAUAUGGUAGAUCGUACCCAGUCUAGUCAGCACUAUUUGUUUGAAUGCAUAAACAUGUAGCAUCUUUUAUAAUUCAUAUAAAAUUAAAUAUAGCUCGGAUUAAUGUGAAAUAAAUUUUGAUGGUUUCAUAACAAUAUCUAGUACCAUUUAAAAAUAUGUUUGAUCCAUAAUAAUUGACUAAUUAUCUUAUUUAAUUAUAUAAGUGUUUAUCUUGUUAAUUGCAUGGUUAAUUCUCUAUUAGUCCAAAACUUAUGACAACAAUUUUGCUAGUUCACUUAUGGUAUGUACAAUUCAAUGGAAGUGCUUGUUUGCAUUAUUUGUGUGCAGAUUGAUAUAAUUUUAGAUAUGUUUGAAUCUAGUUAAUUAGUAAAAUGCAUAAUAAUUUCAUAUAUGCUUCUAAAAUUAUGGAUCCAACUUUGAUAGCUUCCUUUAACUAUCAAUUGCUGUUUUAAAUUAAUAUGAAUUAUGAAUUGAUCAUACACUUAAGUUUAUGAAGUGUUGAAUUAUAAUCUUUCUUAGCUUGUUAAAUACAUGAUCAAUUAUAUGGAGAUGUUCCUAAAAUCAUGAAUCCAAUCUUGUUAGAUACCUAUGAUCAUGAUAUGCUAUUUUUAAUUGUUGGCCCUCAUGAGAGGAUUGUAUAAGGAUACAACUUUAAUUAUAUGCUUGUUAUAGGACUAGCUUUCUUGUAAAAUACCUAGGUAAUCAAUUGUGGUCAUGUGAGCUAUAUAACCACCUUUGUUGGCUAAGGAUAAAUGCACUAUAGUUUUGUGAUUAGAAACCUUCAUGAUACAACAUAGAAUGAUGAUGCUUGCUUUAAUUUAUCAAGUAUAACAGGUUUAGCUAACCUCUAAUUUAUGGAAUACCUUUAAUACUCUUAGUUAAGAUAUGAUGUGCUAGUUACCUAUUAAUUCAUGAAUUGUCUAAGGUUGUUAUUAACUAGUGUUACUAGCUUCCAUUAUUGAUUCUUUAUGUUGUAACAAUUUAAUUAUGUGAUAAUUCACAUGAUAACUAAAAGUAGCACAACUUGUUUUAAUAACCUUCUUAUACUACAACUUGUCCUAGAAUGUUAUGUGCACAUGUAUGAGUUAUUGUUUGACACCUUUACUCUAUUAUGCUUGUGUGCCCUACUUCUAACCUUUGAUUGCUUGCUUGAUGACCGUAAAUCAUCUUAGAUUUACUUCUCAUGAGUCAUUGCAUCUCAUAUGCAUAUACAUUCAUUCCAUCCUUUCUAAUUCAUGCAUUCAUCUAAUUUCGUAGAGGAUGAUGUUCCGAAGUGUCACGUUCUUGGAGCACCAAUCUCAGGCAGGCACCUAUGUAUCAUACUCUAUUUUCUAAAUGUGAAAUGCUAUUAUUUAUUAAUGGUUUGUCAUGGGCUUAGAUCUAUCUAGACAUGCAUUGAGUAGAACCUACUAGUCAUGUCAACUCUUGAAAUUAGCUCAACUUUAGUGAAUGUAUGGAUGCUAGAAAUAUCGAUAUAAUUGCUUAGCCAUGCUUAUAUCUCGGUAGAAGUCGAGGGGUGGCAAUGUCACCACCACUCGUGAGAAUUUGGAUGUUUUCUUAAUUAUACUUUAGUAGUUGAGAAAGCAUAAAUGAUGAGCAACAUGAAUGAUGAUUUGAGACUUGAGCAAGUGUGCUAGGGCCAUGUUGGAAGUGGAAUCCAAGUGGCAUAGGCUUGCUUGAGUUGGUUGAGGCCCGGUCGUUAUCGCUUUGAUACUCGAGCACUAUUUCGUACAAACCACAUACUUAAUAUGGGAAUGGUAAGCCAAGUAGAAUAAGUCACACCUUGCCUUGACUAGAUUCGGUGCGGGAUGGGAUGAGGUGUGAUCGGCCAUGUUCGGUGCAUCUAUACAUUUCCGGCCGUUUGUUCAUAGCGGGGUGUGGGUAUGUGAAUAGUCAGGGGUAUGAAUCAACACUUAUCCUAGGCCAAGGGUAUGGUUGUUGGUCUUGCGCCUCAUGUGGAAAAAGUUGUACACCCCUGCAGGGUUAUAAUCUAUUGCAAUAGUCGUGCUCGUGAUCAAAGAUCACGCUCUUGUACUUCGACUUUAAUGUAGAAUUCCAUUAAGGGCUUAUGGAAGAUUGAGCUCAUGAUUAUACGAUCACUUUACUACUUAUGCAAUUGUAUUGGUGCUUGAUAUAGAAAGUAGACACCAUGUCUUUUUCUUAUUCACUUGAUAAAUUAUGCUCGCAUUUCUAUGGUCUAAUGUUAAAAUUUGACAAGCCUUGUGCAUCCACCAAAUGUAUAGUAUUAUGGAUAAGUCUUGCAAGUACGCAAUGUAUUUACAGUGUUGCUGUUAAGUUGUUUUGUAGGUUUCCUUGUUGUAAGUGAUGGCCACAUUCAUCCCUCCGGAGCCGGCAAAGUGGAUGGAUGGUGGAUGUCACUCUAAGCUUGUGUAGGUGGUGUCUUAUGGGCAAGGACAUUAUUGUUGCACCUUAUUACAUUAUAUGUUCCUGCUGCGUUUUAAUUCUUAGUCUAUGAAAAACAUGAUAGGAUAGAAACCUAUACAUAGGUUACAUCUAAGUUGAAUAAGAACCUCCCUUUGAAUUGAUGAAAACUCUCAUGUUCUAGUUGCUAUAUGUUGUAAUUAUAAUUUCUGAAAUUUUUGUAAGAUGAUCAAGACUUGUAAACCAAACUUUAAAAUUUGCUCGCAUAUGUUUCUUUGUGAUGGUUGCUAUGAUGUAAAAAUGGUAUGCAAGUUGUUCCUAGGCGAUGCUUGAGGUGCAUACCGGGGACUAACAGGAUUAUUUUGAUUAAGUCGGGUUGAUCAAUGGAUGAUAACCCAAUUUAGUUGAGAUAAUUUGGGCGGUUCCUUACAUUUAUCAAGAUAAGCAUUUAGAAAACCAUCUAAACAUUGGUAUACCUUGGAAACAUGCUGUACCACUCGUAGAGAAUCACCAUAAGUCUCUACAUAUUUUACUCCCAUGUCAUGCAAAAUUUCUAACCCAAACAGGAGAGCCUCAUAUUCGGUUUGAUUAGUACAUUUAUAUUCCAACAGGUUAAGACAUUCAAAAAUAGCACCAUUUGGUGAUAUAAGAAUAAUGCCAAUACUGCAACCAAUUUUGCAAACCAAUCCAUCAAAAUGUAAUUUCCAUGGAGUAAAAGUAACAUAACUGACGUCUAAAUCACGUUUAUCAUCAAUCCUAUGCUCAACAAUAAAAUCCACUACAACUUGACCUUUCAUGGAUUUCAAAGGUUCACAAGAUCUCAAUAAGAGCAUAAGCCCACUUACCAAUCCUACCACUUAAAAUCGCUCUAUGCAACAUAUACUUAAUUAUGCUAGUUUGACAUGCUACUAUGCAAAUAUUUGAUAACAAGUAAUAACUCAACUUGGUACAAGCAUAAUAUAAUGAUAAUUAUAACUUUUCAAUAAACGUAUACCUUGUUUUGGCAUCCAAUAAUCUUCUACUCACAUAGGUAACAAAUAUGCUUCUUGUCAUCGGUUUCUUGAGCUAAAAUGGCACCAAUAACACCAUCUUUAGCCACCACAUAUAACUUGAAAGGAACACCCCUCCUAGGCGCUUGGAGAAUGAGCAGUGAAGACAAAAAAAUGCUUGAUCUUCUCAAAAGCUUCUGGCUGUUUUCCCCCAAGUAAACACAGCUUCAUCUUUCAACCGAAGAAUAGGAGUAAAGUCGUUCACCUUUCCGGACAAGUUACAAAUAAAUCUCCUCAAGUAAUUCACCUUGCCCAAAUAUUUCUGUAACUCUUUCUUACAAGCAGGAGUUUGCACCUUUUUAAUAGACUUAAUUUUCUUAGGAUCUAUUUCUACACCAUUCUCAUGAACAAUAAAGCCUAAGAACUUUCCAGCCGAUACACAAAAGCACAUUUUAGUGGAUUCAUCCUCAAGCCAUAUCGAUGCAUUCUUUCAAAAACAAAGUUUAAAUCAGCUAAAUGAGGUCUUAAACAAGACAAUUUGACAACAAUAUCAUCGAUAUAGACUUCUAACAUUACACCAAGCAAGUCAUGAAAAUUUAAAUUCAUAGCCCUUUAAUAAGAAGCACCAGCAUUCUUUAAACCAAAAGUCAUGACCACCGACUCAAAUAAACCAACAAAUCUUGGACAUACAAACGCUGUUUUGGAUGUAUCCUCUUCAGCCACAAAGAUUUGGUUAUAUCCAGCAUUACCAUCAAGAAAACUAAUAUUUUUAUGUCUAGAUGCAACAUUAAUAAGCAUAUCGGCUAUUGUUGAUGGUAGUUAGCACGCCAAUUUGUGAACCUCAAGCGUACGGAUCAGUUGUAGCUCUUCCCUUAGAGUAAUCCCCCAAGGUUUAUCAAUCCGUGGAACAAGUGGAUUUGCACGCUUAACUAAGCACUAAUCUAUGUAACCGAAGGUUCUUUGUAUAAGAUAGGAUUGAACUAACAAAAGAACUAGUGGUCUAGAUUAAAGCAGAUAGAGAGUAUGGAUAUAAACAAGAUAGAUAAAAAACUUAUCCUAGGGAUCUAGGAUCACUUGUAGAUGUAAUCACCAUGCAUGAAAGAACUAGAUCUAAGUGUUAUCGUGAGUGGAUGUGAACCAUGCCCAACACUUUUCCUCUCGCACGUUGUCACUACACGAGGGUACUCAAUUAUUGAACGAUAAGAACACGGCAUGAUGAUCGUUCUAGGUAAGCAAAUAAGAAACCCAAAGUAGCACUGGCCAGCCAUUACAUGAAAGAGCAUCACCAAGAUGUGAUAGAUAACAAAUAGAUCUUAAACAAGAGGUUCAGCGAUUACAAACCAAGGUCUCCAUACAACCCCGAGGAUAAACAUAGACUUUACCCCAUGAUCUUACACAUGUUGUUAGAAUCCUAGGUCAAGAUCACCCUGUAGAUCAACUGGACCGAAGACAAUGAUGAACAAGGCAGGAAAGCCCCAAGCCAAUAUGCUUGGGCACCUCUAAGCCAAUCGGCUUGGGAGGUUUCUCCCUCCUCCGGUGCUGCGCUUUGCGUGGCUUCUUGUAGAUGCAAUCAUCUCUCCAUUUUUCCUCCUUGUGGUGGUGGUGGAUGGUGUUUACAUGAUGUUUGCUUCUCUCUCCCUAACUCUUCUUCCUUGAGGUUCAUGAGGGGUAUUUAUAGUCUCUCAUAGGUGGCGGCUCUGGGUCAAUGUUGGUGAAAAAACCCUAGAGAUCAUCUAGACUUCACGCUGAAGAAAUGGGUGGUCGAUCGAGCCCUGGAAUGGGCUAGGGCGAUCGGCCAAGAGGGGGCCUGGGCCCUUCCUGCCCCUUUUGGUCCUCUCCUUCCUCGUGCUGGCUUUCCUUGACGACCCAUGUCCAAAUAUCCAUUAAGCUCUUCAUACAAACCCCCUUGAUUAUGUCGUAUUUCCUACCAAAAUACAAUAUGCUCCCAAAUACAACACAUAUGCAAUAAUGGGGCUAUUUCAGGUGCCAAGUGGCGGGUUAGUAUAAGAAUAAGCAUGAAAACACUGGUUAAUUAGCACUAAAAGUGUGUCAAUAAUGAGCAUCAACAGCUAUAGGCAUAGGAUAUCCAUCUUUAGGAGUAGCGCUAUUAAGAUCUCCAAAACCAAUACAAACUCUGAGUUUACCCGAAUCUUUCUUUUCAAUAGGCACAAUAUUGGAAAUCCAAUCAGCAUAUCAACAAGGCCUAAUAAAUUUAGCUUCUAACAACAGAUUAAUCUCUUCUUUAAUUCGGUCAUACAUAAUAGAAUUGAAGCGCCUAGCAGGUUAUUUAUGAGGCCUAAAGUCAGGUUUGAUUGGCAACCGAUGUUUAACUAACUUGUGGAUUAAACUAGGCAUGACAUCAUAAUUCCAUGCAAAACAAUCGACAUAAUCCUUUAAUAAUUCAAUUAAUUCAUCUUUGUAACUAGUUUCCAAAUCUUUGUUUACAAAUGGUGGUCUAGGUACUGUGCCAUCACCAAUAUCUACCUCCUCUAAAGAGUCAUGACCAGGUUGUUGCUUUGCAACUAUGUAAUGACCUAUUUGUUCGUUAGUUAGAAUUUAAUAGACUUUUAGAAUCACACCAUUAGCAUGCCGAACAACUGAGGUCCAUAAGAGAGGCCCUAGGACCUUAGGUUUUUUCUACGCUUCUACUCAUGUACUCAACAACCAUAUAGAAGCGUUUUUGUUUCUGUUAUUUUAGCUCAUUUUUUCUUUCUACAUAAGUGUCAGCCAUACAUCUAUGGGCCCACCGGAAGGUUUGGACAGUCCUAGAUACAAGGCUAUACAUCGAGACGUGUCAGACAUGGAGACUACGGUGCAGGACGGCGUGGUCUACGUGGAGGACAAGAACUAGUCGAGGAUUAGGAAACUACUGAGUAGGACUUCUAGUCGAAUCCGACUAGUAUUCUUGUAAACAAACAACCUGUAACCCUGCCCCCGGCAAUAUAAGGUGAGACAUAGACCUCCUCCAGACAAGGUUAAUGAAUACAACACAACCAACACACAGGAUGUAGAGUAUUACGCAACAUAAGCGGCCCAAACCUAUCUCAAUCGUGUGUUCGAGUUUACUUUUGAGUUCUUAAUCUCAGUGAGCCCCACGCAUAAAACACUACCUCGGGGUACCCCCUCGGUAGGUUGCCGGGUCUAAACACUGACAUCUGGCGUGCCAGGUAGGGGCCCUCACUGAGAAUCCACUAGCGAACUCGAUGGCUCAAGUCGUCAUCAAGCCCACCGUUGCAUUCGAAGUGGGUGCGAUGUUCGUUUUCAGCUACUAGGUUUGCAUCGUAGACGGUGAUGGAAAUUUCCACAGCCACAUCACGCCGGUCCCAAAGGAGAAGCUCUACGAUAGCAAUCUUCAUCGCUAAGCUUUGGAGGAUUUCGUUGAAAAAUUCAACGGAAUUUUCGACCUCUUUCGAGGCUCAGGGGAAGAAUUUGAGUACAACUCGACUUCUUCCACCAGUCGGACUAGCACCCACGAGUUGAUGCUCAAGCCAUUGUGUGAAUCGGUCAACAACACAAGUCAAUUCCUGUUCGGACUCUGAAACUCGGGUACUAUCUACCAAGCCACUCUGUCCAAAUCGCAAUCCAACUCGGAUUUGAUCGAGGACCUCGAUUACUACUCGGAUCCGGAUGAGGAGACUCCUUUAUCUAGUCCAUAGCAGGGUUAUCACAUCUACUCUGAAGGCAGAUUCGUCUAUUGGCCCAACAGAAGCCACAUGCUCUCGCUAAGAAUGAUGAGUCACGCCUUGUCACCUACCUUGACAUUCUCUCAUACUAGGAGGGUACUCCUCUGUCGCCUAUCUAUGAAGAAGAUGGCUCCACAGAGGUCAUCACAUCAAGUUCGGGUAGUUAUUCUCUGGAGCAGGAACUCCUCGCCAUCGUUACUCCAUAAGGAGGUGAGGAUGAAGAUUAGCGAGACAGAAAUCCGCAUCACGAACGUCACCCAAAUGACAUCUCGCAGGAUGAGCUCACCGCCAAUGUAGAAGGGGAAGAGACCGAAUCUCAAAAGAAUCAACGGUGAGCAAGGAACGCUGCAAGAGCAGAUCGUCACCGCUACCUUACAUCUGAUCUACCCAUCAUGAACUUGGACCACACAUUUGAAGUAGUUCAAAUGCGCCAGCAUCACACUCCUCUCGCCACCAUCUCAUCCAUUGACUUGAUUACUCGAGCAAUGCCAUAGACCAAGCAACUAGCUCUAUUGGCGGAGCAUGCAUAUGAGCAACUCGAUCAACGAAGCUUGAUACACUCAGUUCGAUGCACCUCAUCCUAUCAUGGAAGUAGUGGCAUGCAUCCAAGUUUCAAUGAGAGUGCCAAGCCUAGUCGCAAUGAGGUCACCAGAAACAAGGUUCCCAGAAUUGAGAACCCAGACCAAGUCAACACAGGGCUGCAGUGCUACUCAUUGUCAGUCUAGGCGGCGGGAGGAAAUGACGAUAUCAAGGUUAUCUACUUCCCCAUCUGCAUGGAGGCAGGGCCACUCACAUGGCUCGAGUCCCUAGAAGGGAACUCCAUUGACAUGUGGAGUCAACUAAAGACGAAGUUCACAAACAUCUUUGUAGCGGCAAUACAGCAUCCUGGCAACAGGAUCGACUUGUCUCAAGUCAAACAGCAACAAGGUGAGACCCUGCGUAGAUAUCUACGCUAUUUUUUGACAAGAAAGCCACUAUCAUAGACAUCACGAAGCGGGAUGCCAUAGAUUGCUUCCAGAACGGUCUUUAUGACCGCCGGAUGUUCCAAGAUUUUGGCAGGAGAUGCUUAGAAGAUAUCAAGUCUCUCAAGAUCAUGAUAGAAGCCUAGGCGGAUGAAGAAGACAAGGAGAUCGAACGGUCGAGUAUAGUUGUAAUAGAGGCUAGGAUAAUAACAAUCAGAAUAAUGGCUAACGCAACGACAAGAACUGCAAUGAUCGACCCAACAAUGACAAUCGAGGUAACUACUCGGGUGGUCAAAAUCGCAAGAGGAAGCUAGACAAUACUGUCGUGGUGAUAUCCCAAUCAUCCAAGAAAGGCGGUGGGCAUCAGGAAAGGACUCAAUUAAAGGAGCUCCUGAAAAAGUAGUGCCCGUGGCACCCACACUCUAAGCACUCUACGAUGGAUUACUAUAGCAUUCGCAGAGUCAUGGAAGAUCUGUCGGAGCCGUCUGGAGCAAAGGACAAGGGCCAGGCCAAAGAAGACGACGACGACGAUGACGAUAACAGCAAAUUCCAGAACCUGUCCAACACCAUCAACGUCAUCUUCGGCAGCACAUGGGGUACUUCUAUGAGGCGGUCACAAAAACUAGCCCUCAGAGAGGUCAUGUCCAUCGAACCAGCAACGCCUACAUUCCUCAAGUGGUAUGAGGUGCCAAUCACCUUCUCAAGGAAGGAUCAGUGGACUAGUUUCUUAGAUCCAGGACGCUAUCCUCUUGUCCUGGACCUAGUAGUCGCCGGCUCUCAACUCACAAAAGUAGUCAUUGAUGGAGGCAGUGAUCUCAAUGUACUCUUCACCAAGACUCUAAGGAAAAUGGGCCUUGAUGUUACGGAUAUGCUCACCCCGACGAACUCUCCGUUCUACGGGAUUGUCCCAAGCAACGCGGCUGUACCCCUUGGUCAGGUGGUUUUGCCAGUUACCUUCGGGACCAAAGAACAUGACUGGACAGAGUACAUCCGGUUAGAGGUAGCUGAUUUCAAAACCUCAUAUCAUGCUAUCCUCGAAAGACCGGCCUUGGCCAAGUUCAUGGCCAUCUCGCGUUGCAUGUACCUAGUACUCAAAAUGCCGGGACCCAAGGGAGUACUAUCCCUACGCGGAGACUUGAAAAGAUCCUACAAUUGCGACAUAGAAGCUGUGGAGCUAGCAGCGACUACUGAAGUGCUGAAUUCGAUGAUGCAAGUCUUCGCUGGUUCCAAAAAAUUGUCCUCGGCAGAACUCAAAAUUCUAGAGAAGAAGUUGGGGGCAACCAAGGUCAAGCCGACAUGUGAAGUCAAUAUCAAAGCCAUUGACUUUGAGACUGGCGAUAGCUCCAAGAUAGCCUUGAUUGGCUUAGGGUUGGACUCCGAAUAGGAAGACGCGCUCGUCAACUUCCUCCAGGCCAACUGAGACAUCUUCACGUGGAAGCCAUAAGACAUACCGGGGGUGCCCAGGGAGUUGAUCGAGCACUCACUAAAUGUGGAUCCCAAAGCCAUGCCAAAACGACAACAACUACGUUGCUUCACCCAAGACAGAAGAGAUGCACUCAAAAAAGAGUUGGCCAAACUACUCAUGGCUGGCUUCAUAAAAGAAGUCUAUGAUCUAGAGUGGCCACUCUCGUCUUGGUGUGAAAGAAAAAUAACAAUGAAUGGAGGAUGUGUGUCAACUACAUGGACCUCAACAGGCACUAUCCAAAGGAUCCCUUCGGGCUCCCAAGGAUUGAUCAAGUCAUCGACUCGAUGGCCAGUUGUGCUCUACUCUGUUUUCUUGAUUUCUACUUGGGGUAUCACCAGAUAGCUCUCAAGAAAGAAGACCAGAUCAAGACUGCGUUCAUCACCCUGUACGGAGCUUUCUGCUAUACCAUGAUGUCCUUCGGGUUGAAGAACACAAGCGCCACAUACCAAUGAUGUCCUUCCAGGAGUGCUUCAAAAACAAAUACACCGUAACGUAGAGGUGUAUGUGGAUGAUGUGGUCGUAAAGACCGGAAAUCCUGACGACUUGAUUGCGGAUCUUGAAGAAACUUUCCCAAGAUUGUGAGAAUUCUGGUGGAAGCUAAACCCAAGAAAGUGCGCGUUUGGUAUACCCUUCGGAAAAGUACUCGGGUUUAUCAUCAGCCACCAAGGAAUUGAGGCUAACCCCGAGAAGAUCACUGCCAUCACCAAUUUGCACACCCCAUCGUGCAUCAAGGAUGUUCAGAAGCUGACUGGAUGCCACAGUUAUUAGGACCGGACUGGACCGACGGUCCGACCGGUAAAAGACCAAACCAGAGCCUCGGCCAAUCCGGUUCACCUAAAAGAUUGGAUAAGCAAUCAAACUGGGAUAAACCAGUUGAACCAGCAGUUUUUAGCAAGAAACCGAUAUAAAACUGGAUAAGAAACCAGUACGGACCGGAGAAAACCGAGUGCAAGGAGCUAGCAAGGGAAAAAGGAGCGCACAGGGAAGAAAAUGGGAGGAAAAUGGCGUGGCUGGGGUUCGAAUCCCCCACCCUUGCCUUUGGCAGCGUGGCACCAUUAGGCUGCAGCUGUGUUUGUGAUUUUGGUUGAUAAGUUACCAUAUUUGAACCGUGUUGAACCGGCGGUUCAACCGGUUGAACCAAUCAAAACGUGAACCAAGAGCUCGGCUAGUUCAUUGUCCGGUUUGAUCCUAAUAACUAUGCUGGAUGCAUGGCGGCCCUCAAUAGAUUCAUCUCAAGACUUGGAAAAUGGGGACUACCCUUCUUCAAACUACUCAAGCGGCAAGACAAAUUCCAAUGGACCGAGGAGGUGGAUCAAGCCCUUCAAUAGUUGAAGGACUUUUUAUCAAAGCCAUCGGUCCUUACGGUGCCUACUUCCAAUGAAGACUUGCUGCUCUACAUUGCCGCGACUACUAAUGUCGUCAGCACGGCAAUCGUGGUCGAAAGACCAAACUAGACCAUGUAUACAAAGUAUAGAGACCUGUCUACUUCGUAAGUGAGGUGUUGUCAGAUUUCAAAACCAAGUACCCGCCAGCUCAAAAGUUGCUAUAUGCAAUACUACUCACCUCGUGGAAGCUACGACACUACUUCCAGAAACACAAUAUCUCCAUUGUCACAGACUUCCCCUUUGGAGAAAUCCUCCACAAUUGAGAUGCGACUGGAGGAAUCUCCAAGUAGGUAGUAGAACUUGGAGCCUUAUCCCUGGAAUUCAAGUCAAGAACUGCCAUCAAGUCACAAAUGCUAGUCGAUUCCAUGGUAAAGUGGCGGGAAAAUCAAGUGCCAACACCGGUAGAACGCCCAGAGCACUGGGUGAUGUACUUUGAUGGAUCACUCAAGUUUGAGGGCACCGGUGCAGGGGUACUCUUAAUCUCUUCCAAAGGUGAACAACUCAAAUAUGUUAUACGAAUAUUCUGGGAGGUAUCCAAUAAUGAAACUGAAUAAGAUGCGCUUUUGCAUAGGCUCCGCCUGGCAGUUUCGCUAGGAAUCAAGAAGUUGUUGAUCUAUGGUGACUCACUGGUAGUUAUUAAUCAAGUCAAUGAUGAGUGGGAUCGCCACAAGGACAACAUGGAUGUGUACUGCCUUGAAGUACGCAAGUUGGAGAACAAGUUCUCUGGUUUGGAGUUCCAUCACGUGGCUCAUGAUAACAACAUAGCCGCAAACAUCUUAUCCAAGCUUGGAUCUACUCGUGCUCAAGUUCCAGCUGGGGUUUUCGUCCAUGAAUUACACAAGCCAUCCAUAGUGAAGCCAGCACUGUUAAAAAUGACCGAUCGAGGUCAUAAUGCACCAGACCGGAAGGUUAUGAUGAUUGACGUAGAUUGGAGAAUCCCCUUUAUUGACUACAUCAAGGAGCACAAGUUACCUCCAGACAUGACAAAAGUAGAGCAAGCCUCGCGGCACAGCAAGAACUAUGUUCUAGUCGGGGACAAGCUCUACAGACGAGGCGCAUCAUCAGAAGUACUCAUGAAAUGUGUCUCAUGGUAAGAUGGCAAGGACAUACUUGAUGAAAUCCACAAGGGCAUCUGUGGCAACCAUGCGUCAUCAAGAACGGUCAUGGGAAAGGCUUUCAGAGUAGGAUUCUAUUGUCCUACAGCUCUCGUUGAUGCUGAAGAAUUUGUCCGCCGAUGCCAAGGUUGUCAAUUCUUCGCCAAGCAACAACACGUCCCUGCCUACAAGUUGAUCACCAUACCGCCCUCUUGGCCCUUCGCAUGUUGGGGGCUAGACAUGAUUGGCUCACUGCCUAUGGCGCUUGUAGGGUUCAAUCGAGUACUCGUAGCAAUCAACAAGUUCACAAAGUGGAUGAAGGUGAAGCCGGUAACUUGCCCCAAGGCAGAUAGGGUACUCGACUUCCUCGAUGAAAUUGUCCAUCGCUACGGCUUCCCCAGCCACAUCAUCACAGACUUGGGUUCCAAUUUCAACAACCAUGAGUUCUCGGAGUUCUGCGAGAAUAGCGGGAUCGACGUCAGGUACGUCUCUGUCGCUCAUCCGCGAGCCAAUGGCCGGGUUGAGCGUGCCAAUGGGAUGUUACUGGAAGCUCUCAAGAACAGACUACACAACAUUGGCAAUGCUAAAGGAGGCAAGUGGCUCAAGGAGCUACCCAAUAUCCUCUGGGGACUUCGUACACAGCCAUGCAAGCCUACAGGGUAUUCACCCUACUUCCUGGUCUAUGGAUCAGAAGCCAUCCUCGCCGCCGACGUCAUGUGAAAAUUUUUCAGUAGUCGAGCAGUAUGAGGAGGGUGCGGCAGAAGAAACAAGGCAUCUAGGUUUAGACAGCCUUGAGGAUGCUCGUUGUGCAGCACUCAUCUAGUCUGUAAGGUAACUUGAAGGAAUUCACCGCUAUCAUGAUCGCAAUGUCAAAGAAUGUUUGUUCAACACAGGUGACAUGGUCCUCAAGCGUAUUCAAGACACCAAGGGCUGCGCAAGCUAAAUUCGCCAUGGAGGAUCCUUUCAUCAUCUCCAAGGUCACUAGGAGGUUCAUAUAGGCUCCAAACUCUCACUGGUGAAGAAGUCAACAACUCAUGGAACAUCGAACACUUGUGUCGAUUUUACCCGUAGUUUACGUACUCGUGUAAAUUAGCCUUUGGCCUUAGUUGUACAAAUUACAAUUUAAUAAAGCAGAGUUAUUUCUUGUCGUAAAAUGACUAGUCUCUGCCUGAUUGUGGUUUGCAAAAGCAAAGUUCGCCGAGCUAUUCAGCUCCUCCAGGGUACUAUCGCCCAACUCGUGGCUUGUAAAAACAAGUUUGGACAUAUAUCUUUUCGAUUUAUUCAACUCAUUCUGGUAGAAGCAACCUGCAACAAGCAAGCCUACACACAAAAUUCCUGAGCUAGUUAGGUCCUUGGACAAGUCUGUCCAUCGAUGGUCUUAACAAAAGAAGCCGUCAGCAAACUUGGGAGUUACCUAUACUACCCGAGUUCUUAUCUAGACAAAUUGUCUAGUCGCAGCUGUAAUAAGAAGUCUGUAGUUCCAGGUCUUUGAAGCACAACACCCAAACAACCCAGAGAGUUUGCAAAGGUAGGCUCCAGCUAACAAAGUCCUGAAGAGUCUACUUGCCUAAAGAGUCUGACUACCUAGGUACCUGAGUACUCGCACUCCAUAGAAAGGGGGCACAUCCUAAGGGUGCUCUACAUGUGUAUCUGAAGAGUCUCACAAUAGUAGUCUUGUGCGUUGACACUCAUGACUACCACACGAGCAACUAUUCAGGGUAGUUUGGGAGAUGCACUAAAACAAAGAAUUUAAGCAAGUCGACAAGCAACAGAUAUUGCAACAAGACUUCAAAUAAUUUAUAUUUCAUUUCAUGACAUGUUUAUAUUACAAUGACAUAUUAUUUUUACAUGACAAACUACUCAAGGUCUAUCUGACCGGCUACCUCCUUAGCAAUGGGAGCCAUCUCUUGCAGGUACUAUUGUAAUUGCUCAUCAGUGCAAUCUACGACAAUUCCCUCCACCACAGGAGCCAAGUCGGCUUGCGGGUAGAAGGACUUUACCAUGGCCAACAGUGCUUGGAGACGGACUAUGCCAUCUUUUGGAUAUAGCCGGUGGUCUUCCUAGGAACAUCCUUGAGUACCUCUGCCAAGGGGCGGGGCUCCAUGCCUUCCGUCGGGGGCUCCACCAUGUCGGCGACGGGCUGAGCGGCUUCUGUUAUCUCUUUCAGAGCAAGCUUGGUUGCCGCCAACUCAGCCUCACGCUCUCGAAGGAGUGUCAUGGUAUUCACCAUGUCGACUUCUCCGUCGACGCGCAACUUCUUUUCCUUCUCCAGCUUGUGUUCUAGAGUCUCGUACUGAGUGGUCAACUUAUCAUGUUGAUCCAUCACUCUGUAAUAUGAGUUUUGCCAAUCAGUCACAUAAACAUGGAGAUCUUCUUUUUCCUCCUGGAGCUCUGCAAGAACAAAUGCAAGGAACAAGUUAGUAUUGUCAAGUGCAAAUCAAUACUCGAAGACCAGCAGGAGAUGACACGCUACAUUCCACUCGAUGCUUCAACAUCUUAUUGCACUUUUGGAGGCGGUCUUUCUCCUCCGUGGUUCUCUGGAUGAGAUUUUGGUACUCCGCGGCUUGCCCGUCGUACUUCAUAAGUAGCCGGGAGGAGUACUGCCGCUCCUUGACUAGUUCCUGUUCAAGCGCUUGAGCCCACAUGAUAGUGUCUCCAUAGCCUUGGAUCAUCUUGGAUUUCCGACAGGAGUGCUCGAUCAGUUUCUGCAAAACAGAGCAAGUAUUUGUUCAAGUCAAAGAUCAAGGCAGAAUUAAAACUUACCUCUGUGAACUCGGCUACAUGGCGAUGCAUCUCCAUGACCAUGGCCUCCAUCUGAAUGGUGGUCAGAGGAUCAGCUAGCAGCUAGAUCUUCUCCAAGUCCACCCUUUCGACUAUCCAAGUCUCCCUGUGCUCUUCGGCAUUCGGCGCACUGAGAGGAACCAGUGCCUGGCUAGUUGAUGGACCAGCUUUUGAGGACAAGAGGGGAGCCACGUUGCGACUAGUCGACGGUCCCGCCUCAGAAGGCAGGAUGGCAGCCAACACUUCUAGCGCCCCAAUAGCUUCAACCUCCACUUUUGGUUCGGGGGCUACAAGCAUGACCCCGACUCCAGAAGUAGCCGCUACCUCCAUCUUAGUCUCUGCUUCCAGCUCGAGGGCUACCAAUGUCGCCACCACUGUGGAAGUAGUCGUCGCAACAGGUUCGGCCACCGGCAGCUGGGGGCUAGCACUGCAGAAUAAUUAAGUGAUGCAAUCAUGUCGUGCAUGAGUGCAGUGACAAGAGAUACAUCACCUGGAGUGAUUUCAGGUGCCGGCUACUCCUUUGGUGGUGAAAUUGCAGGCUCCAGGAUGAUUUCUUGGGCUGAGCGGCUGCUGCCAUUAGCUCCAGGUUUCUAGCUUGGACCCCCAAUGUCCACGCUGGUGGAUCUCCUGAAUGAAGACAAGUGUCACAACACAUCACAAGACAACAACGGUUCACAAUCAAUACUCGAAAUGCUUACUUUGUGGAUCACCUUAUCUUCAAAGAGGGCUCUACCCCCAGGCGCAGGAACUUGACAAUGGGAGAUGACUUCUUUGGUGCAGCUUGUUGGAUCACAUCUGAAUCCUCGCUAGCCUUGGUUUCCAUCUCCACUUCUUGAGUAGUCUACGCUGUAACAGGAUUGGCCCUGGUGGCAGGAUGCUCCUCGUCAUCGUCCAGCUCGAUGACCUUCUUAGUCACCGACAGCCCCUACGGCACGACUUUUGUAGUCAUUUUUUCCACCUCUAUCUCUCCCUCGACUACCUAUGAUUCGCCAUUGUCAGAAUCAAGUUAGGCAUGGCGGAAAGAAAAACAACUUACGAGUACUUGAUCCUCAGGAUCUUAUCCUUCUUUGAAUGUGAUUACUGAAGGAGGGACUUUAUCGACGGUUGGUGGCUUCUUCACUACCCGUUUGACGGCGACAGUGCGCUUUCUCUUCGGGGGUGCUGCCAAUUCGGCUUCAUGCUUUGAAGUCCUGGAGGAAGACCCCACCUUGUUAAUGGACGGGGCUUGACGACAAACUUUUUAGUAGCAUAUGAAUCAGAGCUGCUAAAGGAGGACCAACCUUCCGAUUCCUCUUCUUCCUCCUCCUCGAUCGCUUUCUAUACAACCACAAUGGUCUGUACACACGGAGAGGUGCCAGAGCCAUCUGAUCCAGGUGGAGGAGGGAUGGAGCAAUACAAGUGGAGUUCUUCUUGCAACAGAAGACAAGUCAACAAAUUGACAAUAUGCAAAAAUAAGUACUCGGGGGCUGCAGGCCACGGGUACUUACACUGUUUGGCGGGUUGGCAGCAUAGUGUUCUCACACGAUUGUCAGGAUCGCCCUAGCAUGCUUGAAGAAGCGCCUCAGCUGUGCCAUUACUUUAUCCACGGACAAGUCUUCUGACAUCAUCUGGGAUGGGUCGUUGGGACCCGAGUAGUCAUACCUCCAUGUGCAGCGCAGCUGCAAGGGUUGGACUCGCCUCCUCAUAAAACUGAAGGCCACGCCGAUGUCGGUCAGUCCUUCCUUCUUGAGCACAACGAUCUUUUCCAGCAGCUCUGGCAGCUUAAAGCUAUCGCAUGGCUCGACUCAUCCAACUAGCGAUUGUUCAAGACUGGUCGGUGGCCGGUGACCUUGGGUAGUCGGGGCUCAUGAUUUCCAAUAUAGAACCACCGCUGCUUCUAGCCCGAGUAGGAGUCUAUCAAUUUAUAAUCCAAGUACAGGCCCUGGACUUGUUCCCGCAGUUGGAUUCCUGCCCCUCUGACUACUUUGGUGUGUUCCAUUUUAGGCUGGGACUUUACUCUAAAAAACUUCCUAAAGAGUUGGAAGUGUGGCUGGAUUUCAAGGAAAGCUUCGCACAAGUGCACAAAAUAGCUACGUGCUAUAUUGAGUUGGGGUUGAAGUGGACUAGCUCCAAAUUGUAGUACCUCAGCAACCCACAAAAGAAGUUAGACGUGGGGAGAGCCAAACCUUGCUCAAUGAAGUGUGUGAAGAUCACUGUCUCAUGGGUAUGGCUCUCCAUGGGCCACAGGUUGCCGUAGGCCUCCCUCCAGGGUCAUGAAGUCCUGCUCCUGGGGAAGAUCGGCAUUCACCAAUGCCUAGAUGUCCGCCUCCUUCAUUAUGGAUUUCUUCCAGGUGCGGACUUGAUUUGGUGGCACUGUCUGGUUAGUUUUCCCAUACUUUGGAGCCAGCAACUGGAUCUCUUUUUCCUUCUUCUCGGCCUUCCUCUUCUUGCUCUCCUCCGCCUUGCUGGAUGAUGCUUUCUUCCCCAUUCGUGUUGCCACGAGGAUCUUCUUGUGCAUGCACUUGGAGGCUAAGUGGUGGAGGAGGGUGGCACUCGAGCUCAAGGAUUGCAUGUGGCGGCGCUAGGGCAACAGUGAGGGAGAUGAACGGGCAGAAUGGCUCAGGUGAAACGGAAGGGAUGAAUUCCUCCAUUAUUUAUAACCGCAACACGGUUAAACCGAGGUGAAAUUAACAGAGAAUAUUCUAUUUUUAAAAGUCCGAAUUUAUUGCUUGCAGUUUCCAAUUUUCUCAGAAAGGGAUAAGGUUACUAUUGGCGAAUGGUCACGUUGACUAGUGGUUGACCCUUAUACCCAAACUAGUCAUGUAACGGCUCGGGGGCUAUGUGCCAUGUGCUCGUGGGCUAAAAAGUUUUUUUAUUUUGUUUUAAGAUAAAAGAGAUGUGAAAUUACAAGAUUGACCCUCAGCCUGAUUCUUGGAUUCAACCUAAGGCUCGAGGGCUACUCCAUAUGGAGUGUGAUUUUCAUCGCACUUCCAUAUAAAGAUUCAAGAUUGGAGUUUCAAGACCAAGUUAAAUGAGGCUUGAGCAUAUUCUAGCCGCAUGGCAGUACUCGAGUGCAUUCGAAGACUCAAUCCGAUGGAGUACUCAAAAGAGCACCACAAAAUAGUCGGAGAUGUCUAUAUAAGUACUCGGGACUGCUGCAUUUGACUAAAAAGUAUUCAGGGGCUUGUCGGCCAUGCAUCUAAGGGUCCACCAGAAGGUUUGGACAGUCCUAGAUAUAGGACUGUACACCGAGAUAUGUCAGACAUGGAGACUACGGUGCAGGACGGCGUGGUUUGCGUGGAGGACAAGAACUAGUCGAGGAUUAGGAAACUACUCGUAUCAAUUAGAGUAGGACUCUCUAGUCAAAUCCGACUAGUAUUCUUGUAAACAACUGAUCUGUAACCCUACCCUCGGCAAUAUAAGGUGAGGUAGGGACCCCCUCCAAACAGGUUUAAUCAAUACAACACAACCAACACACAGGACGUAGGGUAUUACGCGACAUAAGCGGCCUGAACCUAUCUAAAUCGUGUGUUUGAGUUCACUUUUGAGUUCCUGAUCUUGACGCGCCCCACGCAUAAAACACUACCUCGGGUACCCCUCAGUAGGUUGCCGGGUCUAAACACCAACAAUAAGUACAUGAUUUUUGAAAAAUAUUUAAACCAAAUUCCUAAAAGGUAUUCUUAGUAUGUAUUAACAUAUUGGCUUUUAUAGAUGAACAUUGCAUAUAAUAAAACAUAUAAAAAACAAUGAGUGCAAACUUAUCACUAUUGAAUACACAAUUAAAUAUUUCUAAUAAAAAUUGAAUCAUUGUAUAAAAAAUAAUUUAUAUAAAGAUAUAACAUUAAUUUCCUAAAUAGUUGUGGCCAAAUAUAUUAUCAUUGCGACGCGAAUAUCAAUAGUCAAAUAAUAUUUAGUAAUUUAUUCGGACGCAAAUAUACCCUUACCCAACAUUAGCAAAUAUAUUGCUCAUUAUAAUAUUUGGACCAUGGAUGCACCAAUUUAUCAAGUUAUUGCACUAAUCUGAGCAUUUAACAAGUUCUUGGACCAAUCUCCACCCACUCGUAAAAUUAUUGUACUAGAUUGAGUAUUUUACAAGUUGUUGGACCAAUUUGCACCCACCUAACAAGCUGUUAUAUGUUAGGUGCAAUUUACUCUAUUUUUAAUGGUAUAUCUCACUAAAUAUGGAGUAGGUACUGGAACUAGUUAGAGAGGAAGGAUAACCGAUCCUAGCUAGGGGUAGAGGCUUGGCUUGCAUAACUAGAUGUGUCUACCGAUUAGUGGUCAUAAGUGUUUAGGUUGAUCAUGUUUUUUAUCAUCCUUUGUGGUCAUUUAACCACAGAGAGCCUUUUACUUAGGGAUAGCAACGGGCACAAAUGGGCCGCUGGAUUUUGCCAUCCUAAACCCAUGCCCAUGAAUGGGAGGGCAUGAGGACGCAGGAGGAUCAGAGAAGGAGGAGGGAGGCUGAGGCACCCAGCGCUUAGCGCGCCUACAGUCCCUACGCACGGGGGCGCUCAAUGCUUGCGCAAGACGUAGAUGCGCCGCCAGGGCUGCUGGGGAAUCGGAGGGUGGGGUGGGGUGAGAAUUACCUAGUUAGGGUUUGGAGGGGCACCAUGUGACCUUUUAUGUAGCAAUAAAUGGGCCAGGCCAGUCAAGAAACAAUGGGGUAUUAUAGGCUGAGAUGUGCUACUUUGGUACGAUGGACUGGUUUAUAAAACCCAUAGGUUUACGGGUUCGGAUCAGAUCCAUGCCUGCAAACCCGAUGGUCCGGCAUAUUACUCAUUAAGAGACCCAUGGGUUUAAAAGUUAACCCAUACCUAUACCCUAAAAAAGCAAAAAUCCAUCGGGUUGAGUUUCGGGCACCCAUUGCCAUCUCUAUUUGUACUCCCAAUUAUCUUCUCGGUUCAUGCAAUGAUAUGAAGCUCUUUUGCAUAGUAAAAAAAGAUCGGUGCGGAUUAGUUUAGACUUAGUGUACCUUUUAUAGGUAAUUAUCCUUGAAUUAUGUUAAAUGAGCGAUCACUCAGCAUCAUUGUUGACUUGCGAGACUCUCUAAUUGAGCUUAUGGGCAAGCGAUGACAUGUGUUUGUACGUGGGAGGAGUAGCUUGUUCAGGGGUGUAGUAGAUAAUGAGGAUUUUUAGAAUGGUCGAAAAAAAUGAGAAGCUGUUCAUCGAGAUGAAUCGUAGGUUGGAGAGAUAAGAAGUACCUAAACAAAAGUACUAAGUACCAAACAGGUAGGACCAAGUAUCCAAAAUAGUGGACCCGUACCCAAUUUAAUUUAAUUUUUUAAUUAUCUUUCCCGGAUCAACGGCUAGCAAAUAUUUAAUAAAAUAGUAUUUGGAAGUAGCAACUGGUAUUUGUAACCAUUGUAAUAGAUAAUAAGUAUUAUAAGCCCCUCUAAUUGAGCUUGCGGACGGUGAGCAACCACAUGUUUUUGUAUGGGCGGAAUAACCUGUGGUAAGAGUAGAGAAGUACUACUACUAAUGAAACCACUGACCAGCAGUUUUGGAGAAGCCAAUUCAUAGAUAUCAGUGUUUAGGGAGACAUUCUGCAAUUCAUAUGGAGUUGCCCGAUCGGAAGCUUGAUCACGCGAGAGAUUAAUUUUGCAGAACGCCCGUUCGAUUUGUAUUGCCAUUUUGCUAUCAGGUCUCCGUUCCUUGUGGCUGCUCAUACAGUGCAAGCAGCAGAUGUGGCCCAACGAAACAAGCAUCCACAUCAGAUGUGGCCAAACGAAACAAGUAUCCAUCAGAUGUGGCCCAUAACUGGAGGGUCCAAGUGUCAGUGAUUCAGCGUCACAAUGGAUGUUGUACAGUAUGUCAGAGAAUCUGCUCCGGUAGACGACCAUCGCGUGCGGCCAGCCAUCUCCGUCCACGGCCUAUCCGAGCCGAGGAUGGCUCUCAAUUAAAAAAAGACCGAACCGUCGGGCCGGCCGGAGGGUGACCAAAACUGCAUGAGCGCCAUACAAGUGGCUGAGUGUUGGGUGCCCACCGGCGGAUCUCUCUUUCAACAGUUAUUGACACGCAUGGAUGGAUGACUGUACUCGAUCCACAGCCAUUCGACCCCAUGAGUUUUUUUCUUUGUCUGUUCCUUUCGUUCCAAGUGAAUGAAAGAGAUCCGUCUGUGACACCGACAGCACCGAAACGUUAAAGUGUGCUCUUGUACCAGUAUACUGUGGGUCCGAACAAAAUGAUUAUGUCGAAACUAAUAAAAAAAAUUAUAGGAAAAGGCGACUCCAAAAGACUCCUUUUUUUUUUUGAAACGUGUCUACCACGUGCGCUAUGUCACUCGAAUUUUGGAUCCGUUGGAUCAAAAACUAAACGCUAUCGAUUAAGUCCCCCAUGCCCUCAUCGCCUCACCACAACAUCUACCUUAUCCAUUCACCGCUCGGCACCCCCAUGUCCCGCGGCCCAAUGCCCUCGAUGGCGUCAUCUUCAUCAAUUUUGACCGAGCUCCCCCCUGCACUCCAGCGGCGCAACGCCGCCACCCACCACCAUGGUCCACGCUAACUCAUCAGGAUCCAGUGUCCCCGCCACUACCACCGCCCACCGGGGGCUCCCGUCACCCGACUCUGGCGGUGCCCUCGUCGCCUCCUCUCCUGCCUCCACCACCGGCUGGCGAGCUGCCCUAGGUCCCUCUAGACCCGUAGGUCAUAGGUAACUCCCAAUCCCCACUCCCAACACAAAUCCUAACUCUAACCGGCCGGAGUUCUCACCAGAGCUUAAGAUGAUGUUAUGGUAGCAUUCAAUCAUCGGCCAGCAAAAACCGGAGCACUUUUCCCUUUGAAAAUGGGUGAACGUGGGUGGUCUAUAUGUUACGGUGAUAUAUGAACCAAAAUGAGGAUUCAAAAGUUGAUUUCUGUUAUGUUGUGUGCUAGCCUCUUCUAAUGUGUUGUUCAUGACUUCAUGGUAUGUGGCCCUUGUGUGCCUAGCUAGGUUGAUUAUCUUUAGCUUCUUUGCAUUGUUUGCACGACAAAUUAACACAUUGACACAUUGCAGGGACGAAGUACCUAGCACUACUCCACAGCCCUUCAUCAUCGCUGACUCCAAACCCAUCAUCACCGCUGGUUUCGGAUCCUUUGUACAGAAGGAGGCGGUGAUGGGAACCUCCAUCAUCGCCGAACCAAGAAUUGGCGGUGAUGCGAGUUAAAAAAAAUUAAAAAAAUCCCCACCCUGUGAGAGUGCAUUUAGGUUCCUAAGUGGGUUUUGGUGAAUUGAAUGACAAAAUAAUUAAAGAACUAACUUGUUUGCUUAAGAUUGUGAGCAAGGUUUUAUUCUCAUAUUUAUGAUGUGAUAUUGUCUUAUAAGUUGAAUAAGUAUUAUAUGGCUCACAAUAAAGAAAAGCAAGUAAGUAUGUGAUCCCGUGAUGAAAUUAUAUGAUCAAUGACAAGCAAGGGUGAAGUAAAACCUGGGAAUAUAUCUUAUGGUUGAUCUAUAAGUCUCUAAAUCAUGUGAUAGCUUGAUUGACAAGUAAAGGGAUCAUUAAGAAAAGAAUAGUGAUAUUCACAAAUGGAUAUUGCAAGACUUCAUGUGCAUAUGAUAAAAGGAUAUGAGCUUAUGUGUUACAUAUUGGUCUUGCUAUUGGAAGUUUGCAAUUCAUGAGAUAUUCUUUAUCAAUCAAGAACAAGCAUUUGAAGAGGAUUUCAAAUGGGAUUUCAUUGUUGAUGUCAAAAGCAAAGAUAAACUUAAAGUGGCAGGAAUAGGUAAAGAAAUCAAGCGAGAUACUAGAGCGAGGGACCAAGCAAGCUUUGGUCAAGCGACGGCUUGGACUAUGUGGGUUUUGCUAAGGUGAAGUGGCUAGUAUCUAGGGGGUUUUGUAGUAUCAUAUCUAAACCUUAUCGAGGGAAGCAAUACAAUGCAUCUAUUCUAUUUGUGAUUGAUGAAAUGGAGUGACUUACGGUUUCAAGUAUAUCUUAUCAUGAAUAAGAGAAAAUUUUAAGUCACUAACUCAAGAUGUAUGUGCUCAAGAUGAUAGCUAUGUUGAGAGCCCUAAAAUGACUAUUGAUCAAAGUAUGGCAUGGAUGAAGACUUACAAGCUCAAGUGGAUGAUAUAGUAUUUACAUUUAUUCUUGAGUAUAGGUAUGCCGUACUAUCAAGAGGGAUGCAGUUUUAGCUAAUUGACAACACCAAAAGUGCUCUUAGUUGACCUAUGUGAGAUUGGCCUUAAGAAAACCCUUGAGUGAGCUAACUGUCCCAGCUCAGCUAACAAUGGUCGAUUCAACCAAUGGGUGGACCGAGAGUGAGUGUUUGAGAGUUUUGGGGCUAACUCAUCCAAACCGGUCUGACCAGUCUAGGGGUUCAGAGAACUAACGGCUAACUCAGCCAAACCAAUCUGACCGAUUUGGCAGACCGACUUGACCGGUCUAAGGGCAACGGCUAGUUUUUUAAACUAAAGCAGUUUGACCGAUCUAGCAACCGGUCUGACUGGUUUGAUCAGCUCCAACGACUAGUCUUUGGUUUGUGGGGUUAUAUAUACCCCUUGGCCCCCUCCUUGGUGGGCUGCUAGUUACACACGCAUUGGACACAUCUAGUGAUCAGGAAAGCUCUCCCUAACCUCUCUUUGUGAGCCUUGAGUGAUUCUUUAGAAAUAUUUGAGUUGAGUUGAGAGACUGAUCUUGUGUGAUCAUUAGUGAGCUGAAAAGAGCAAUCCAUAGCUUGAGCACUUGUGGUUUGCAUCGAGAAAGCCUUUGAAGCAUUUGUUACUCUUGGAGGUGUGCCUCCUAGACGGCUAGGCAUUGCCAUCUAGCUCCCAAGUUGUGGUGAGCAACAACAAAUUUGUGAGGGCUGCGAUCUUGCCUUCACAAGGAAAAGAUCAUCUAGUGGAGAUGAGAAAAGUGGUUGAAAGAGACCUAGCUUGUUGGAAGGGAGUUGAAAUAGACUCGUAUUCCAAUAGGCUCCUCAACGGAGACGUAGGAUUCAUUACAGUGAAUCUAAACUUCGGAUAAACAAAUCCUUGUGUCUUCAUUUGGUUUGCUUUACUUGUUAAUUUCUACCAAUUUACUUGUGCUUCCGCUUCGAUCUACUUGGGUGUGAUUGUAUUGUGUGCAGGGACUACUUUGCCCUGUUGGAAAUCAUCUACAGAAACUACUCUCCAAGUUUGGUUGGUGCUAGACGUCAAGGAGGGACUUGAGCAGCACUUGGUGUGGCACCCUGCCUGGACUGGUCUGAUCGAUAUGGUGUACCAAUCUAACCGGUUUUGCCUGGGCAGUGCUACUGAAAGGGUUGAAAUUUUACAAAUUUGUCAACUAGUCUAUUCACCCCCCCUCUAGGUGACAUCUCGAUCCUUUCACCCUGGAUCCGGCCGCAUCGGCUGGAUCCGCCCUUGGAUUCGAGAGAGGGGGGGGGGUCUCACCGUCGCCACCGCCAAGCCUGCCAUGUGCCGCUUUCACCGCCGCUCCCCCUAGAUCUGCUCCUCCCCAUGCGUCGCCGCUCCUGCCGCUGGAUCUGCUCCUCCCUAUGCGCCGCUGCUACUCCGCCGCGUUGACCCGUCGUGCCCCGGCGGCUACGGCCGCAACUACUCGCCCCACCAUUACUCCUCACUAGUGGAUCUAGUCUGGUGAGGGGUGGCGCGAGAGGAGGGAGGCUAGAGGAGAGAUAAAUAUGUGUAUUCUAUUUAUUAUUUUGCCAACCGGAUCAGAAUUGAAAUAAACUCAAUUAUUUGUCAGGCUCGUUUGGUUAAAUUUAUGUUUGCCUUAAGUGGGCUUAGCCCACAUAUAAUUGGACCAAAAGUCAAUUUCAUUCAUAAAUCAGGACUAAAAGGGCCGCAAACAAUUUGCACAACUUUUGGGCUCGACCCAGCAACAAAUGGGCCUACCAAAAUCAAUUUUCGGCUAUCUGAACAACAUUAGUCUGUGGGAAUAAAUUUGGACUUGACCCAAUAACAUAUGGGACUACCGGAAUCAAUUUUGGGCUAUCUGAACAACAUUGGCAUGUGGAAACAAUUUUGGGCUUAACCCAACAACAAAUGGGCUAAAUUCAUUUUAUGAAGAAACAAUUUGUCACAAUUGUCAUGCCACAUCGGAUGCCACAUUAGAUUCUAUCCAUCGUGGCAAAACAAUGGGAUCCAACUUAUGACGUUUCUGUUUGACGAUUUGUAGGCAUCAUAAUCUUAAUGACGCAACGAAAUAAGGAAUGUCACUAGUCGCGGUUUAUGACGCUCGACUAAUGAUGAAGGAUUUCGUAACUCCAGCGUCAUGAAUCAUGGUUUAUGAUGCAAAAAAGCGUGCAUGACACUUUUUAGUUCGUCAUGCACUGGAAGAUUUCUUAUAGUAGGGCCCGAACCAACCCGCCGAGAUGUAAGGACCCCCUCCCUUCAUUUCUUUUUGUAAAACUGGUCCCUAACAUAAAUAAGGGGAAACCAACCCUCUUCCUCUCUCUCUCUCUCCCUCUCUCCCCCCACACACACGCACGCGUGCACGUGCACGCACACACACGCGCCCACACACACACUAGUCUCUUAUUCUCCCCUCCCUUGCAAGCACUCCAUUGUAAUCUCUGAGUUCUUGAGCUUGAGGAACAUGAACCACUGCUCUCAACCUGGCCUAGGGCUUCCAUCCAAACUAGUAUAAUCCCUCGAAUUUGACAGCUAUCCAUUGAUUGCCAGGGACACGCGAUGCAUAUACACUUGUUUGCGGUACGAAUCACCGAUAAUGACUUUAUGUAGAUCAAAAUCAUGAUACAAGUAGAGAGUAAGUUAUGAGUACAGUGAACAGUAUAUAGCUUAUGAAAAUUAACAUAUUUAUUAAUAAAUAUUUGAAUAAUUAAAUAUACACAAUAAACAUAAAUAAAUAUUACCAUAAAUAUAUUAAACUUUUAAUAAGAAAAUAAGUACAUUAGCAGUAUAAAUAUAAUUUAUAUAUGAAGUAGGUAAAAUAAUGUAUUAAAAAUUAAUAUAAUUAGUCAUAUUAAAAUUAAUUAAACUUUAUCAUUAUAUAUCACUAGUAUAUUAGAUUAACAUGAUUAGUCAUUUGUCAUAUAGAUAAUUUUUAAUAUUUUAAAUGGAGACAUCGUUACUUUAUUAGUAAUAUUAACAAUAACAUCAUUUAUCAUUAGUAAUUAGUCACAGAAACAAGUUUGGAUACAGAUAAUGUAGGAAGUUUCACAUUUCCUCAAAUACGAAUCCAGAACUGAGUAGAAAAAAUACUUAAAAUCGGAUCCGGAUCAUUCAUUUAACAUCUAUAUUAUAUUUAAAUACGAAUAUGAAUAUUUAUAUUGGUAUUUUUAGCGGAUACGAAUUUGGAUAAUUCGAAUUUUCAGACAUAGCCAGGUCACGAGUCCAGGCCAAUGGUACCAGGCGAGUUUGAUGCCGUGAGCACUAGGAAGUGAUGUCAUGACUACCGUGUCAACAGUGUCGCUGAUCACAGCAGAUUUGCCGAGUGCCCAGGGCACUCGGCGAAGCCCAAAAGCACUCGCAAAGGCUUUACCGAGUGUUACACUCGGCGAACAACACUCGGCAUUGAUUUACUCAGCAAAUGUUUCUUUGCCGAGUGUUUUUUGUUGGGCACUUGGCAAACACUUUGCCGAGUGCUAGACCGACUCUCGGCAAAAAAAGGUAAGCGACAGGGAGAAGACGGUGACGGCGACUUUGCCGAGUGUCUAAUGACAAAAACACUCGGCAAAGUCUUGUGCCUCUUUGCCGAGUACCGGCUGCCAAAACACUCGGCAAAGUCUGCUUCUUUGCCGAGUGCCAGUUGCCAAAACACACGGCAAAGCCUGCCUCUUUCCCGAGUGUCAUCGGGCAUAAACACUCGGCAAAGAGGCAAGAUUUGCCGAGUGUCAAACCCUGACACCCAGCAAAGCCUUGCGUCCUGGACCAGAUUUUGGUGACACUCGGCAAAGAGGCCAGUGACACUCGGCAAAGAGGCCAAAAUCUACCCAAAAUGCAUAGAAUUUUGCCAUGUGUCCUCUGUGCCGAGUGUAUUUCUUCUAGCACUCAGCAAAGAGGCCAAAAUCUGCCCAAAAUGCACAGAAUUUUGCCAUGUGUCCUCUGUGCUGAGUGUAUUUCUUCUGGCACUCGGCAAAGAGGCCUUUUGCCGAGUGUAACACUUGGCAAAGCAACUAUAUAUUUCCAGUUUUUAUGGUUCGGUCACAUAUAACGUACCCCAUUCAAAUAAACAUUACAGGCAUCACACAUAGUUCACAAUAAGCAUCACAUGUAGUUCAUAUAGAUAUAUCGACAACACAUAAAUGCAAAUAAACUUCAGAAUCACAAGUAGGUUCAUUCACAACCACAAAUACAAAUAAAAUUCACUGAGUGCAAGGGUGUCCACUGAGUAGUAACAAGUAGUCAGUGAGUAGUCACAAAUAAUCCACAAAUGCAAAUGCAAAUAAAAUCACAAGUAGUCAUUGAGGAGGCCACAGUGUCCAUUGUGACCACGCUAGGUCAUGAGGCUCAUUCGAUGCUGCUGAUUGAUUCUGCACAAAGGAGAAGAGAUAAAUCAUUCUAGUUUCUAGAUUCUAGUUUAUUUCUAGUUUGUAAACUAUAAAUCAUUCUAGUUUCUAGUUUAUUUGUAGUUUUUAGGCAUCUUGGCAUCUUUGUAAGAUUGAUUCUACAUGAACCAGAAACGAUGAUUAUAAGGUUGUGAAGUGACUCACAGGAGUAGUUGUAGGAGGUUGAGGAGGAUGGAAUGGGAUCGGUGGCGGAGGUUGACCCAUCCUCUCACAAACACCCUGCAUAUACUCAAACAUCUGCUCCAUCCUCUGCCGAUCUGCCUCCAUCCUCUGCCGAUCUGCCUCCAUCCUCGCCUCUAGCGACUCCUGUAGCCUCCUUUCUUCUUCCACCUAGGCCUACAAUAUUUCAUCCUAAUGUUACAAUGUAAUGCAAAAGUAUGUAAAAAUCAAUGAACGAUGAAUAAAAUAGAAAUAACCUAGAGUGCCACCAUCUGGAACCGUGUAGUGUCCGGCCGUGGGCGUAUCACCGGGCUGGAACUCGUGCUCCUUGCUCGAAUCUGGGAGAGAGUGGGAGUACUGGCCGUGUCGAUUGUGAUGUUGCCAAUCCAGUACUGGCCAUGCUUCUUACCUCCUCCCGCUCUCAUGAUGACUUCUCCAUCAAGGUCCUGGGUGCUCGGAUCAUACUCUGGGCCAUGGUUGUCAGCAUAGGAAGUUUGUCAGCAUAGUAUUUUGUUGUGAAGUUUGACACCUCCUCCAGAAUGUAUGUCUCUGCUAUGGAUGCUUCAAUUUUGCAUUUAUUUUUAUAUUUAGUUCGAAGAACCUUUUGACAUCUCUCAAUUGAAUAGCACCAAUGGCCCUGGACAGGCCCCCCAUUCGUGCCUCAUACGGGAAGGUGUAAAAUCAAAUGCUGCAUCAGAUUGAAGAAGCUGAGUGGAAAGAUUUUCUCCAACUUAUAGAGCAACACAGGCGUCAUUCUUUUCAUGUCUGCAAGCACGGUACGGGAUAACUCCUUUAGCACAAAGUUGGCGGAAGAAAAUUGCUCAACUCCACAAGUACUAUCCAGACAUGCUCAGGUACAUAGCCUCGAACCAUCACCGGUAGUAGCCGCUCAAGCCAUAUGUGGUGUCAUGACUCUUGAGCCCGUUGAUUCGCAAAGUAGCUAAGUUCACUCNNNNNNNNNNNNNNNNNNNNNNNNNNNNNNNNNNNNNNNNNNNNNNNNNNNNNNNNNNNNNNNNNNNNNNNNNNNNNNNNNNNNNNNNNNNNNNNNNNNNUGUUAUGUGGAAGAAGAAGGUUAUCAAAAUAGGGGAGGUUCCACAAGCAUGACUUCUGAGUCCAGGCAUGUUGCUCACCAUAUCCCAGAAAACCAUCUCCUUGUUCAUUGACCUCGAGAGCAUCUAACUGAGCAUGAACCGCGGCACCAAUCAUCAUCUAGGGUGUAGGGUCUUCAACUACUUCUUUCGUAAAGUUCUUGAUGUCUUGUCUGAAUGGAUGGUCAAGAGGGAGGAAUUGUCGAUGUUUGUCGAAUGAAGAAAAAUUGCCACCCUUUGUCAAACAAAUGAACAUCAGAGACGCCUUGCAUACUGGGCAUGGGAACUUCUCGUGAACACACCAGCCGUACAAUAUCCCAUACGCUGGCAAGACAUGCAGGGAGUACUGGUACCAAACAUUCAUUUUGAAGUUUGUCUUUGUAGCUUGGUCGUAUCUCCAUACCCUUUCCUCCCAAGCACGGGCCAAAUCAUCAAUCAGAGGCUCCAUGUACACACUCAUAUUAUUCCCUGGGUGUUCAGGAAUUAUAAACGACAAGAAUAUGUUCUGUCGUUGAAAGAGGACGCCAGGGGGGAGAUUGAGGGGGAUAAUGAACAUGGGACAACAAGUGUAUGGGGAAGCUGCCAUUCCAUAAGGAUUAAACCCAUCUGUUGCCAGCGCAACACGUACAUUACGAGCCUCUAGAGCUUUCUCAUGAUGAAUCAUAUCAAACCUUGUCCAUGCUUCACCAUCGAAUGGAUGUACCAGCUUCUCAGGAUUGUAUCGACAUCCAUAUUUGUGCCAUGUCAUCUGUUUCACAGAUUCCUCAAUCAUAUAAAGCCCUUGGAUCCUCAGUAUGAAUGGAAGGUACCGUAGGAUCUUCAUGGGGAUUGCGAGCUGCCUCUUCUGACCAUCACCAGAGUCUACCUCCAGGAACCUAGAGGAUUUACACUUCACACAGUACUUUGAUUCCACAUGUUCUUUCCUACAUAAGAUGCAUCCCUUCGGACAAGCAUGUAUUUGCUCAUAUGGCAUCUUAAGUGCAUGAAGGACUUUAUGUGCCUCACACAGGCUCUUUGGCAGAAUGUGACCAUCCGGGAGUAGGCUACCAAAAACUGUCAGCAUAACAUCGAAGGCUUCUCGACUCCAGCUAAAUUGGAACUUUACGGCCAUUAGGCAUGCAAUGGCAUCCAGUUGAAAAAUCUUGGUAUGUCCGUGAAGGGGUUGCUGUGCCACAGACAACAUAUUGUAAUACACCUUUGCGAUUUCCUUUGGCUCGUCCUCCCUACGUCCGUCAUCGAAGUGUGCUUCAUGAUAGCCAUUUAACAUGUAUCCUACCUCGGCAUCAGCAUCAUCCUCGAUGCAUUGUCUCACGACCUCAUCUCUCACACGAUCGAAUUCACCAUGGUAGAUCCACCGGGUAUAGUCUACCGUAAAUUCAUUCUUGCUAAGAUGUUUACCCAUGACCACCUUUGUUUGUCGAUGCGAGUUUGCGCAAAUGUUGUAGGGACACCAAGUGGCACGUGCUCCUUUAACCCUUGCAAAUGCUAGUUCCAAGAAAGCAUCGGUCUUCUCAAUCCAUUCAUCAAUCAACGAACCCUUACUAGAGCAGCCCGUGUACAUCCACUCACGAUCAUCCAUCCUCUAACAUAUCAGCAAGUAAUAUAAAAAUCAAUUGCAUCUACAGGUUCCUAUGCUGUCUAAUAGGUGAAGAUAGGUCCUAAUCCCACCCGAGGAUGUGUAGAUGGGGUUAGUUUCCAUGCUCUACUCCUAUCCGAGAUUGUUCAUGUGCAUUUUGUGUACAAGAGAUUGCUUCUACUAUUAAUUUGUUAUUGACUACUACUCUCAUAGGUGGAUGAAGUACUCAAGGUAAUUAAGCAAAGCAGAAGCACCAGGUAAUUUAGCAAAAUUGACUCCUACUCCAACCUAUCACGUAGGGGGCAGGGGGCGGCGCAGGGGGCCGGGGGCGGUGCUAGGAGGCCGUGCAGUGGGGGCGUCGGGGGUGGGACGCCGGGCGCCAGGGGUGGGGCGUCGGGGGCCACGCGUCGGGGGCCGGGAGGCCGGCCGUCGGGGGCCGCACUGCAGGGGUGGGAGGGUGGGUGCCGAGGGCUGAGCGCUAGGGGUGGGGGCCGGUGGCUCGGGCGCGGGCACGGGGCCGGCGUUGGGAGGUCGGCAACUCGGGCGCGGUACCGGUGGCGGGGCACGGGAGGCCGGCAGCGUGGCAUGUGUGCGUGUGAGUUUGGGUGCCUGCGUGUGUGCGGGUGAGGGAGCGGUGUUACCGGUUAUGAAGCACAUUUGCCGAGUACCCCAGAUCUGGCACUCGGCAAACCCGGGUAUGCCGAGUACCCCAGAUCUAGCACUCCGCAAAGCCGGGUAUGCUGAGUGCCAGAUCGGGACACUCGACAAAAGUCGUUUUUUUAAUUUUCCUUCUUUUCCAUAACGUGUUUUUCUAAAUUUGUUCUGAUGUACUUAGAAAAUACCUUGUCAAAUUCACUCAACAAUGUAUAUUUGAUUUUUCUACGAAUAUUAUUCCAUUAUUUUAUGCAGUUAUAGCUCAAAUUCAAUUUAUAUCAAUUAAAAAUCUAUAAUUGCACUUAACAUAUUAAAAUUAUCAAACGGUUCCAAAAAAUUACAAAAAUUUCACAUGGUACAAUCUAUGUUCUCUAUUGCCUAUACAAAAAGGUUUGAAGUCAAACCCCAAUUCAACCGUCACUUUGACUCCAAAUCUUACCGAAUGCAUCUCAACGCUACGAUUCUUCUUCGAAGAUGCUUCGGUUUGUAAACAUCGUACGUGACAAAUUAUGCGAAACCUUCUCAAUUUUUUACCACAGCCUCCACAUAUGAUAUCAUCACAUCGUGACAAAUCUCAUGAUUUUUUGCUUUUUUUAGAAUUUAAAAACCAUUCGGCCACACGUUCGUGGUCGUGUUUCCUGAACAAGAUGUUCAAAAUUUCUUUUCAUUUCCUGGAUAAGGCCUCACACUGGACUCAAUAACAUAAUAUCAUUUUUCUACUCAUUUUAUUCUCUUAUUUGAAUCAUUUGCAGUUCAAAUUUGACUUAUACCAAAAAAUUCCUUGAAAUGCAAUAAAUUAAUUAAAUAUAGCAAAUAGAUCCAGAAAUAUACCAAAUUUGUACAUGGAGUACCGCAUGUUGUAUGCGGAGAGGAGAAAGGAGGAAAAAAACUUAUUUGUUUGCUAAGUGCCAGGAAACACACUCGACAAACUUACCUAUUUGCCGAGUGCAUAGGGAAAACACUCAGCAAACUUAUAUAUUUACCGAGUGUCGAGAUGAAACACUUGGCAAACUUAUUUCUUUGCCGAGGGCCACUCACGGACACUCGGCAAAGUGCUAACGGCCGGCACACCUCCUAACGGAUGUCGACGUGGCAGUCUUUUGCCGAGUGCCUAUUCUUUGCCGAGUGUUUUGUUCUAGUUUGCCGAGUGUUUGUUUCGCUACACUCGGCAAAGAGUUUGUUUGCACUAGUAGAGAAUUAGGCUUUAGUCCUGGUUGGUAGGGUGCAAAUACCACCCACGGCCGGCGCUGCAAAAAAAAAAUUCCCGAGCUCCCAGGAGGCCCCCCACACGCGCAAGUCACAAGUCACGCGAUUUUUCACGCGAAAUAUGCGCGUGCGCGGUUCAUGGGAUUCGAACCCACAACCUCCAGCCUCGCGCGUAGCUUCCUUGCCAUCCCACCUACACACCACAUCUGACUAUGUAGGGGAUGCUAUCCUUUUGUAUUAACUCGUGGGGACCCUUUUUAUCCCGGGUUGGANNNNNNNNNNNNNNNNNNNNNNNNNNNNNNNNNNNNNNNNNNNNNNNNNNNNNNNNNNNNNNNNNNNNNNNNNNNNNNNNNNNNNNNNNNNNNNNNNNNNNNNNNNNNNNNNNNNNNNNNNNNNNNNNNNNNNNNNNNNNNNNNNNNNNNNNNNNNNNNNNNNNNNNNNNNNNNNNNNNNNNNNNNNNNNNNNNNNNNNNNNNNNNNNNNNNNNNNNNNNNNNNNNNNNNNNNNNNNNNNNNNNNNNNNNNNNNNNNNNNNNNNNNNNNNNNACACCGGCAAAGGAGCCCCAGUCACCUCGUUGGGGACCCUUUUAUCCCGGUUUGAAACACCAACCGGGAUAAAUGACCCCCUUUUAUCCCGGUUGGUAUUACAAACCGGGAUAAAAGGCUCUUGACCCUUUUAUCUCGGUUGGUGUUACCAACCGGGAUAAAAGGGGAGGUCUUUUAUCCCGGUUGGUGUUUCAAACCGGGAUAAAAGGUCUCUCAGAGUCUUUUUUUCCCACUAGCCUUUGCAACCGGGAUAAAAGGUCCCGGUUGGUGAGUCCCCCACCAGUGACCGAGUUUUAGUCCCGGUUGGUGAAUCUUUUGUCCCGGGCCAACUUUAAACCGGGACAAAAGGGGACGUAUGGAAAGCCAAUUCUCUACUAAUGUUGGUGAGUGCUAUUAUUAUGUUGAGUGUUUCUCUUGCAACACUCGGCAAAGAGAUUGUUUGCCGAGUGUGCGAAGGAUUGCACUUUCGGGUAGUGGAUGUCAUGACUACGGAGUUUGAUGCUGAGUCUGAUCUGAUCCACAGCACACUCUGCCAUUCCACCACACACUACCGUGUCAACAGUGUCGCUGUGCUUUCUGCUUUACUCCCUUCUACAUGUGUUUCACGUGCAUGAGAUCGUAUGCGCGGCUACAACAUGCUGGUGCUUUUUACGCCACAGCCCAUCGAGCGUUCGAACACCAUAAAUAGCCCGUCUCGGUCUGGGCCAUUCGAGUAGCAUCGCAGCUGGGCCAUGCCACAAAGAGCUCACCGAUCAGUUCUCCAUCGCUCCCAUCCUGCAAAACUGAAACAUGGCAAUGGAGCUGGCGGCAGCGGCCUCGCCGGCGCUUGAAGCUCCCUUGCCCUCCUCCUCGACUGUCCUCCAAGUGUUACUGCUCAUGGUGAUGCUCGUGUACCUCGUCCAAACCCUCAUGGCGCGGCGGAAGAGCACGUGCACCGCGCCGCUCCCGCCAGGGCCGACGCCAUGGCCCGUUGUCGGCAACCUGCCGGAGAUGCUGCUCAGCGACAAACCGGCGUUCAGGUGGAUCCACCUCAUUAUGAUCAAAAUGGGCACCGACAUCGCCUGCGUCAAGCUAGGCGGCGUCCACGUGAUCCCGAUCACCUGCCCCAUGAUCGCACGCGAGGUGCUCAAGAAGCAGGACGCCAACUUCGCCUGCCGGCCGCUGAGCUUGGCCUCCAAGACAUUCAGCAGAGGCUACAUGGACGCCGUGAUGUCCCCCUACGGCGACCAGUGGAGGAAGAUGCGCCGCGUGCUAGCCUCCGAGGUCGUUUGUCCUUCCCGCCACAGGUGGCUCCACGACAAGCGCGCCGCCGAGGCCGAUAACCUCACCCGCUUCGUCUACAACCUCGCCGGCGGAGCGGGGUCCGGCGGCGCCGCCGUCGACGUCAGGCACGUCGCGCGCCACUAUUGUGGGAACGUCGUCCGCCGCCUCGUCUUCAAUAGGCGCUACUUCGGCGAGCCGCGGCCCGACGGCGGCCAAGGCCCGCUGGAGGUGCAGCACGUGGAUGCGGUGUUCACCUCCCUGGGGCUCCUCUACUCCUUCUCCGUCUCCGACUACCUCCCCUGGCUGCUGGGCCUCGACCUCGACGGCCACGAGAAGAUGGUCAGGGAGGCCCAGGAGACGGUGAGCAGGCUGCACGACACGUUCAUCAACGAGCGGUGGCGGCAGUGGAAGAGCGGCGAGAGGCAGGAGCUCGAGGACCUCCUCGACGUGCUCAUCACGCUCAAGGAUGCCGAGGGCAAACGAUCCGUGCUCACCGUCGAUGAGGUCAGAGCUCAGUUGCAGGACAUCACGUUCGCGGCCAUGGACAACCCAUCGAACGCGGUGGAGUGGGCGAUGGCCGAGAUGGUGAACGCUCCGGAGACGAUGAGGAAGGCGGUGGCGGAGCUCGAUGCCGUCGUCGGCCGGGACCGACUGGUGCAGGAGUCCGACAUACCGCGGCUCAACUACCUCAAGGCCUGCAUCCGCGAAGCGUUCCGCCUGCACCCCGUGGCGCCGUUCAACGUCCCCCAUGUCGCGCUCGCCGACGCCACCGUCGCCGGCUACCACGUCCCCAAGGGCAGCCACGUCAUCCUCAGUCGAAUCGGCCUCGGCCGCAAUCCUGCCGUCUGGGACGAUCCGCUCCGGUUCGACCCUGACCGACACCUCGACGCCAAUCCCGAGGCGGAUGUCACGCUCGCCGAGAACGACCUGCGGUUCAUCUCUUUCAGCACCGGUCGCCGCGGCUGCAUUGCCGCUUCACUCGGCACCGCCAUGAGUGUCAUGCUCUUUGGCAGGCUCUUGCAGGGGUUCGCCUGGAGCAAGCCGGCCGGGAUGGCGGCCAUCGACCUCAGCGAGUCAAGGCACGACAUGUUCAUGGCCAAGCCGCUGGUGCUGAACGCCGAGCCACGGCUGCCGGCGAACCUCUACUCGGCUAUCUCUCCGUAAUUCGUCCCUAGUUGCGGUUCAACAUGUGGAAAAUUACGCAUCAUAAAUUUUUUGUUACGGAUAAAGCCAAAUCAACGAUAGGGUUAGUCCAUGUUUAGACUUAGAUAUAAAGUAUUUUUUGAGAUUAUUAGAUGAACAAUACGAUUUUGUAAAAUACGUUGGUUUUAGAAAGCUAAGAAGUGUCUAGAUGCCACAAUUUCUGUGGUUUUUAAAAACCAUAGUAUUGCUAACUAAAACUGAAACACCAUAUUUUUUAGAACCAUGGUUUUACACGUCUAUACUAUAAUAUCCGUUGGAAACGCCUAGCACCUGAUGCUCCAAUAGUGCACCGGAACAUUAUGAAAAUAAUAUCCGCAACAUUGAAAUAAACUUUUGCAACAGUAAAAAUAGGUGCACCAUAAUUAUUCAAUUCAUUGACUACGAGAUGUACUAGAAUUGUUGAUACUUAGUUGAUAGCUAGGGACCGACGAGCAUCUUACUUUUGAACCAUGGUUUUAGUCGUGUUUGGCUACGGGCUAUUUUCAGUUUGAGUGAAAUACGUAGCAGGAGUACCAUUCAGGUCCCGAACACCUAAAAUCAGCAUGCUAAUCGGUUUAGGUGAGAUCCAAAUUUUCAUAACUUGCGUUAAACUGUACAGUGACAUGCUGAUUGUGUGUUGACAUAGACAUGCUACCGCUGUCCACCCUCGCGCGGGGCCGGCGCCGUCCACUGCACCCGAGGUGUUGGCCCAUGGCUAGCCGUCCACCCUUGCACCGGGCCGAUGCACCCGCGCAUGGCUGUGGCCGCCGCCGUCCACCUCCACGCUAGGCCGUCACUGUUACCUGCACACGGCCGCGGCCGCAUCAUAUCGAUGGCUGCUGCUGCAUGAGAGCGCCAUGUGUAGCAAAAUGGGUAGGCUACUCUACCAUAUAACAAUUACAUCUACCGCAUUAUCCUGAGACUUACGAGUAAAGGAGUCAUGAAUCGUUACCACUAGACGUGUAGCGCAGCGGAAAAGUAGUUGGAGCAGCCGGUCCAACGUAGAUGCGCAUUGGUGUAGAGGAAGUAGUCGAUCAUGAUUGCCUCCUCCUCGUCCUCGCCCCAGCAGCCACCUCGCGUCGUCGUAGCCGAUCAACACAGCAGCAACAGUAGCGGUGCCUCUACGGAGUCCACACAUACGGGGAAGCAAUGCCGUGCGUGCGGCAGGGGUCUCGGGGUCAGGCCGAGAGGAAGUAACAGCUAGGGUUGCGGCAUGGCGCAGAUAGCGUGCCCCUAAUCCCACCCCUCAUAUUUAUAGAGCACACUAAUAGGUUUUGAAGGCCCAUUAGUUACCCUAAUCCGUCAUGGAUCAAUUGUCUUGUGGGCCUUUAAUCCAAAUUGUUAUGAUUGCCUCUUGGGCACAUCACCAACACCAUGUAGGAAGAAAUGAGAUGAUGAGAGGUCCCACCCAGCUUUACAUCAGUAGACACGUCGACGUUUAACCUAAGCAACCGUGAUUGGGAUCUCACGUGAACUGAUUAGUAAAUUUAAUGACUCCAAUAUCAAUUUUCAGAGUUAUGGACCUGGAUGGCAUUCGCUACCAAAAGUUCACCUGGAUGGCAUUCGCUACCGAAAGUUCAUAUACCACCAGUGUAUUUAGGGCUCACGAUUUUCAGACGGACUGCCUCCAACCAUUUGGUGAAAUAAUCAGUAGCUACUAAUAUAAAUUUGUGCCCCUUGCUCAAUGAAGGAUAAAUCUGUCCGAUGAGGUUGACCCCCAACCUCUAAAUGGCCACGGCUUAAUUAUUGGGUUCAUAGCCGAAGCUGGUACUCGUUGCACAUCGCCGAAUCUCUGACAAUCCUGACAUCCCUUAUAAUACUUAAGCAAUCUUUGAGUAUCGUCGGCCAGUAAUAACCAUUGUUUCUAAUCAUCCACUUCAUCUUGUAGGCCGAUUGAUGGGCCCCACAUAUACCUUUGUGAAUCUCUCCCAUCAGAAUCUUUGCUUCUUCUACUUUGAGGCACUUGAGCAAUACUCCAUCAAUCAUCCAGUAAAACAGAUUGUCUUCGAGCAGUUCGUACUUCGUAGCCUGAAGACGUAUUCGUCGAUCAACUUUCUUGGAUGGAUUUUUAAAUAAUCGGCGAUCUCCUUCCUCCAAUCAUCGGCUGCAAGCUCCAGAGCCAUAGCACCUUGAAUUGGUCGAUAUCCGGAAGCAUGCUAGGCAAGCGUAUUAGCUUCUUCAUUGUAAUCCCUGGGAAUAUGGUCAAUAACCGCAGACUUGAACUCCUUCAGUAGCUGGAGGCAGUCUUCAUAAUAGAUCCUCAAGAUGUCAUCCUUGCAUUCAGAUUUCCCAGUCAAUUGGUCCACAGUAAGCAUGGAAUCUCCAAAAAUUUCCACUGCGUCGGCUUUGACCUCUCUCAACAAUUGGAUGCCUUUUAGAAUGGCCCGAUAUUCCGCUUGAUUAUUAGUGGCAGAUGCCUCAAUUGGCAGAGAGAAAUCAUAACUUGCCCCCCGAGGAGAUAUGAGGAUGAUGCCGAUUCCUGACACGACUCCACACGAAGACCCAUUGAAGUAUAGUGUCCACUGAGCUGGCUCAACAACGGCAAUGUCCGGGCCACAGUGCUGUGCUACAAAAUCGGCCAUUACCUGACCUUUGAUAGCCUUAGCCGAUUCAUACCUCAGGUCGAAUUCCGAGAGGGCCAGGAUCCAUUUUCCAAUUCUUCCUUUUAGGAUCGGCAGUGAUAACAUAUAUUUGACGAUGUCAUCCUUGAACACGACUACGCAUUCUGCCAAUAACAGGUAGUGCCUGAGCUUGGUACAAGGAAAAUAUAAGCAAAGCACAGCCGUUCCACUGGAGGAGGGUAUCUAGUUUCUGCAUCCAGAAAUCUUCUGCUGACGUAAUAGAUUACUCUUUAUUUCCCCUCAAACUCCUAAACCAGUGCCGAUCCAAUGGCUCGCUCAUCGGCCGAUAAGUACAGUCCGAAUGGCUUAUCAGCCUGCGGAGGGACCAAUACUGGGGGUGAGACCAAGUACUGUUUGAUGUUGUCUAAUGCUUUCUGCUAUUCUUUACCCUAGACAAAUUCUUGGUCAAGCUUUAGUUUCAACAAGGGGGUGAAAGCUUGAAUACGCCCAGACAAGUUAGAUAUGAAUCACCAGAUGAAGUUAACCUUGCCGAUUAAGGACUAUAGCUUGAUCUUAUCUUGUGGGGCCACAACCUUGUUGAUGGUGGCUAUAAUCUUCUGAUUGAUCUCGAUGCCGCGCUCGUGGACCAUGAAGCCCAGAAAUUAGCCAGCCGAAAUGCCAAAGGCACACUUGUUAGGAUUCAUUUUCAACCCGUGCUUCCUUGUGCAUUCCAACACUUUUCGCAAAUCGGCUAGAUGCUCUUGAUGCCCUUCUGACUUGAUCACGACAUCAUCAAUGUAGAUUUCCACUAGGACACUGAUAAGCUUAUGGAAUAUAUAGUUCAUAGCCCGUUGAUAUGUAGCUCCAGCAUUUUGCAAAUCGAAAGUCAUCACCACCUACUCGAACAAGCCGAGAUGGCCUGGACAUCUAAAGGCUGUCUUUGAAAUAUCUUCUUCGGCCAUUAAUAUUUGAUUAUACCCAACAUUACCAUCCAUAAAGCUGAUGACAUUGUGUCCUACGGCAGCAUCUAUUAAAACAUCAGCCGUCGGCAUCGGAUAUCCAUCCAUCGGUGUAGCUUGAUUAAGAUUCCAGAAGUCAAUGCACAUGCGUAGCUUUCCAUUUUUCUUGUAUACGGGCACAAUAUUGGAAAUCUACUUGGCAUAGUGACACUGCCGAAUAAACCCUGCUUCAAUCAAUCUUGUAAUCUCAGCCUUUAUGUCAGGUAAAAUUUUAGGAUUACAACACCGUGCAGGUUGCUGAUAUGGCCGAUACCCUGGUUUUAUAGGCAACCGGUGUUCGACAAUGGGGUCUAGACCAGGCAUCUCAUGAUACUGUGGCGAAACUGCUCAAAUUAACUUAGCUAAAGCACAUUUUAGUCGCCUGACACACGAUCAUGUACUCUAAUCAAGUUAACUCGGCAGUCCGUCGGAUUUCCUCCGAUAAACCACUUCACAGGACCGAGAAAGCACAGCUCACACGAAGGUGAGUGGUUCCAGAGAAUACAACAGAUCAUCCAAAUUAACCAAGUGCAUUAAUUUAUUACAGCAUCGGUUUCGAAAUUCAGACAUAGUUUGCAGAGUUCUUAAGCAGCGGAAAUAAACAAACGGAAACUAACACCGAUGCUGGACAUCAUGACGAAGCCGAUCAUGACAUCACUAAUCCCGAUUCUCGUUGUCCGAGGAGGGAUCCCACUCGACCGUCCACCCAGGAGGAAGCUCGGGAGGCCAAGUGCCACUUGCAGCAAACUCGAGGGCGUCAACAAUACCUGAAAAGAUGUGCCGCAACAAGGCUGAGCGACCACACUCAACAAGACUUAACCGACGGGUGGUUCUAAUCCACCAACACUAGACAUGCAAGCUCUUUAGCUUUGGGGUUUGUUUUGCCAAAAGCGACUAGUGUAGGUCCUUACUUUCAAUAUUUUAGCCACAAGUUCUACUAUUGUUCAGCAUUCUAAGUUAGCAUCUAUAUUAAACAAGCAUAGCUUUCCAAGCAAUUAAUAAGAAGUAACAAUAUUAAAUCAUCAUCAUAUUCCAUUCUUACUCAGUGUAGCAUAGCGAUCAAGUAGUCCCAAUCUAUGAGAUGCAGACGAAUCGAUUCGAAUUUCUUAACCAUGCAUGGCGAACCUAAUCUCACGACAUCUGCGCACCGCGAAGGGUCGCUUCACGUGUCGGCCGUCCCCAUCAAUUCCCAGACCCAUGUCGGGCCCACUUCCCUUGGUACAAGGCUCCACAGACCCGGCCUCUGUCGUUCUAUAACCACACUUGUCACCACAUACGGCCGCAAGGGAACUUCAUUCCAGAGAUAGUGGAACAAACCGCUCACGUCCUAGUUCAAUCAGGUACUAGGCUUCCCCAUCCUAUACUAGGUAUGAGAUUAGUACUUUCAAACACUUGAUCAUGAACACUAUCACAUCUCGACCUUAAUCCAAUUUCAUGUAGACAGACGGGGCAAUCUACCGACCACCAAAAUAGUUCACAGAGCCCUGCCCCAUCCCUCGUCCUUAUAGUUGUUGCAAAAAGAAAGCAAGCAACUCCUAUAACUCGCGAGUGAAAGGGAAUCACUCGACUUUUACCGAGUCCUAUUUAAGCAAAGUAGCUACUUGAGAUCCUGUCAUACUAGUAUUCAGAACAAAGGAACCUAGGAUCAUGCAACUAGAGUUCCCAAACAACUCCUGUAAACGUAAAUGCACAAAUAUUAACAACAGAAGGCAUGCACAAGUUUAGAAAAUUGGGUUAUGCUCCGGGGCUUGCCUUCACACGCUAAGUUAGCUUGAGGGCCUUCGGCAGGUUCAGCAACAGGCUCUGCCCCGGCUUGGAGUAGCUCUCUAGCAGGGUCCUCGUCAAGCACUUGAUGCAGCUCGUAGGUGCCGUUGGCAACGCUCAGUUCUACAUGAGAUGCAAUGCAAGGAUAAGACACUUAGACGGUGAUUUCAACAGUAUUUGCAAGGAUUUAAACCCAAAACUAUAGCAAAACUACAGGAAAAGGAGCGAAACCUACUUUAUUGGAUUCUACUCAGAACGAGGAUUCCAACCAAAGUGAUUUCACAUUUUUCUGAUUUCUCCUUGAUUUAAGAGGUAAUUUCCAAGUCUCUGUCAAUUUAAUUCGAGUUAAAAGAGUCGGAUUGGGGGAAACUUAUGAUCUGACCCUUAGACUUAAGGAAUAACUGUACCGGGAUCCUCAGAUUUAACAAAGAGAAGUCCUCGGAAUUUAACACAGAUCCCCUCGGUCAAAAGAAAAGACACAACCGAGCCCUUGGGCGAGGCGGACAACACUCGGGCGAGGCGGACAAGGUUCGGUUGCUUUUGCGGACGAUUCAGGGUUUGGGAGAGCUAGAAAGGGGUUGGCAGCUCACCUCUGGUCCUACUGAUGAGGUCUCGGGUCGGGAAGAAACAAGCCGAGGCAGAACGAGGAACAACGGCAGCUCGGGUCGGUGUCACGGAAACUGGCGGUGGCGAUCCGGUGAGACAGGGGCCUCAGAGGCUCCUUGAGCAGGUCGGCGAGCUCUUCGAAUGGGUUGGCGAGCUGCAGGCGACCAAGGCGAAGCUGACGGUGAAGGAGUCGCUGCGCGGGGCUGGUCGGAGUGGCAGCUCCAAGUGCGGCGGUGAGUGCGGUGGAGAAAAAAAAUAGAGCAGGUAGUGCGGCAAUAGCGGUGGUGGCGAAGGGAACUCUAGUAAGAGGCUUCGGUACCUUUUUAUAGAUGCAUGGAAGUGUUCGGAGGAAGGAAACGAGCCCGAGUGGACGAGAGGAUAAGAUCGAGGGAGAGGGAAGUGCUCUGUCGCGGCAGCGAUUGGUCGGCGCCUCCAUUGGCAAGCUCGGACGCAAUCUUGCCCUGUGUGGGCAGUAAGGAUUUGGGGCUAGGGGCAAAGUGAGUUUGCUGGGCAUGCGGAUCUGCUAGGUCUACGCACGCGUGUGGUCGUGUCACGCUGCUUACUGGGUGAAGGCAUGCGUCGCUGAGCUUUGGCGGUGUAGCGUUCGUGGAGAGGGAAGAGGUUGGAGCGGGAUUGGGCACUGGGGAUUCGGAACAGAGAGGAGGAAUGGCUUGCUGGCAGAGGCGGCGGCGCUAGGCAGGCGGGUGCGGGGGCGCGCGACUGACAGUCUUAUUAGGAGGGCCGGGAGGCGUUGGGGCGCGCGGCCGGAGAUUCGGGCAGGACAGAUGCACGCGGGAGGCGAGGCAGCACCGGCGCGGCAGCGGCCAGCUUCGACCGUGGAGUGGCCGAGGCAGCGGCGGAGCUACGGGCACCGCGCUUGGCACGGCCGGCGAGGUCUCGGGCGAGAUGGGAUGGGGUGGAGGCGCUGCAGGGCAUCCCUGCUUGCGAAUGGGGGAAUGGGCUUGUCGAUCCAUCCUAUCGCGGUCGGCUACUAGGUGAGGUGGCGCUUGCCGGUGAGGCCAAGCCACGCGGCGGCGGUGCUCUGGGCGCGCGGCACGCUCUUGCAAAGGGAUCCGCGGAUCAUUUCGCCGGGCCAGACUUCAAGUGCUCGGAUCUUUCGAUUUUCAAACCGCACCGCGUUGACUGCCUUUACCAAAGUUGUAGUACACAGACCAACGUCCAACUUUUGUAAUCUGGCCGAGUUCAAAAUCAUGGUGGAUUUGGAGAUUUGAAACCCCAAAGUUUGGAGGAACGCCGGUUUCCCGGACUUAGGCAAAAAUGGCGGUUUUGAUUGAUUUUCAGGGUUGUGGGCUGACUUGAGCUGCAAAUUUGAAAGGCUUCGGAGAUGAAUUGGACCAAGGUCCAAUUAACAAAGUUGUUAUAGAAACUUAGUUCUCAAACUCUUAUAAAGUGAUUUUUUGACGUUCUGUUCAACUUUUAAGAGAUAAACCCACCCUAAGGCGCCAAGUCGGGCUGAUUUCCAGACUUAGCCGGAAUUGCUAAAAGAGGCUAGGUUGACCAAACUGACUGACUUUGACCUUGAUUUCGAAGGCUUUCAAGGUGGAUUUCAAACUUUCUCCUUAAAGAAAAGUUGUUAAGGAAGUUGAGUUCUACAACUCUUAGUUGGAUAGAUUUUUUUUUUGUUCUUAAGCAAAAAUUUGAGUUACGGUUUGGGCAGCGUUUCAACCUUGUGUGGGGCAAAAGGGUACUUUCACUUGCCUUAAUGUUGCCCAAGUUCUUCUUUAAGCAUUAGCGACUGGUUUUAAGAUUAAAAUACAGUUAAUUAAACCAAGUUAUUAGUGAUACUCCCAAGCAGAGCAAUCUUUAAAUUCCCUUAACAAACUCGUUAACUCAUGCUUAUACUUGGGGUCUAGCCUACCACUAAUAUAUGUCGGCCUUGGCUUGUUGCCGUCUCCGAGGUCCACCAUCUCCAAUGAAUCGGCCGACGUAAACCCGUGCCCGAGCUUCCCAUCUUCUCGGACGAACUGAUCCAUUUAAUUUCAUUCUUCAGAGCCGACUGCUUGGAUCGGCUGUAGACCAAAAUCGGACACCUUCAGGAAAUCAGUGUCCCAAGUUCUGCCAGAUAUGCAUCUGACGUGUUCGUAGCUCCACUAUUGCACGUCAGCUGCGGCAACACUGUAGGCAGAAUCAGCGGUGACUACUUCGAUGUUAUCGCCGAACCACUGGAUGAGGCAUUGGUGCAUUGUAUACGGGAUGCAGUAGUUUGUGUGGAUCCAAUCUCUCCCGAGCAACAUGUUAUAGGACCCUUUGCCAUCAAUAACAAAGAAAGUGGUGGGUAGGGUCUUACUGCCGAUGGUGAGGUCAACGCAAAGUGCUUCUCGGGCCGGAGAUAUGUUGCCUUCAAUGUCUUUGAGCAUCAUGUCCAUCUUGGUUAGAUCUUCUUCUCGUUUACCCAGCUUGCGGAACAUAGCAUAUGGCAUGAUGUUCACAGCAGCGCCUUCAUCCACCAACAGCUUGGCGACCGGUUGCCCAUUGAUGUGUCCUUUGAGGAACAGAGCUUUUAGAUGCUGGCGUUUCUCGUAUUCGGGUUCCUCGAAAGUGGCGGUCAUUGGCUCCAAAGCCAACUGUGCCAUCUGUUCAUCUACCUCUGCCAUGCUGUCUCAGUCGGUGGGAGCCAUGAACUCCAUCGGCAAGAUGAACACCAUGUUAACGUCAGCUGACGAAUCGUGAUUGUUGUCUUCUUCGUCAGUUUUUCUUCUGGGGCGCCAAACUCGAGAUCUGUUUCCUCUCUUGUCCACCGCUUGCCUUUGUUCCUCUUCUUGCUGUUACCAUUGGUGUAAACACUGGACCGUCCUUUUUUGGAACUUAGUCAAACCAUCUGGGCAUCAUCUGGGGUUUACUAGCUUGCUUGGCGGUUUUGCAUGCUCCCAGUCUGGCUCUCAUCCCAGAGGAUUUUCAUUUGAGGCCCUUGCGUCGGCCAUCUCCCCCAGCCGAUCAUGUGCAUUGGUUCUGCCCCCCCCCCAGCCGAUUACACUAGUCUACUCUGCCCCCCAGCCGAUCACGCACUGAAACGCGCCAAUCUCUUUGCUCGUGCCUGUUUCUGCUGAUCGGUUCUAGUUCUCAAUCCCUGGAGCGUGAUCUCUUGAACGGGCGGCUACUAUGAUACUGACCGUUGCACUCAAGGUAGUUAUCGGCCAACGGUAAUCUGAGGCUAUUAUCCCAAUAGUGGAUGAAGAACAGGUAUCUCCAGUGAUCCUCGUGUCGGUGCAUCAUCUCCUCGCGGCGUCUCGUGUCUUCCCGCUGCCUCUGGUAUUUGCUGAGCAAAUCCCGGGACGUGACGGGCCGGCGUGGUCUUUCUGAGCUCUCGCCUUCGGUUUCCAUUCGGCCUUUUCCCUUGACAUCCUCGGCCGAGGCCUGGUUUCUGGGGUCCACCGCGCCACUCUUUCUGGCCAAUUCUGACGUCAGUACUUUGGUUUGGAGCGCGUUCCUUCGCAUGUAGACCAUGUUAGCAGGGAAAGGGUGCUGAUCGAUCUUCAUUAGCUUCGCUGGCUUCACCGGGACCUCGAAUUUCCAUCUCCCUUGUUCGAUAGCUGACUGAAUCUGUUGAUGGAAGAUUUUACACUCAUUGGUGUCGUGAGAUGUGGCAUUGUGCCACUUGCAAUAUUUCAUCUUUUUGAGCUGCUCGUCUGACGGAAUCGUGUGGUAAGGUGAGAGCUUGAUCUGUCCCUCCUGAAGCAGCAAGUCAAAGAUUUUGUCAGCCUUUGAUGUGUCGAAGCCAAAUGUCUCUGGUUCCUUUUUAUCGAAUGGGCACGAUAUUGGCUUUUUCCUUUUUACCCACUCUGCUAAGCCAAUUUCUGAUUCCUCUUCUAAUUCAGAUCCCUCCACGUACGCCACCUUUUUCUAAAAAUUUCUUCGUUGGUCAAAGGGGCGUACUUCUUGGCCGAACAGCCGGUGAACGAUUUGUCUUAGGCUCUCGAACUCCUGGGAAGCGUAUUUCACUUUGAUGUGUGGCAGGAGUCCUUGGAAAGUGAUAUCGGCCAACUGGGUAUCGGUCAAAACCAGAGUGUAACAUUUAUUCCUGACCUCCUUGAACCUCUAUAUGUAGCUGGCCACUGACUCGUCACUUCUUUGCUUGAGGCUGGUUAGAUCUGAGAGCUUCAUCUCGUGGACCCCCGUAUAGAAGUACUUAUGGAAUUAUUUUUCCAAAUUGGCCCAGGUAACAAUGGAGUUGCGCAGCAGUGUAGCGAACCACUGGAAGGCUGAUCCGGACAGGGACAACGAGAACAAGCGCACCCUCAGAGCAUCUUGUGUAGCAGCUUCGCCACACUAGAUGAUGAAUCGAUUAACGUGUUCCACUGUCGACGUGUCAUCCAGGCCCGAGAACUUGGUGAAGUCGGGGACUUUGUACCGAUGAGGGAACGAUAGUAGGUCAUAGGCGGGUGGGUACGACAUCUUGUAUGUGUAAGUCUGUACCUUUGGUUUUAACCCGAACUGAUCUUGAAUUAUGUUAGCUAUCCUUGCGGUCCAGUCCACUUGUUGCUGAUGCUGUUGUUGCGGAUGCAUAACUGUCUGCGGAAUCGGCACAAGCUGCUGGACUUGCGGUACCACAAUUGGGUCAUAGGCUGGCGCGUGCUGCAGAUCUUGCAGCUGGGCUGUCGGUUGAGGAGCCGAUGACUACUGUCGUAUAGGGUCAACCUGACAUAGUACGUCUGCCACCUAAUCGUACAAUAUUAUUGGCACCGUCGUUCUGAGUGGCUUUGGAGCAACUACCCCCCUGCUGAUUUCUGAAAUACUCUGCUACUACUGUGGGGCUGUCGGCCGAGGGGCCGAUUGGAAUAAUACUUGCGCUGGAGAUUUUCCGUAACUAGUUGAUGGGUCCAGAUCGGCAGGCGUUGCUGCUAUCCCCCACGGCGCCGAAUUUGAGAAUGGGGGAUUGGUGCAGGAUAAAAUGGCACUUGCGGUUGAUAGAGUGUUGCACCAUUAUAUCCCAGGGGCAUUGAAGUGUUGUAUCCUCCACUUUGCAUCUGCAUCGACUGAGGAGCCGAGUGAGACGCAUUUGGCACCGUUGAGAAGCCUCUGAUUGGUUCCUCGAUGGGAGGGGCAUAAGCUGGUCCCUGAUACCCUUGAGCUGCGCCGCUGACCAAGGAACUGACGAUGGCGUUGUACUCAGUGUUGGUCAUCACCUUGGACAGGUCGAUCAUAGCCUGAUAAACAGACUGCUGGAUCAUCUCAGACAUCUUUCCUGAGUCUUCAGCGAUGGUGAUAUGGCAGGGAGUUGGAAGAGAAGCUAUUUUGAUGGUCUCCCCGCUUCUGGUAUGAUUAAAGGAUUGUAGACAUGUGUUCCUGUAUUCUUCUAAAGUCCUUGCCACCUCCUCCUUUUGGUCGUCCUUUAGAUCUGCUUCAGUGACUUCGAUGACAUUAUCUUCAGAGAUCUCAGCAGUCUUGGACAUGUUGGAUCUUGUUUCGGUCCCACCGGGCGUGCCAAAAGUGUGUUGGCGCUGAAAAUUGGCUGAUGACUCUAAGCGUCGGACACACAACCCGAGAGAAUCUGCUUGACUCCUGUUCGAGUUUUUACCCUGGUGCGGUUCACGUAGCGUUCCAGUCAAUCUGACCUGUUGAUUUACAAGAAAAGAAGAGCAUCAAAUCCCAGGGGUCUCGAUCGGCUAAAGUUUCGAUCUAUCUUGAAAAGUGUAUCAGCGAAUCGGCCGAUUUACUAUGUAAGUAACCAGCUAUAGUGCAGCCGAUGACCACGUAGCAAUUGUAAAGAAACUACUAGAGCAAUCUAAACAACGCUACAGAGCAACACUUGAAAUAGAUCUAAUUGACUAUGUGAUGAAUAAAAAAUAAUAACAACAAAAAAAGCCAACAGUUCGUAUCUUAAGCUGGAUAACUCGUGCUAAAACUAAAACAAUAGAUAAAAUCUAUAAUUCUAGUUAAUAUCGAUAACUAGUGAAUAAAUCUAAACAAAACAACAGUGAUGCGCCCGAAGUUAAAGCUUAGAUAUUACUCGAUAAGCGAAACUUACAAAUUGGCCGAAGAUCGUGUCGAUGCAGCCCUGCCAAUCCGUACAUACUCGUGAAAAGAAAAGGGUUUGGCGAAGUCACCGACUUGAAAAUAAAGUACGAGGAAAAAGUAAAUUUGUUGUAUUGAUUGAUGUGUUAUUGUUUUCAAGCCCUACAAGGCAGCUAUUUAUACCUUGUUACAACCAAUUUCCUAACCGACUAGGAUCUAUCCCUAAUUUUAAAUGAUAACAAAUAUUUACACAACUCGUAUCGGAGUUGGUUACUAUCUUCCCACAGGCCAAUCUCCCUUCUUUAGCUAAUCUUCAUCCUGGCCCACCUUAGGCCCAUAUUGGCCAAGCCGUUCUGGCUCCCAAUCGGCCAGCCUCCAUCGACUCCUCCCGCCAGUCAGUGAAACACUGUAGCUUUAAUCGGCCGAUUCCUAACUGUAGCUUUUAGCCCGCCGCAUCGGCCGCCUUUCUUCUCCUUUGACACCGAUUCCAAACACGUGUCAAAAUCUGGCAUCAAUAGUUAUGGUUUUGAACUCUUUGACCAACUGGUGGUAUUGCUCAUAAUAAAUCCCCAUAAUAUCAUCCUUGCACUCACACUUUCCAGUCAACUGAUCCACGAUAAACAUGGAAUCCCCAAAUAUUUCCACUGCGUUAGCCUUGAUCUCCCUCAACAAUUGGAUGCCCUUUAAGACAGCCCGAUACUCUGCUUGAUUAUUAGUAGCGGAAGCCUCAAUCGGUGGAGAGAACUCAUAACUUGCCCCCCGAGGUGAUAUGAUAUUUACGCCGAUUCUUGAUCCAAACCCACACGAAGACCCAUCAAAGUACAGAGUCCACGGAGCCGGCUCAACGAAAGUAAUUUCUUGUCCACAAUGAUCGGCGACGAAGUCGGCCAUUACUUGACCCUUGACGGCCUUGGCCGAUUUGUAUCUCAGAUCGAAUUCCGAGAGGGCCAAAAUCCAUUUUCCAAUCCUUCAUUUCAAGAUCGGCAAUGACAAUAUGUACUUGACGACAUCAUCUUUACACACGACCACACAUUCCGCCGAUAAUAAGUGGUGCCUGAGUUUAGUGCAAGAGAAAUAUAAGCAAAGGUACAACCUUUCACCGGAGAAUACCUGGUUUCAGCGUCCAAGAGUCUUCUGUUGACGUAAUAAAUAACCCUUUCUUUUCCUUCAAACUCCUAGACCAGCGCCAAGCCGAUAGCUCGUUCAUCGGCCGAUAGAUACAAUCUGAAAGGUUUAUCAGCCUGAGGAGGAACCAAUACGGGUGGGGACACUAAAUAUUGUUUGAUGUCCUCUAACGCUUUCUGUUGUUCCUCACCCCAAACAAAUUCCUGGUUGGCCUUCAACUUUAACAAUGGGCUGAAAGCUUGAAUUCAUUCGAACAGGUUUGAUAUGAAUCUCCAGAUGAAGUUGAUCUUGCCGAUUAAAGAUUGCAACUCAGUCUUGUCUUGUGGGGCUACAACUUUGUUGAUGGCGGUAAUAAUCUUUUGGUUGAUCUCGAUACCGUGCUCAUGGCCAUGAAACCCAGGAACUGACAAGCCGAAAUAGCAAAAGCGCACUUGUUCAGAUUCAUUUUCAACCCAUGUUUCCUUGUGCACUCCAGCACCUUGCAUAAAUCGGCUAAAUGUUGUUGAUAUCCCUUUGACAUGACAACAACAUCAUCAAUGUAAAUCUCAACCAAGACACCGAUAAGCUUGUGAAAUAUAUAAUUCAUGGCCCUCUGAUAUGUAGCUCCAGAGUUUUUCAAACUGAAAGUCAUGACUACCCAUUCGAACAAACCAAGAUGCCCAGGACAACUGAAAGCUGUUUUGGAGAUAUCUUCUUCGGCCAUUAAUACCUGAUUAUAUCUGGUGUUACCAUCCAUGAAGCUGAUAACCUUGUGUCCCGCAGCAGCAUCUAUCAACACAUCGGUCGUCGGCAUCGAAUAUCCAUCCAUCGGCGUACCUUGGUUAAGAUUCUUGAAAUCAAUGCAAACACGUAGUUUUCCAUUUUUCUUAUACACAUGAACAAUAUUAGAAAUCCAAUCGGCAUAUCGACAUUGCCGAAUGAACCCUACUUCAAUUAAUCUUGUGAUUUUGGCCUUUAUAUCAGGUAAAAUUUUCAGAUUACAACAUCGUGUGGGUUGCUGAGAUGGCCGAUAUCCUAGUUUUAUGGGCAACCGAUGUUCGACAAUCGAUCGGUCUAGAUUAGGCAUUUCAUGAUACUCCCAAGCAAAGCAAUCUUUAAACUCUCUUAACAAACCCACUAACUCACGCUUAUACUCAGGAUCUAACUUAGCAGUAAUAUACGUCAGCCUUGGCUUACUACCAUCUCCAAGAUCUACCAUCUCUAACAAAUCGGUCGAUGUAAACCCGUGCCCAAGCUUCCCAUCUUCUUGGAUGAACUCGUCCGUUAAGACGAUUCUUCUGAGCCGACUGCUUGGAUUGGCUGUAGACCAAAAUCGAACACCUUCAAGAAGUCAGUGUCAUAGGUCUUGCUAGAUAUACAUCUGACAUGCUCGUAGCUCCACUGUUGCGUAUCAGCUGCGGUAAUGCGGUAAGAGGAAUUGGCGGUGACUACUUUAAUCGUGUUGCCGAUCCACUGGACGAGGCACUGGUGCAUUGUAGACGGGAUGCAACAAUUUGCAUGGAUCCAGUUGUUGGGGGUGCACCUUGUCACACCUGAUUUUAAGGAAAAAAUCGAGUACAUUAAAUACAUGUGCGCCAGGAUCAAGUUACACACAUGUACGAUAAUAGUGAAUAACAAAGACAGUGCUAAAUCGAAUAAAGGGAGUGUUAACCAUUAUUACAUGACCGAAAGUCUCAAGUAAACCACAAAGUCUAAUUAUCACGCAGCGGAACUUCAAAGACGACGACGACUCCACAGGCAGCUGACUGAAGAAACGUACGCCUAGAACUCCUCAAAGUCGUGUAGGUACUCCUCUUCCCAAUUAGCUUGGUCUGAACAGCGGUUUUGCAAGGGUGAGUACACUUAUGGUUGGUACUCAACAAGUCGUGGGGAAUAGUGUAGUGUAAGGCAAACCAAGGUAUGGCUAAGGCAUAAAUAGCAUUCGCUUUUAAUUAAGUUGGUCAAGUUUUAUUAGCAAUUAACUAAGUAUAAGUUCAUACCACCCGAAAUUAAACAUGAUCAUAAAUAAAGUAAACAACAUAUGCAUGAAAUGAUAACAAGUUAAAUCCAUCUUCCGAUAAUAUUAUCAUGUGAGGGUCCAGGCCGCUCUUAACUGUGAGCACGGCUGAUCGAUCAGUUUUACACUCUGCAAAGGUGGCACAUCUUUACCCACAAGUCGCGUAAAAGUUCAAAAGAACUUUGGACCCAACCAUGCGGUGUUUGCAAGGCACCAUACCACACUUCCGAGGUGUGAUUGCAUAGGGACGCUACGAGGCCUUUACAAAGAUUCAUUAGUCAGUGGUAACCCGCUAAGGUUUCGAUGUCUGGCGUGCACCACCCAUCCCAGGUAAAAAUGCAACGACUCAGUCCCCCCUCUUGCCUCAUCACGAGUAAGGUCACCCCAGACUAAGGUUUCUAAUUAAUCAGCCAAGACCAGAGCCAUUUAGUCUUGUGGUAGCACUAUUUUCCUGGGUGGUUCUCCAUGUUCCGAUUAACAAAUAAUGAUCUUGUCUUAAUGAAAGGUACAACAAAAGUAAAGCAAGAUUAAACUUUGUGUUUAGUUAAACCACCAUGUACCAAGUAAGCACUAAGCAUGAGCUACCCAACAUAAAGUAAACCGGUUGGUCAAGGCAAAGGUAAAUCAAUCUAGGCGAACCUUAAUUGGGACCCAUCAAUUUAAUCUUAACAUGUGCAUAGCAUAAAUUUUGAGUACGAGAAAGUAAAGGUGUAUAGGACGAAAAGGUAGUGAUCAAGGACAUGACUUGCCUUCUUGGCCUUGCUCCUGCUGUUCGUACUCCUCGAAGGCUUGGUCUUCAACUCCCUCGAACGGCGGGACGUCUACACGCGUCACACGAGCACAUACAAGCAAACAUGGGCAAAAAGUAAGAAAACAGUACACCAAUCACAAUUAAACAGAGAAAACAAGCUUCAAAAGUUGAUCUACGCUUUAAAAUGAACACAUGGAUAUAAAGAACGCGAAAAACGGAGUUAAGCUACAAAAGAUAUGAUUAAAACAAGAUCCAGGGACUUUUAUGAGAGAAAAACAAAACUUUUAGGACCUAUCCGCGAAAACUGAGGGCUUAUACGUAAUUACGUGUAUAAACCGAAGGUCUGAUGCGCAAAAACUCAAAUCCGGACGGCGGGUUGACUUCUGGAAAGUUCAAGGGUCAAACCGAAAAGUGCGAGGGCAGAUCUGUAAAUAUUUUUUUAACGCGAUCUGGACUGCGGGUUGAUUUGCGGAAAAGGCGGGAGCUUAAGAGCAAAAGCGGCGCGGCGCGGCUCGGUUGACCGUUACGCGGCCGGAUUGACUCGCGAUCGACCAUCGGAUCGAGAUCGAAUGGCCACGGUCAACGAUGACUCGCGGCGGCGGCGGAAAAGAAACGGCCGGCGGCGGCGAGCGGCGGCGCGCGACGGCGAGCGGCGGCAGUUCGCCGGAGUUGGCCGAAAAGGCGCUCCGGGGCACGGUUUGGCGCGCGGAUUGCACCAGAAGCAAGAAGGGAACACGGCGAACUCGUUUUGGGGGUCCUUGGCGACCGGAGCUCACCGGAGGCGGCGCUUGACGGCGGGAAGAGGCGGCGGCGCUGGAGCUUUGGGCGCUAGGGUUUCGGGUGCUGCGGGCGCUGGUGUUGUCGACCGGGAGGGGCGGCGGCUUAUAUAGGGGCGACGCUCUUGGAGAUAGAGGCCUCAGAUUUGAAUUCCCCAGAAGAAAUGGAGCGGGAGAGGGAGGCUGUUGCGGAGACGGCGGCGCGGCGGUUGCGGGAAGGACUCCCGGCCGGAUACGGCCGGAGGAGGAAGAUGACGGGUGGCGGGCCGGCGCGACUUCGUGGGCCGCGAGGCGUCAGGCGAGCGGCAGGCCGGAGGUGGAGAGCUGGGCCGACAGAAGAAAAGAGGAGGGGGCCGGCAAGGCAGCUGCGGCUGGGCCGCGCGGAAAGGUGGAGCGGGCCGAAAGAGCAGCAGCUCGGCUGGGCCGAAAGAAGAAGGGGGAAGGGAAGGAAAAGAAGAUUGCGGCCCAGGAGAAGAAGAAGAAAAGGAAAAAGAAAAAGAAAAGGAAAAAGGUUUUGGGAAAUCAAAUUUAAAUUUGGAAAUUCAAAUUUUGAUUCAAACUCAAGCAAUCAAUAUAAAUGCACCAGCAUGAAUGCACAAUUAACUCCUAUGAUGAAUUUAAUUAAAUUAAAGAAAAUGAAUUUAAAUGGCUAGAAUUUAAAUGACACCCUAAUUUGAGCAAAUUUUAAUGAAUUUGAAUUCUCUAAAUUUUUGGGUGUUACAAAUCCUACCCCCCUUAAGAAGAAUCUCGUCCUCGAGAUUCGGAAGAUCCUGCAAAGAGAUGGGGAAAUUCCUUCUGUAACUCGUCCUCUCUUUCCCAAGUUGCCUCGUCCUCUGUAUGGUGACUCCACUGAACCUUGCAUAUUCUGAUCGUCCGGUUUCUUGUAACCCUCUCCGAAGUAUCCAAAAUCUUAACGGGGUAUUCUGUGUAAGUGAGGUCAUCCUGAACAUUCAAUUCCUCCAUAGGUAACUGUUCCUCGCAAACUCUGAGGCACUUCUUAAGCUGUGAGAUAUGGAACACAUCGUGUACAUCCGACAACUGAUUAGGCAACUCCAGUCGAUAGGCAACCUGUCCCACUCUCUCAAGAAUCUUGAACGGACCGAUGAACCGAGGUGACAAUUUCCCUUUGACCUUGAAUCUGCACAUACCCCUGAUGGGCGAUACCUUGAGAUACACAUAAUCAUCUACCUCAAAGGUCAAUUCUCUUCUCCUGGUGUCAGCAUAACUCUUCUGUCGAGACUGUGCAGUCCUCAAGUUUUCUCGGAUAAUCUGGACCUGCCUUUCUGCCUCUUGUAUAAUUUCUGACCCGAAUAACUAACUCUCUCCUGUCUCACUCCAAUAAAGGGGUGUUCGGCACUUUCUACCAUACAAAGCUUCAAAUGGCGACAUUUUGAGACUGGCUUGAUAACUGUUAUUAUAGGAGAAUUCUGCAUAGGGUAAACUCUUGUCCCAACUGCCUCCAUGCUUUAAUGCACAUGCUCUUAACAUAUCCUCCAAUAUUUGAUUUGUUCUCUCGGUCUGUCCAUCCGUCUGAGGGUGAUAAGCGGAACUGAAAUUCAACCUUGUACCUAGAGAUUCAUGCAACUUCUGCCAGAAACGUGAUGUGAACUGAGUACCUCGGUCAGACACAAUCUUCUUAGGCACAUCAUGUAAACACACAAUCCUUGCCAUAUACAACUCUGCUAGCUUGGACCCGGUGUAAGUAGUCCUUACCGGUAUGAAGUGAGCUACUUUGGUCCAUCGAUCCACUAUGACCCAUAUGGAGUCAUACCCAUCUCGGGUGUGAGGCAAACCCACAAUGAAAUCCAUCCCAAUUUUUUCCCACUUCCAUUCCGGCACCUUCAAUGGCUGAAGUAACCCAGCUGGCCUCUGAUGUUCAGCCUUGACCUUUUGACAUAUGUCGCAAAUGGCUACAUGUGCAGCUACAUCUUUCUUCAUUCCGGGCCACCAAUACUUUUGCUUAAGAUCCUGAUACAUCUUGGUACUUCCGGGGUGAAUGGAAUAGGCUGAAUCGUGAGCUUCUUUCAAGAUCGUCUCACGGAGAUUUCCCACAUCGGGUACCCAAAUCCUUCCUUUGACCCAUAAGGUUCCCUGAGAGUCUUCCGUAAAGUCAGUGGCUCUUCCUUCCUUUACCAUCUCCUUAAUUUCCUUGACCUUGGCAUCCUCAAGCUGUCCUGCCCGUAUCUCUUGCUCUAGAGUCGACUCCACUUCCAUCGUUGCUCCCUCAGUAUGCGCAACGACGCUCAAGUUGAGCCUCUCAAAUUCUUUCAUCAACUCUUCAGGUAGCUGGAAUGCUAAGGCUAAGUUAGCAUGACCCUUCCGACUCAAAGCGUCUGCAACCAGAUUAGCCUUACCAGGAUGAUAGUGAAUCUCCAGAUCAUAGUCAUUGAUAAGCUCUAACCAUCGUCGCUGUCUCAGAUUAAGGUCCUUCUGAGUGAAGAUAUACUUGAGACUCUUGUGAUCAGUAUAGAUCUGACACUUAGUCCCCAGAAUGUAGUGUCUCCAAAUCUUCAAGGCAUGAACCACUGCGGCUAACUCCAAAUCAUGAGUCGGGUAAUUCUGCUCAUGUUUCCUCAAUUGCCUAGAAGCAUAGGCGAUCACAUGACCUUCCUGCAUCAGAACACAGCCUAAACCCUGUCGAGAUGCAUCACAAUAUAUGUCGAACCCUUUAUGUAGGUCUGGCAUUACCAAUACUGGAGCUGUGGUCAACCUCUUCUUCAGUUCCUCAAAACUUGCCUGACAUGCCUCUGUCCAUUUGAAUUCCCUUCCUUUUUCUAGUAGCGUAGUGAGGGGCUUCACUAUCUUGGAGAAUCCUUCGAUGAACCUGCGGUAAUAGCCUGCAAGUCCGAGAAAACUCCUAAUCUCAGUUACUGUCUGCGGCGGAUUCCACUUCAAGACAUCCCUAACCUUGCCUGGAUCCACUGAAAUUCCACCAUCGGAGAUGAUAUGACCAAGGAAAGAGACCUCCUUCAACCAAAACUCACACUUGCUGAAUUUCGCAUACAACUGAUGCUCCCUCAACUUCUGAAGCACUAACCUCAAAUGUUCCUCAUGUUCUUCCUCACUCUUGGAGUAAAUCAUGAUAUCAUCAAUGAACACCACGACGAACUUAUCUAGGUACUCCAUAAAUACCUUAUUCAUCAGGUACAUGAAGUAAGCUGGAGCAUUGGUCAGCCCGAACGACAUUAUCGUGUACUCAAAGAGACCAUAUCUGGAGGUAAAAGCGGUCUUGGGUAUGUCGGACGGCCUGAUCUUCAACUGAUGAUAACCCGAUCGCAAGUCGAUGUUGGAGAAUACCUUGGCUCCUCUCAUUUGAUCAAACAAAUCCUCAAUGCGAGGCAAUUGGUACUUGUUCUUGACGGUUACCUCGUUCAGUGCUCUAUAAUCCACACACAUCCUCUGAGUACCGUCCUUCUUUGGCACAAAGAUAACCGGUGCUCCCCAUGGUGAUGAACUCGGCCGAAUAAACUGUUUCGCCGAUAAUUCCUCUAAUUGUUGUUUCAAUUCUUUUAAUUGCUCAACAGACAUUCUAUAAGGGCAUUUGGAGAUAGGUGCAGUACCAGGUAAAAGAUCAAUAGCAAAUUCAAUUUCACGGUUAGGUGGCAUACCUGGUAAAUCGUCGGGGAACACAUCCGGGUAGUCACACACCACUUUGAUAUCUUCCAAAGAUCUUCCAGUCAACUGAUUAACGGCACAAUCUGCUGCUGAAGGUAUAGUAGCCACAAAUUCAAUUCUUUCCCCUGCUGGGCUUGUGAGAAGAACCGACCUUUUUGCACACUGUAUCACUGCGUCGAACUUGCUCAACCAUCCCAUACCGAGUACCACAUCAAUUCCACUUGAUUCCAACACUAUAAGAUUAGCCGGGAAAUCUCUGCCGAUUAUCUUGAGGUUCACUUGGUUACAUCGAUAUAAUGCUUUCAUGUUUCCCCCUGGUGAACUGACUAGCAUAUGGCGUGGCAUGGUACUAAUGGGCAUGUUAUGCUUAGCUACGUACUGUGCAGUAAUGAAAGAAUGGGAUGCUCCAGAAUCAAAUAAUACUGAGGCGGGUGCUGAGUUGACAAGAAACAUACCGAGCACAACGUCUGGAGCCUCCUGAGCAGUAUCCACAUCCACGUGGUUUAGCUUACCACGCACAUAGUUCUGCUGUCCUUGAGCGCGCUGCGGGGUUUGAUUCAUGUUCCUUGACUGCUGCGCCUGCGGGUUCUGCUGAGGAGUGUUAUUAUUCUGCACGGGGGUAGAAGGCACACUCCUCUUGGGACAAGCGUUGGCAUAGUGGCCAACUUCACCACACUUGUAGCAAGUGUUACCCCCUGGAGCAUUGGGCCUCACUGGAAUGCCUGCAGGAGUCAUCUGGCGAUUCUGCGGAAAGCUGGGGCGCAGAGUCUGCAUAGUCUGCAUCCCCGGACGCUGGAACUGAGGGCUAGGGCGCUGGAAUGACUGCUGAGCGGGGCGCUGGAAUGACUGCUGCCCAAAAUUCCCACUCAUACCCCCUGCGCGGAGCGGUGUCCCUUGCUGUGGAGCAAAGCGAGGGCGUGUGUUGCUUCCUGAUGACGACUAGGAGUUAAAUUUCCUCUUCAUUUCCCCAAGCUCGUUCCUCUUGUGUUCCAGGCCAAUUGCUUUGUCUAGCAUCUUCUGGAAACUGGGGAAGGUGUGUGACAUCAGCUGGUAUUGGAGUGGUCCAAUCAAACCAUCCAAGAACAGCUCCUGCUUCUGCUCAUCAUCAGCAACAUCUUCAGGAGCAUAUCGGGACAACUGAACAAACUUAUCCCUGUACUCGGCCACUGUCAUGUUACCCUGCUUAAGAGCAAGGAACUCCUUCUUUUUGAGCUUCAUUAAUCCGGAAGGAAUAUGGUGACUUCUGAAGCUAGUCCUGAAUUCCUCCUAGGUGAUGCCAUUAGCAUUGGCAUGGGUGGUGGUGUAAGCAUCCCACCAAUCUGCAGCUGGCCCUUCCAGGCGUCCUGAAGCAUACAGGACCUUCUCCCUGUCCGUACACUGGGUGAUAUUCAGCAUCUUCUCCACGGUUUUCAACCAAUCAUCAGCAUCUAACGGGUCUGGAGAAUGUGAAAACGUUGGGGGCUUGUGGCUCAUGAACUCCCUGUGCCUGUCCCUUGGUGGCGGCUGCUGCUGGUUGUUGUUGUUGUUGUUCAGCUGAGCUUGUAAGGCUGCCACGGUGUUGGACAGUCCGGCGAGAAGCUGAGUCUGGGCUGCUAGAAACUGCUCCAUCCCUGCAGGUGCUUGCUGGUUCUGUUGCGGAGCGGGGUUGGGAUUGCUGCUGUUGUCCCUGUGACGAGGCACUGCGGGACGGUCAACUCCUGAUCCGGACCUGGUGUUUACCAUCUGAGCGUUAGAGACAAUAGAUUUAGAUAGGUGUGUGAAAGAAUAACUGAGAAAGAUAAAGCGACAAGAUGUAAAAGUAAAACAGAUUCUGUUAGCUCCGUUUAAUUAGGUGUGGCCGUCAGAAGAAGUGUCCAUAAUUACUGAAAAAUUACCAAGUCGUAACUUAUUAAAUUUGUAAACCAACCCAACUAGAAUCACCUCAAUUGGACUUCUGGAUCUCGAGUUACAAAAUUAACAAGUUGACAGUGUCGGUCGACAGUUUCAGAUUCUGAUUGCUUUACUAAUUCGCAUACAUCUCCUAGAAAGAUCCUCCAAAAAUUCUGAAACAUUAACGGAAAAUACUCCACGAAAUUCUGAAACUAACCCCACUGAUUUCAUGUCAUUUGGACUCCUGUAGCUCGAGAUAUAAAUAAAACAGUACUGGCGUGUCAAUUAAUGUCGAGAACAGAAUUGAAUGUUGCAUAGCUUGCAUGAUAGAUAGAUUUAGACAGAUGGUAGAUCAUGAUUAAGAAAGAUUAGAAGCUGAUUUAGAACAGAACUAAAACCCAACUAAGCACUUUAUUAUUAUUAAGACCAGUAUCGUGUGGCAAUUGCCCCACAUACCGCACUCAUUACAAAGAUCCAACUCAAACAUGUAACACAAAACCAAGCAUCUAAGCACACUUUAACUAACACACUCGAGCGACGUCUAACGAUUACAAGAAUUUAAGCUAAACACUCCUAACUCCUAGAGAUCUUCUGCGGCGGCACCGGGCGAGUCGUAGCGGGGACGCUUAGGUGACGGCGACAAAGCGGGAAAGUCAGCAUACUCUUGCGGCGGCGGUGCCCCCGUCGCGGAAGCCACAUACACAUCUCUCUCCCACCGGACUUCAUGAAGCUCCCGUUGAAGCUCAUAGAUGUGGUUGUUUGCUUCAUUCAAUGCGGUGAGAGCUGCCGACGUGUACUUGCGGAGGAAAUCCGUGGCCAAGUCAACCCCAUCAUUAGUAGCGAUGAAGGUUCUUGCUUCUCCACUAGCUCGGGAUGGAAGGAACCGAUGAUAUGUGUGUUGUAGCCGUGGCCGUUCCUUGUGGGAGAGGACCUCAAGUGCCCUCCUAGUUGCCUCGGCAAUGCCGGACUCCAUGGUCCUUCUUGUUGCCACAUCAUGGUGAACAGCCUUCACCUCCCAUCCUCCUUCGUGCUCCUCACGAAGGACAACCUUCACCUCCCAAAAAGUGGGAUAGCGAGGGUGGGUGAACCGAGCACACUUAGAGAUAGGCCUCAUGCUGUACCCCAAGUGAUGACAAGUCCACCUGAGUAUGUCGGCCAUGUGCACUCCUUGGCCAUAAUCUUCCUUCACCCACUUGAUCCAUCUCUCGGGCUCGGAAUCUGCUUCGGGCUCUUCAUCCGUCAAGUCGACGACCGGUACGGGCGCCGGGGCUGGUGCAGGAGCUGGUGCCGGUGCUGGCGCCGGUGCUGGUGACGGUGUGGUCUCCUGCUCCUCGGGCACGGCGUCCUCGUCAGUGUCAUCCUCCGGAUGCUGGAAGUAGUAUUCUUCCUCUUCCUCCUCGUCCCUAGGCUCCAUGGGUUGAUACGACGCGAUGCCAUAACGCGGGGAACGGGUGCUCUUGCGUGCGGUCAAUCGGGUGCGAGCCAUCUAACACAAAGAAAGAAGAAAAUUUUUAGAAUAAAAUUUUGAACGAACCAAGAUAAUAAAAUAAAAGAUUAAAAUAGCAACAAGGAUGAGACAAAUCAAGUUUAAGAAUAAUUAAGUAGAUUUAAAUUAAGAAAAGGUAGGAAUGGCUACUAGAUUAUAAUCCUUAAAUGCGACCAUUUUCUAACUAGGCUAACAUCCUACAGUCAACACAGCUCUGGUACCACUUUUGUCACACCCGAUUUUAAGGACAAAAUCGAGUGCAUUAAAUGCAUGUGCGCCAGGAUCAAGUUACACACAUGUACGACAAUAGUGAAUAACAAAGACAGUGCUAAAUCGAAUAAAGGGAGUGUUAACCAUUAUUACAUGACCGAAAGUCUCAAGUAAACCACAAAGUCUAAUUAUUACGCAGCGGAACUUCAAAGACGACGACGACUCCACAGGCAGCUGACUGAAGAAACGUACGCCUAGAACUCCUCAAAGUCGUGUAGGUACUCCUCUUCCCAAUUAGCUUGGUCUGAACAGCGGUUUUGCAAGGGUGAGUACACUUAUGGUUGGUACUCAACAAGUCGUGGGGAAUAGUGUAGUGUAAGGCAAACCAAGGUAUGGCUAAGGCAUAAAUAGCAUUCGCUUUUAAUUAAGUUGGUCAAGUUUUAUUAGCAAUUAACUAAGUAUAAGUUCAUACCACCCGAAAUUAAACAUGAUCAUAAAUAAAGUAAACAACAUAUGCAUGAAAUGAUAACAAGUUAAAUCCAUCUUCCGAUAAUAUUAUCAUGUGAGGGUCCAGGCCGCUCUUAACCGUGAGCACGGCUGAUCGAUCAGUUUUACACUCUGCAAAGGUGGCACAUCUUUACCCACAAGUCGCGUAAAAGUUCAAAAGAACUUUGGACCCAACCAUGCGGUGUUUGCAAGGCACCAUACCACACUUCCGAGGUGUGAUUGCAUAGGGAUGCUACGAGGCCUUUACAAAGAUUCAUUAGUCAGUGGUAACCCGCUAAGGUUUCGAUGUCUGGCGUGCACCACCCAUCCCAGGUAAAAAUGCAACGACUCAGUCCCCCCUCUUGCCUCAUCACGAGUAAGGUCACCCCAGACUAAGGUUUCUAAUUAAUCAGCCGAGACCAGAGCCAUUUAGUCUUGUGGUAGCACUAUUUUCCUGGGUGGUUCUCCAUGUUCCGAUUAACAAAUAAUGAUCUUGUCUUAAUGAAAGGUACAACAAAAGUAAAGCAAGAUUAAACUUUGUGUUUAGUUAAACCACCAUGUACCAAGUAAUCACUAAGCAUGAGCUACCCAACAUAAAGUAAACCGGUUGGUCAAGGCAAAGGUAAAUCAAUCUAAGCGAACCUUAAUUGGGACCCAUCAAUUUAAUCUUAACAUGUGCAUAGCAUAAAUGUUGAGUACGAGAAAGUAAAGGUGUAUAGGACGAAAAGGUAGUGAUCAAGGACAUGACUUGCCUUCUUGGCCUUGCUCCUGCUGUUCGUACUCCUUGAAGGCUUGGUCUUCAACUCCCUUGAACGGCGGGACGUCUACACGCGUCACACGAGCACAUACAAGCAAACAUGGGCAAAAAGUAAGAAAACAGUACACCAAUCACAACUAAAUAGAGAAAACAAGCUUCAAAAGUUGAUCUAAGCUUUAAAAUGAACACAUGGAUAUAAAGAACGCGAAAAACCGAGUUAAGAUGCAAAAGAUAUGAUUAAAACAAGAUCCAGGGACUUUUCUAAGAGAAAAACAAAACUUUUAGGGCCUAUCCGCGAAAACCGAGGGCUUAUAUGUAAUUACGCGUAUAAACCGAAGGUCUGACGCGCAAAAACUCAAAUCCGGACGGCGGGUUGACUUCUGGAAAGUUCAAGGGUCAAACCGAAAAGUGCGAGGGCAGAUCUGUAAAUAUUUUUUUAACGCGAUCUGGACUGCGGGUUGAUUUGCGGAAAAGGCGGGGGCUUAAGAGCAAAAGCGGCGCGGCGCGGCUCGGUUGACCGUUACGCGGCCGGAUUGACUUGCGAUCGACCAUCGGAUCGAGAUCGGACGACCACGGUCAACGAUGACUCGCGGCGGCGGCAGAAAAGAAACGGCCGGCGGCGGCGAGCGGCGGCGCGCGACGGCGAGCGGCGGCGGUUCGCCGGAGUUGGCCGAAAAGGCGCUCCGGGGCACGGUUUGGCGCGCGGAUUGCACCAGAAGCAAGAAGGGAACACGGCGAACUCGUUUUGGGGGUCCUUGGCGACCGGAGCUCACCGGAGGCGGCGCUUGACGGCGGGGAAGAGGCGGCGGCGCUGGAGCUUUGGGCGCUAGGGUUUCGGGUGCUGCGGGCGCUGGUGUUGUCAACCGGGAGGGGCGGCGGCUUAUAUAGGAGCGACGCUCUUGGAGAUAGAGGCCUCGGAUUUGAACUCCCCGAAAGAAACGGAGCGGGAGAGGGAGGCUGUUGUGGAGACGGCGGCGCGGCGGUUGCGGGAAGGACCCCCGGCCGGAUACGGCCGGAGGAGGAAGAUGACGGGUGGCGGGCCGGCGCGACUUCGUGGGCCGGCGCGCGUUCGCGGGCCGCGAGGCGUCGGGCGAGCGGCAGGCCGGAGGUGGAGAGCUGGGCCGGCAGAAGAAAAGAGGAGGGGGCCGGCAAGGCAGCUGCGGCUGGGCCGCGCGGAAAGGUGGAGCGGGCCGAAAGAGCAGCAGCUCGGCUGGGCCCUAAUUUUAGCAAAUUUUAAUGAAUUUGAAUUCUCUAAAUUUUUGGGUGUUACACACCUGUGGCGGAACCGCCCAAAUUAACUUGACUAAAAUGCACUUAAGUUGCCUGACUCGCGAUCAUGUACUUUAAGCAAGUCAACUUGGUCGAGUGUCGGAUUUCAUCCGAUAAACCACUUACACAGGAUUGAGAAGCAUUGCUCCCACGAAGGUGAGUAGCACAGAGGUUACAACAUUCCCAUCUCAUUAACAUAGUUCAACAUUUAAUGCAUCAGAGUUUUCAAAAUUCAAACAAGUUUGCAAUGUUCAACCAGACGAAGUAAAACAAGCGGAAGCUAAACGUCGAUACAUGAUAUCAUAACGAAGCUGAUCAUGACAUCAAUAAUCCCUACCCUUGUCGUCUGAGGAGGGAUCCCAAUCGACUGACCAGCCCGGAGGGAGCUGGGUAGGCCAAGUGGUGCCAACAGUCAAACUAUUGACAUCACCUAAAAAGUUAAGCCACAACAAGGCUGAGCAACUAAUACUCAGCAAAACUGACCCGUCUGGUGAUAAAAACUUUCACCAACUUCUAGACAUGUAAGGCCUGUUUGGCUUUGGGUUUAUUUUGCCAAAAGCACCUAUAGGCGGUCCUUACUUUCAAUAUUUUAGCUCAAGUUCUAUGUUCAUUAACCAAUCUAGAUUAGCAAGAUAUACUAAACAAUACCCUCAGUCAAAAGAAAAGACACAACCGAGCCCUUGGGCGAGGCGAACAGCACUCGGGCGAGGCGGACAGCACUCCGGCGAGGUAGACAAGCUCCGGUCACUUUCGCGGACGAUUCAGGGCCGAGAAGACCUGGGAAGGGGCCAGUAGCUCACCUCCGGUCCUAUUGACGAGGUCUCGGGGCCGGGAAGAAACAAGCCGGGACGAAACGAGGAACAACGGCGGCUCGAGUCGGCGGCGCAGAAACUGGCGGCGGCGAUCCGGCGAGACAGGGCCUCGGAGGCUCCUUGAGCAGGUCGACGAGCUCUAGGCGACCAAGGCGAAGCUGACGGUAAAGGAGUCGCUGUGCGGGGCUGGCCGGAGUGGCAGCUCCAAGUGCGGCGGUGAGUGCGGUGGAGAAAAACAGAGUAGGUAGUGCGGCAAAGGUGGUGGUGGCAAAGGGAACUCCAGUAAAAGGCUUCGGUACCUUUUUAUAGAGGCGCGGAAGUGUUCAGAGGAAGGAAACGAGCUCGAGCGGACGAGAGGAUAAGAUCGAGGGAGAAGGAAGUGCUUUGUCGUGGCGGCAAUUGGUCGGCGCCUCCAUUGGCCAGAGAAGCGGAGUUCUGGGGACAGGAUCCUUCGAGCAUUGGGCAAAGGAGAUAGCGUCAGGCAAGCGUGGUUUUGCCGGGUGGGAGGAUUGGCGAGGCCGGACGUGCGUUUGGUCGCGUCAAGCGCCGGAUUGGGGGCGGCGGCACGGCCGGUGCCUGGCAGUGGCGUGGUUUGCCGAAGAAAAACUUGAAUUCCAGGACUUAGGUUGUUUGUAGGGUUCUAUAACACUCCUGUUUUGAUUCUUGUAUUUGACCUUCUCCCACUCUGAAUUAGCCAAAGUGUCUUUAACAAAAGUUAUUUGAAAUUAAAAGUUUUACAACUAUUAUUUGGGCAAAAAUUUAAGAUUGCACAUAAAAUCUCAAGUUUUAUAUUUAACUCCAAAAAGAGCUUCUUAGGGUCAAAAAGGACAUUUCACCUCUUUUGCUUAGUGACUAAUGACUUGUUUAUGUUUAAUUACACCUAAUUAAGGUAGAGUUGUUACAGCACCUUAGGUGGACUAAGGCUAGAGACCCCAUUGCGCGUAGAAGAGGCCCGGAAAUGGGGUUAAGGGUCUGAUUGUAAGGAUUAGGGACUCGUUUAAGGUGUCCAAGGACCUUGUUGUAACAGUCUAGGGACCCCGUUGUAGUAUUAAGCCCAAUCAAUGGAAUAAAUGUAAACAGCCUCUUCCUCCUCCACCUUAUAAAAGGAACCCAAGGGGUGUGAGGAAGGACUUUUGGCCAUUUGCUUAUUCGGUAGCUUGUCUCACCCGGUUCUCCCUCUCCCAGUCAGCUUCUCCCGAGGAGAGACCCCAACAUUUGGCGCCCACCGUGUUUCGGCACAAAGUAAAAUUCACGAUCACCAUGAGAGACAGAGAUUAUAAGCAGUCCAAGCGAAGCUAAGCUGACAGUCCAGUUUGUAUUUUGCCCGAAGCUGCCCCGAUCUCCCAAAAUGCCUGAAGCCGGCGACCUCUCCCAAACAACCGAGCGAAGCUAACCAGAGCAAACAAUAACAGCCGAACCAGCUAGCGCCGAGCGAAGCUAUUUGUCAACUACUGCAGCCUCGCGAGAAGGGCCAUGCAGUUCGGCCAGCCCGAGGUGAAGUGCUCGUCCAGUUCCCAUCAACUGCACUCCCGAGGCCACAAGCAUCACCGCAUGCAACCGCAUGUCACCAGACCAUCUGCAAACACCGCACCGGCCCUACCCUCGCAUGCAACAGCAGACAACAGGUGCAUGCAAUGGGCAUGCGACAAACGCACCGUACUGCAACCAUGCAUGUGCAUCCCCGAAGCUGACCCAUCUUAAGAAUUAUGUGAACGUGAAACUCCCUUCGUCGCCGUUAGUUGAGGCACUAGAUCUUAUGGUUGUAGAGAAGCAGCCCUUUGUUAUGGCAACUGAGAGUAAUUCAUCUGUAAUAGGCUUGCUAACACUAAAAAAUAUCCGAGAUUUCUGCGGGAGCUGCAAAAAUCACAAGGGUACAAGCUGAGAGAAAAUUAUAGAUUCUCAUGGUGCGGAUCACUUUCCUGUAGUCUCUGUAACACGCUAAUCUUCAGGACAGUGGACUUCUGAUAGGUUUUGUAGCUGAGAAUGCAUCGCCACUGCUUGAAGAGCCAUGGCAGUGAAAGAUUUUUUUCAUGUCUUCAUAUGAGAUCGAAAAGGAAGCGAGACCUAGCACGGAAGGGAGAUGAGACAAUUCAGGAAGACUUGUCACUUCGCAAACUGCAUGACAUUUUCAGCUAGAAUAAUGGUUGGUGAAGCAAGCAAAUUAACCUGGCGUGAGUUCAUGCAACCACCAGAGCGAAACUAAAAAUCUAGGCUGGUCAGCACCGUCGACGAUUUUGUCCGUCUCCUAGCAACGAGUUUGCCGAGCGCGGCAAUUUUUCAGUCAAGUGCAUAAUCGAAGCUACGAGCGACGACCGCCACGGAAUCGAAGCUACGGAACCUCUCUAAGCUAAUAUCUAUUCUUGCAGCAUCACUGGAAGCUUCAGGUCAUCGGCAACUUCGUCACCCUCGUCGCCAGCAGCAAGCUGUACCCUCGCAACAAGAUCUAUGGUUAACCUCGCAGCGAGCAGGUUGUGAAGAACCUCCCCUCGCAGCAACAAGCGCUGGCUACCCUCGGUCCAUGCCAGCAACAGUCGAGUACUCGGCAAGUGCACCAUAUAUACGGUGGAACCUCGCGCAGCGGCAGCACCCGAAGUUGCCGGGAGCCUCGCGCAGCAAUCCUUGAGCACGCUCAUACUACCCAAGCAUUGCAAAUCUUCAAGGACAGGAAGCUCUCACUCAGGAAUUGAAGCAGAACAUACAAGACCAUGAGAGGGUUCUUGGUGUAUCAACAGUUGAUACUACUGAUCUACCACCCUUUAUCAACAACACGUACGAUGGAGCAGGUGGAACGAACAAUAGCGAGACCCUAAUCUUGCACAGUGGAUUGUAAAAAUGUUGACAAGAAGCUUCGCCAGAUACUUGAUACGACUCACGAUGAAGCUCAUUUUCAUAUGAAGCAGACAGCAUUCCCCUACAAUCUUGGUGCCCAGACAUUGCCGAAAAGUCAUCAUUGCCUUUCUAUGAGGCUGACGUUAGAAUACUUCAAAUCGUCUUCGCUGGAUUGGGAUGAUUCUCCUUCUGGCAAGAUCAAUAGUCCAAAAUAUCUGCACUAUGUUAUACUGUAUAGGAAUGUUCUUGCGGCUUCUGUAGUGAUCAACUCAACUGAGAGCGGUUGUAAGGAGACAAGCAUCUUUGCUUUUCACAUCCUAGCUGAUGCUCAGAACUUCUAUGCAAUGAAACAUUGGUUUGCCAGGAAUUCAUAUAAAAGUGCAGCUAUCCAUGUCAUAAACUACGAAGCAAUUAUUUUGGAGAGGUCGCCAAAGUAUAGUAUCAGAUAGCUGUGCCAGAGGAGUUUCGUGUCCUCAUUAGGAGCACUAAUAUAAGCAGCCUACUGAUAAUACAAGAGUGGUGCCCUAAAUCGCCUCAGUCAGCAUCCGAAGAUUAGAGUCUUUUUAUGCGGAGUUACGAGGCUCUAGCAAAUGCACGACCACAUGCCGGACAGGCUCCGCAGCAUGUCAUGUCAUCGUCAAUCACGCACGAAUGCACCUGACCGCGCAAGCCCAACGGCAACAACAUAGACUCCGAUCCAGGCGAAGUUGUAGAUAUCGUCGUCAUCAUCAUGUCACCCUUGUCGGCACGACCGAAGCUACAGCCGAAGCUACAUGUCAUUUUUGUAUCACCUGUGCACGGCCAUGCGACUAAAGCCAGCGGCUAAAUUCUUCCAUUCACUCCACCUCCGCCCCUUGCCGGCACAGUUAGCACCGCAAAAUCACAAAUCAAGUCAUGCUCGAAAACUCAGCUAACCUCGAAGGCAAACAACUCGGUUAACCUCGCGGACAGGAAAAAAAUCGGAGCUACCAAAUCAAACACCAACUCCGUGAGGGGGACAAAAAAAAAUAAUAAUAAACAAACAAAAUCGGCAGAGCCACCAAGCAAUCAGCGAAGCUGCUAGCAAGGUAGGCAAGCUCCAAGACCAACGAAAGCCAAUUAACCUCGCGGGCCAAGCACACAAAGAAAAGCAGCGCCUCCUGUUUGACUUGGGCAAUUCGACUUCAAGAGCAUCGCGUGCCUUCUCAGAGUAACAUCGAAGGUGCUGAGCAACUCAAGUCGAUAGCGAAGCUACUACCCAGCAAGCUCUCUCGAAGUGCCCGAGCGAUCGAAGCUGUAACCUCUCCCGAAGUGCCCGAAGUGCCCGAAGUUGUAAGCUCUCGUGAAGUGCCCGACACUGUCAGCUUUCCCGAAGUUGUUAACCUCGAGUUCCAAGCCAUCGACCGAAGUUGCUAACUCUAUCGAAGUUGCUAGCCGAGCGAAGCCAUUACGGCAGCACUGCAAGGUUACCAGACUCCAAGCUCCGGAACCCUCGCAUGCAAGCGCGACACUCCUCUAGAGUACUCUUUCAAUCAUCGAAGCAUCAAAAUUAACUUACCCUCGCCAGUCAAGCUAACCUCGCAGCUGCCGGCCGAGCGAAGCUAUUAUUAGGAAAACAGCUAAUAAUCUAGCUUACAAGCGCACGCAACCGGAAGAUGCCUGGGCAGGCAUCGAAGCUGCCGACAAGCUGCGAGGCCAGGCACGCAUGCAAGCACAUGCACGUGAAGGCAGCCAAAGCCAAGAGUUGCAAGCACAUGCACGUGAAGGCAGCCGAAGCCAAGAGCUGGAAGCACAUGCAUGCAAGCACCGAAGCAACGGGCCGGUCUCACCAGCUUCCGUCCCCGAAGCUCUGGAGUAUGGAAUCCCCGAAGCUCUGGACUCUGGAGUAUGGAGUCCCCGAAGCUCCGGAGUCUGGAGUAUGGAGUCGCCGAAGCUCUGGAGUCUGGAGUAUGGAAUCCCCGGCAAGCUCAAUCCUCGCCGUCUCGCGUUAACCUCGCAGAAAUGCAACAAGAGGGGUUACCCUCGCAGCAAGCUCUACAGCUAACCUCGCAACAAGCAGGUCUUCAAGAACCUUACCUCACAGAAGGCUCUACAUCACAGCAAGCUCUACCUUCGCAGCAAAAGCUUUACCCUUGCGGCAAGAAUCCAUGCAACGAGCAAAGCGAAGCUAGAGAUCUAAGCUGGUCAAUCCUGUUGACGGUUUUGUCCACCUCUUGGUGGCGAUUUUUUCAGUCAAGUGAUCGAAGCUGGUACGUGAAAAAUGAUAACACAUGCUCAAAAUGAACGCUUCGGCGGCGGCUUCGGAGCUCAUUUUCAAUGCAAAGUCUUGUCCCCCUUGAGACUAAGUUCAAAUUGAUAGUCGAAGCAACCAAGAGUUGUGAUAUCGACUAGAGCUUGAUGCUUGAAGUAAGUCCACAAAAGCUUGAACACGAGCAAACUUUUAUCGACUUAUCUGCUUACUUGUAUUAUAACUAUCUCACGGACCUUAGUCAUGCAGGUUACAACUCAUAUAUUGAUAUUUCCUUUCCCUAACAUGCAGAUUCUCACCAUUGUAAGUAGUUCGCCCCGUUUAAGAUAACCCUAUGACUUAUACCCUCGCACAUACAAAUAUUUCAUUCAUAUGCAUCAAAGCAUGCAUCGAAUCAUCACAAUGCAUGGACGCAGUACUUUUAUGCAUGAAUCGCAUCAACAACAAGUUGCGUAACCUCGCGUCAGUACGCGGAGGAGAGUAUGAUUUUCCAUGAUUAAGUGCAACAAUAAGUUGCGUAACCUCGCGUCAGUACGCGGAGGAGAGUAUGAUUUUUCAAGAUCAAGUGCAACAACAAGUUGCGCAACCUUGCGUUAGUACGCGGAGGAGAGUAUGAUUUUCCAUGAUCAAGUGCAAGAACAAGUUGCGUAACCUCGCGUCAGUACACGGAGGAGAGUAUGAUUUUCCAUGAUUCAGUGCAACAACAAGUUGCGAAGCCUUGCGCUUUUAUGCGGAGGAGAAAAGUGUGACUCCGUCAAAGAUCUAGUGCAACAACAAGUUGCAUAGCCUCACAUUCUCACGCGGAAGAAAGAUAGCGACUCCGAGCGAGUCUAACAAUCAUAAUAUAUACUAUACUACAGAUCAAAGCGCGCUAUACGCACACGAAUGCACAUUUUUUGCAUCCAUUUUUUUUGUUUACAAAAGGAGUCAGACACGACGACCCGAGAUGGCAUCUAGCGCGAAGCAAUCUUCGAACUAGACAUCUUGUCGCGAAGCGGCAGGAGGGGGGUGACAUUUUUGGAAAGGUACAAAGUCAACCCACCUCUUAUUCGAGGGAGCCCAGCCUUUGUAAAAAUGUUUCCCUCUCUUCUUCACGAACUUCAAACUUCAAAAGUGCCAAAAAUCCCCGGGUAUGUCCUAGCGAUCAUAAGUGGCAAAGCUAGCUAGUUACCUACGAGUACAUGGCUGCUAGUCAAACUUCGGUCCUGCGCGUUUACGUGAAACCUGCAUACAACUAGCCAACUAGUCACCGCAUGCAUGUACUAAAUAUGCAUGAGCGGGCAGCAUGCACGCAUGCACUAUCUUCGCAUGCAUGCACAAGACCUCGCACGCACAGCUAGGCCUCUGAGACCGAAGCUGUUCCUCGCAGCACGAAGCUGCGCAGCUUUCAAUCGUCAAAAGAAGCAGUUAUUUUCUUAUCCUUUAAGCCAAGUUACCCUCGGCACUUUCGGAAGCUAGCGCGGCCCUUCACUGGAAUGCCCGGAACCUCGCUGGUUCAUAUCAUGCCCCAUAGCCGAAGCUACGGAACCUCGCCAGUUAAGCUGUGCUCGGAACCUCACAAGUUAAUGCAUUCUAGCUCCCGCAGAACAAGCGGCCCUCCCGCGUGCAUGCACCAGGGCAGGGCUACCACCAACAAGCGAGAGUUAUUAAUCAAGCACCGAAAGAUGUCACAGGACCAUUAAUCUCUAUAACUUGGGACAUGAAUUCAUAUCCUUUAGCUAACAACAGCUUUGAAGACUUACCAUUAAUGCGCUACGUCGUUGGUCAUGAUAAACCUCAGACGUGCUAUCUUGUUAUGUAUAUAUUUUUCUAUAUCCCUAGAUAUCCUACCACGUGUUGGACAGGUACCUCGAAGGUUUAAGCCUAAGGACGGCAAGGCUAAUCUUUUCAAGCACUCGUCGCGAGGUUGAGAAAGUUCCCAGCACAGCGGCAACUUAAAGCUACCAACAGCGACGGCCCAUCAUCCCCGACUUGGCAUUUUCUGCUACAUCACCCGAGGGGCUCAACCUCGACAACAUCCGUGACUUCGCACCUCACCGCUACAUCAGCUCGAGGGGCUCAACCUCGAGUGACCCUUGGCUUCGGCCCUGCUACAUCGACUUCACCGUUAGCAUCGAGGUCAUCACCGACUACACCUACAACCCAACCUCGGCCACCGCUACUUCAUCGACCACUUCCCCUACAUGCGGAGUUUCUCUCGCGAACACCAGCCAAGAGGGGCUGGGGGUUGUACUGGAAGACCAGUCCAUCCCAGUUGCCGGGUGCCCGCGAGAGAAGCUUCGAAGCUGCUGCAACUGCCAUCAAUAACGACUACUUAUGGCGCCCACGAGAGAAAGUCCGAAGGUGUUGCAAUCACCGUCGGUGGUGACUACUUCGACUACAUCAGCUUUUGAAACAAGUACUGAUGAUCGAGGCUUAGGCGAAAAGCUAGCCCUAUGCAGAUCAAAGCUCAUCGUUCUAGGCGCAUGGACGCAUAGUAUCCGGAGUUGGCAAAUGGGACCUGAGAGUGUGCGCACUCUUUUUUCUGCAUGGCCUUUUUUCCCAUUGGGUUUUUGGGGUGGAGUUUUUAGCGAGGCGCACACAGGUUGUCCGCAAAGGGCAUUCCUCGUAGCCAGAGUCUGAGUUGUAAUUGGGCCUCUUCUACCAGGAGCAACUAUUAGGUCUUGUUGUGCCGACCAAGACCGAAUAGUUGAGGGGCUACUGUUGGCGGUGCGCCUUAGGUGGACUAAGGCUAAAGACCCCCAUUGUGCGUAGAAGAGACCCAGAAAUGGGGCUAAGGGCCUGAUUGUAAGGAUUAGGGACUCGUUUGUGGUGUCCAAGGACCUCGUUGUAACAGUCUAGGGACCCUGUUGUAGUAUUAAGCCCCACCAAUGGAAUAAAUGUAAACAGCAUUUUCCUCCUCCACCCUAUAAAAGGAACCAAAGGGGUGUGAGGAAGGACUUUUGGCCAUUUGCUUAUUCGGUAGCUUGUCUCACCCGGUUCUUCCUCUCCCAGUCCGAAGCUAAGGAAGGUUGUUGUUUGUUCCGUGUUGUGGUUUAGCUUCUCACGAGGAGAGACCCCAACACUAGUCUCGUCCGAGCAACAUAUUGUAGGACCCUUUACCGUUAAUGACAAAGAAGGUGGUGGGAAGGGUCUUACUGCCAAUGGUGAGGUUGACACAUAGUGCCCCCCUGGGCUGGAGAUAUGUUGCCUUCGAAGUCCUUGAGCAUCAUGUCUGUCUUCACCAGAUCUUCUUCACCUUUGCCACAUUUUUGGAACAUGGCAUAUGGCAUGAUGUUCACAGCUGCGACUCAAUCUACCAACAGCUUGGUGACUGGUCUUCCGUCGACUUGCCCCUUGAGGAACAGAGCUUUGAGAUGCUGGCAUUUUUCAUCCUUGGGUUUUUCAAAAGUGGCGGUCAUUGGCUCCAAAGCCAAUUACGCCAUCCGCUCCUCUGCCUCUGUCGUGUUAUCUCGGUCAGCGGGAGCCAUGAAUUCCAUUGGCAAGAUGAAUACCAUGUUAACAUCGGCAGCCAAAUCCUAAUCAUCAUCUCCUUCAUCGACUUUUCUUCUGGGGCGCCAAACUUGAGACAUGAGUCCUUUUUGUCCAAUGCUUGCCUUUGUUCUUCCUCUUGCUAUUCCCAUUAGCGCAAGCGCUGGACCCUUCUCUUCUGGGAUUUGGUCAAACCCUCUGGGCACCGUCUGGGGUUCACUAGUUUACCCGACGGUUUCGUACGCUCCCAUUCUGGCUCUUGGGCCAACGGAAUUUUGUCAGAGACCCUUACGUCGGCCAUUUCUCCCAACCAAUUGUGUGUGUUAGCUUUGCCCCCUAGCUGAUUACGCUCAUUUACUCUGCCCCCCAGCUGAUCAUGCACUAAAGCGUGCCUGUCAUCUUGCUCGAGCCUAUUUCUGCUGAUCGGCUCUUGUCCUCUAUCUCCGAAGCAUGACCCCUUGAAUGGACGGCUGCCGUCGUACUGGCCGUUGCACUCAGGAUAGUUAUCGGCCGACGGCAAUCUGAGGUUGUUCUCCCAAUAGUGGAUGAAGAACGGACACCUCCAAUGGUCUUCAUGCCGGUGCAUCAUUUCUUCCCGGCACCUUGUGUCUUCCAAUUGCCUUUGGUACUUGUUGAGUAGAUCUCGAGACGUGAUAGGCCAACGCGGCUUCUCCAAGUUCCCAUCCUCUAUUUCUGCUCAGCCUUUUCCUUUAACAUCGUCGGCCGAGACCUGGUUCCUAGGGUCCACCGCUCUGUUUCUUUUGGCCGAUUUUGAUGUCAGUACCUUGGUUUGCAGCGUGUUCCUACCACCGACGUCGACCAUAUUGCUUGGGAAGGGAUGUUGGUCCAUCUUCAUCGGUUUUGCUGGGUUUGUGGGGACCUCGAAUUUAAGCCUCCCUUGCUCAAAGGCCGACUGUAUUUGCUGACGGAAGACUUUGCACUCAUUGGUGUCGUGAGCUGUGGCACUGUGCCACUUGUAGUACUUCAUCUUCUUAAGCUGUUCGGCCGAUGGGAUUGUGUGGUAGGGUGAGAGCUUGAUCUAUCCUUCCUAUAGCAGCAAGUCAAAGAUCUUAUCAGCCUUAGACGUAUCGAAGCCAAACGUUUCCGGCUCUUUCUUUCCAAAUGGGCGUGAGAUUGGCUUUUUGCCCUUGACCCAUUCUGCCAAGCCGAUUUCCGCCUCCUCUUCUAAGUCAGAUCCUCCCACGUACGCCACCUUUUUCUAGAAAUUUCUUCGUUGGUCAAAGGGGCGCACUUCCUGGUUUGAUAACCGGUGUACUAUCUGGCUCAAACUUUCAAACUCUUGAGAACAAUAUUUUUCCUUGAUGUGCAGUAGGAGCCCUUGAAAAGUAGUAUCGGCCAACUGGCUAUUAGUCAGGACCAAACUGUAGCACUUGUUCCUAACCUCUUUGAACCUCUGUAUAUAGCUGACCACUGAUUCGUCGCUUCUUUGCUUGAGACUAGUUAGAUCUGACAGCUUCAUCUCAUGGACCCCCGCAAAGAAGUACUUAUGGAAUUGUUUCUCCAGAUCGGCCCAAGUGAUGAUGGAGUUGGGCGGCAGCGUCGUAAACCACUGAAACGCUAACCCGGACAGGGACGAUGAGAACAAUCGUACCCUCAGAGCAUCUUGUGCAGUAGCUUCUCCGCACAGAAUGAUGAAUCUGUUGACGUGCUCCACCAUAGAUGUAUCAUCUUGACCCGAAAAUUUGGUGAAGUUGGGCACCUUGUACCGAUGAGGGAACGGCAACAGGUCGUAGGCGGGUGGGUACAGCGUCUUGUAUAUGUAGGUUUGCACCUUUGGCUUUAGCCCAAACUGAUCUUGUAUUAUAUCAGCUAUUCUUGCAGUCCAAUCCACAUGCUGCUACUACUGAUGGAUGAUCGGCUGAGCCAUCGGCAUAUGCUAUUGGACUUGUGGCACAGUAAUCGAGUGGAAGACUGGUGCGUGCUAUAGAGCUUGUGGCUGGAUAGUCAGCUGAGGAGCCGACGGCUGCUGACGAACAGGAUCAACAUGUCGUAGCACAUCUGCUGCCUCGUCAUACAAUACUAUUGGUGCUGCAUCUCUGAAAGGACCUAAAAUGUGUGCCCUCCUGCCGAUUUCUAGUGAAGUCUGUUAAUAUUGCGAGACUGUCGGCCGGGGACCCGAUGGAAAUGAUGUCUGCACCAAAGAUCUUGGAAUAUGAGAUCCUGGAGGUAGUCCGUAACUAGUGGAUGGAUCUAGACUGGCAGGUAUUCCUACCCUUCGCCAUGGCGUCGAUGUCGUCAACGGCAGUUGCACAGGAGGAACACAUGUAGGCUGAAGCGGUACUCGUGUUGGAGAAGGCGGCGCACCAUUAUAGCCCAGGGGUGAUGUAGCGUUGUAUCCUCCAUUCUGCAUCUGCAUCGAUUGAUGAGCCGAUUGGAAAAUGUUGGGUGUCGCCGAAAAGCUUCCGACCGGUGCGCUGAUAGGAGGGGCGUAGGCUAGCACAUGAUACCCUUGUGCGACACCAUUGGCCAUGGAGCUGAUGACGGCAGUAUACACAGUGUGAGUCAUCACCUUGGAUUGAUCAAUCAUGGCCUGAUAAACAGACUGCUGGAUCAUCUCGGACAUCUGCCCCGAGUCUUCAACGAUGGUGAUUUGGCGAGGAGUCGGGAGGGCGGUCUUCUUGACGAGUUCCCCACUCCUGGUGCGAUUGUAGGAUUGCAAGCAUGCCUUCUUGAACUCUUCAACAGCCUUUUCCAUCUCAUCCUUCUAGUCGUCCUUGAGAUCUGCCUCGGUGACUUCAAUGACGUUGUCUUCUGAGAUUUCAGCAGCCUUCUGUUUUGACAUGUUGGAUCUUUCUUUGGUCCCACCAAGCGUGUCAAAAUGUGUUGACGCAAAAUCCUAGUGGUGGUGGACCCUACAUCAGCACAUGAGGACAUGGGAGAUCUGCUUAACUCCAGUGCAGAAUCCAAAUCGGCGCGCGUUGUGUGCCCGAGCGUGCCAGUUAGUUUAACCAUUCAACUGAUAAGGUGGAGAUAAUCCUUCUUGGUGAGCGUGAGUAGCUAGCCGGCUAUCCAACCGAUUCAACACCAAUUGGCGAUAACCAUCGGCUGGAGAGCCGAUAGGAGACGGAGCGCCGUUGAGUUCUUGCUCCACCAUAGCUAGAGCCACAAGCCAAUGAGAUUCUGUUGGCGCUAGAAAUCGGUCAACCGAAUCCCAGCGACCGACACACGACCCGGGAGAAUCUGCUUAGCUCCUGUUCGGGUGGAUGCCCUGGUGCGGUUCGCGCGGCGUGCCAGCCAAUCUGACCUGUUGAUUGGCAAGGAAGAAUACGUAUCAGGUUCAGAGAUCUCGAUCGACUAAGUUUCCGAUCUCGAAAGAGCCUAUCAGCAAAUCGGCCGAUUUGCCUUAACAGAGGAAUCGGCUAUAAGGCAACCGAUCACUGUAGCCUUGUAGACGGAAAACUAUUGGAGUAAUCGGUACAAAGCUUAUGAUAACAACACUAGGAAUAGAUCUAAUCGGCAAUAGAUGAAUUUAACAACAGAAAGUAAAGAGAGCCGACACUACCGAUUCCUAGCUAGAUAACUAGUGAUAAAGACUAGAAAAACAGGUAAAACCUAUGAAUCUAGCAAAUAUCGAUAACUAGUGAAUAAAUCUAAACGAAACAACAGCGAUGCGCCCGAAGUUAAAGCUUAGAUAUUACUCGAUAAGCGGAACUUACAGAAUCGGCCGGAGAUCAAGGUGAUGCAGCCCUGCCAACCCGUACGAACUCGUGAAAAAGAGAAAAGUAAUGGCGAAGUCGCCGGCUUGAAAGUAAGUACGAGGAAAAAGUAGUUUGUUGUAUUGAUUUGUUGAUGGUUAUAGAUUUACAAAGGUAGCUAUUUAUAGCCCCGUACAGAUAUCUCCUUAACCGACUAGAAUUCUAUCCCUAAUUCAAACAGAAAACGAAUAUCUACAAGCACGAUUCGUGCUAGGUUGGUUACUCCACGCUUCGUGGGCUGAUUUCCAUCUUACCCUUCUACUCCUUUCCAAGCCCAUACAGGCCCAAUUAUUCCAUCCUCCUAAUCGGCCGAUUCCUCAUCGGCCGAUUCCUCAUCGGCAAAAGGCUACCGAUUGGGACUCUGGUAUAUUCGACCCGAAACGAAACAGAAGUCACUGGCCGAUCUCACACUGUAGCACCACUUGGCCGAUUCCCAACUGUGCUCCUCCGAUUCCCUCUCUUCUUGGCGCCGAUUCUACUAGUGACGAAAUCUGGCGUCAACAGAUUCAAACUAACGUCGUUACCAAUAUUUUUAGGUGAAACCACAGCGAUGCGCCCGGUAGUUGCAGCCUAGAAACACUCAGCAGGACGUCAAUUUAAACCCCGCCAGCCGAUGAAUCCAAUCAUAAUGAAAGUCAAUACCAACAGCACUCGAGUGGCAACCAAGAUUAAGAUGCAACAGGCUAUUAAAAAUAGAUCUAUCAUCUAUUCCGACAGAAUUAAUAACAAUUGAUGUGUCAUAAACGGCAAGAUGAUAGAACAGAUAAAUAUCACCCGAUGCAAACUUAAUCAAGGCGGGAUAACUGGUGAAUAUUGUAGAUCGAGACAGAAGCGAUGCGCCAUAAGUCAAAGAUCCAAGAUACUUUAUAACUGGUAGAUGAAACCAGACCCAACGACAGCGAUGCGACCGGAAGUUGAAGUCUAGUACACCUGAUGACGGGGACUUACGGCUUGCCAGAGAUCGAGGUCGAUGCAGCCCAGCUUGCUAGAAGGAACUCGUCGAGAAGCUACAUUACUCCUACUCCUAAUGCAAUGGCGUGAAGCUGAAAAGGUAAAUAAAAGAUAAAUGUGUUGUAUAUUGAUCGUGUGAUAAAAAUUACAAUGGCCACGACCCUUUAUAUUUAUAGGGCGGAUGGCCUUUGACGCACCACGUACAAGGCAAGUCACAUACACAAUCUUUUCUUAAUCAAAACUCUAUCUCUAACUAAUCCAACUCUAUCUCUAAUCAAGCUUAUCCCUAACCAACUUUAUCUCCAGAAUAUUUUAUUUUAUAAGACAACCUCCCGUGUGUGCGCUUCCCUUGGAUGCCAAACUGUUGGAACUCUUGCCAUGUGCGCCGAUUUCCUUCUUUUAAUCUUCUAAUUUUCUUGCUUUCUCUUUCUUCAUGCACACAUCCCUAAUUUCUGUGGCCAGCUUGCAAAUAGCCUUAUUUAGGAGAUUUCAUCAUUUUUUGCAUCAUCAGCCGAUUCCUUCCUUUCAGAGCAUAUUUUCAAAUUUUGAUGUUAACACAGGCCUCCCAGUUUCGGAGUAUGAAGGCUUCAUGUUCCGAAACUAAUUAUAGAAGUAUUUUUCAAAUAGAAGUCCGAUAAUUCGGUGUCAACAUAGGCCUCCCACUUUUGGUGUAUGAAGACCCCAUGUUCCAAAACUAAUUAUAGAAAUCCAAUGCUUGUCUUUAGAGAAAAUUAUGUCUAAUUGCAAUAUUCAAAGCCACAUCGACUCCUCUUGAAAUGUAACGAACCCCAUCGGCUUGAUGCAUUGAUCCCAUUCUUAGCCGAUGAAUUCGCUAGCAGUGGAAACAACGGAUCAGUUUGUGGACACUAAAACUUGGUGCAGUAACCAGCAAGCUUUUAUCGUCAACACAUAGGCCCCCCUGAUUUUGGAGUAUAAAUAUUUCAUGCUUUGAAAUUAAUAUCCAAUAUAUUUUAUAAGCAGCAGAUACUAUUUUUCUUGAACCAAUCAUCCGCUGCAAUUUUGCUUGAACCAAUCGGCCAAUGCAAUUUUUUAUUAGCCAAGCAAUCAGCCGAUGCUUUUUGCCAAGCAAUCAAUCGGCUGAUGCUAUUUCAUUUAUUGGCCAAGCAACCAGCCGAUGCUUUUUGCCAAGCAGUCAAUCGGUUCAUGCUAUUUCAUUUAUUGGCCAAGCAAUCACCCCAUACAACUUUUAAUCGGCCGAUCCAAUUUUCAAUUGGCUGAUGCAAUUUCCAAUCGGCCGAUGUCCUUUUUUCUUAAUAAGCCGAUAAAACUUUCAAUCGGCCGAUCCAAUUUUCAAUCAGUUGAUGCAAUUUCCAAUCGGCCGAUGCCUUUUUUUCUUAAUAAGCCGAUACAACCUUCAAUCGGCUGAUCCAAUUUUCAAUCGGCUGAUGCAAUUUCCAAUCGGUCGAUGCCCUUUUUUUCUUAAUCAGCCGAUACAACUUUCAAUCAGCCGAUCCAAUUUUCAAUCGGCUGAUGCAAUUUCCAAUCGGCCGAUGUUUUUUGUUCUUAAUCAGCCGAUACAACUUUCAAUCAGCCCAUCCAAUUUUUAAUCUGCCAAUGCAUUUUUUUAUUUCAAUCAAUCAGCCGACGCACGGAUACGCCCCCUAAUUGCAACAUCGGCCUCUAUAUAUGCUUGAUAAAAAAGCAAUUCUUCCCGGAUAGAGUAGCCAAUCAUUUUGCAAGAAGCUUCAUCUCUAAUCGUCAUUGGCAUUUAUGAAGAUGGUCCUACCAGAACAUGCAUAUACACGCACACUUGACUUGGCCUUUUCUCCAAUCACUACAUUGGCUGCUUUUGUUGAAAUAUUAUAUUGAAUCAAUUCUAACAAGCUGAUGAACACUUAUUUGGUCGAUGAACUCGAUACAGCUGUCGAAGAUGCUUUUUUAUCUGAAUAAAAAUGUGAACCUUAUAACCGUGUCCCACCGGACGUGCCAAAAGUGUGUUGACGCAAAAAAUCAGACAGUGGACCUGACUCUUGCGUCAAGCACACGACCCGGGAGAAUCUGCUUAACUCCUAUUUGGGUUAUCGCCCUGGUGCGGUUCGCGCGACGUGUCAGUCAAUCUGACCUGUUGAUUGAUAGGGAAGAACAGAUAUCAAAUUUUAGAGAUUCGAUCAGCUAGAAUUCCGACCUACUCUUAAAAAAUGUAUCAGCGGUUGGCUCAUGUAGUGUAAGGAUGACCGGCUAUGAAACAGCCGAUAAUCGUGUAACAAAUGUAAAAGGGACUGCUAGAGUAAUCUAAAUAAUGCUACAAAGACAACACCUGAAAUAGAUCUAAUCGGUUAUAUGAUGAUAAGUAAUGUAUUGAUGUAGCCGAUAGUUUAUGCCUCAAGCCGGAUAACUGGUGAUAAAAACUAAAAUAACAGGCAAAACCUAUAAUUCUAGCAAAUAUCAAUAACUGGUGAAUAAAUCUAAAUGAAACAACAGCGAUGCGCCGGAAGUUAAAGCUUAGAUGUUACACGAAACACGAAACUUACAAAUCGGCCGGAGAUCACGUUGAUGCAGUCCUGCCAACUCGCACGAACUCGUGAAAAGAAAAAGGAUUUUUGGCGAAGUCACUAAUUUGAAAGUAAAGUUGCGUGAAAAAGUAGAUUUGUAUUGAUGUUUGUUGAUGCUUUUGCCAGCCUCAUAGGGCACCUAUUUAUACCCUGUUACAACUCGUUUCCUAACCGACUACGACUCAAUAGUCUAUUUCUUAUUCAAAGCAACAAAUAUUUACAUACGGAUACACCUCGCAUCGGAGUCGGACACCAUCUCUAUGGGCCAACCUUGUCUUCAUCUUGUUACCGCCUUGGCCCAUUCAGGCCCAUAUCAAUGCAUCGGCCGAGCUGUUCUUGCUUCCCAUCGGCUAGACUCCAUCGAUCUCAUCAACUAAUCGGCCGAACCACUGUAGCUUUACCGGCCGAUUUCUCUAGCCGUGGCUCCUUCUUUAGUCCUAGCAGGCACUUUCUUCUCCUUUUGACGCCGACCCGAACACGUGUCAAAAACCGGCGUCAACAGGGAUAAGUCGGAUUGCUCUCGAGAGGCGCCCUUGGCCGCCUUAUAUAGGCUGACGACCUAGGGUUACAAGUCGGUUUGAAUCUAAUCUAGUCGGUUAUUACAUGGAAAGCAACCCGAGUCGGAUUACAACAAGUAUCCCGCAAUAUCCGGACUGAAUUGAAUCGCCCGGUCUCCUUGACUUGCGCUCUAAGUAUCUUCACGUUAUUAGCCCGCACGUUCUGGUCGGACGGGCCCACUUAUCAGGACCGGCCAGUAUCCUGGUUUGUGGGGACCCAUGGAGUACCCAUAUCCCUCACCAUCACCAGGUAUGGUAGUCAGUCAAAUGUAAAACUAUACGUAGCCAAAGUAAUGCUACUGAGACUUCAAGACAAUCAUACCAUUGCAUACUUGUUACUUAUUCUUUGACUACAGCAUUGUAAAAUAUGAUAAUGAUUUGAAGUUAGUUUUGAAUAUAAUUAAAAUCGUAACAUGAGUCUUGCAGGAAUGCACAAAGGGUCUGCAACUCAGGUUAUUUGAUUAGUAAAAUUGUUUACAUGUUUGACUGCAUGCAUAAUCAUUUCUUGUCUACCCGGUAUGUAAAUUGCAGAAAAAAAGUAAACGACUUGCGUCUUCCUACUUUUUAGCUCUCAUUAUAAGAUCCCAGAUUGGUGAUUGUGUUUUUUUUAUCAAGAAUUUUACAUUAAAAUCGUUCUCGUGUUCAAUCUUAUUUAUUCUUUUUUUCGAUACACUCACGUACACUUGCUCUUGCAAACACACGUACGUAACCCUACCCCUGUGAGCACCUCAGAAAGACUAAGCAGGCAAAUUCUUGAAAUUGACAAAAUCAUUACUGGCAACGGGCACGUUGCCUACCAGCGAAAGAAUAGCGCCGGUUAAAUUCUGAAACAAAUCAAGAAAAAUGCGAGCAUCCAUGCUAAGUCAAGAGGUCAAACCUGGUUGGGCAGGUUCCCCCACAAGGAAGCUUACCAGUUUCGCCAAUCUUGUUUAUUCGUUACUCCAUUGUCCCAAAUUAUUAUUUAUUUUGAUCUUUUAAGUACAUAAUUUUUAUUUUUAAUGUGCACCUAAAUAUAUACUUACGUCACUUUACAAAUCAUAUGUCUAAGUGCAUAUAUAUAUUUACAAAAGCUAAAAUAAAUAAUUACUAGUAAAAGAACCCGUGCGUUGCUACGGCGAAAUUGGCACACGAUGUUUUUUAUCGUGUCGUGUAGCGCACCACAUUUCUCCCGAUCCGACCAGGCCCCGACCCCUACCCAUGGCUGCGCUACCCAUGGCACACCACUGCCGCGGGCCCCACUUCGCUUUGCUUCUGCCAUCCGGUUAGCCCUGCGCCUACCCUCUACCUCUCUAAUCCUCGCCACCGGCUCUUCGGGAUCCAGGUCGGACCCGUGAUGUAGUGGCCUAUUAGCUUCCACCGUUCGAAGUGGGCAGUGAUCGCUGCUCUGUGAAGCCAGCCUCACGUUGUUCAUGCCACUUCAGGUCCAACGAAGCCCCCACUUCAGGUCCAGCGAAGCCUGAGCUUUCACUUGGGCUGCACAAGCCAUUACAACUUGGAAUGGGCAGGGCCAGCAAGGGCACACCACAGACUUAACCUCAGAGUCCGCACCAAACAUCCACACCACCUUAAUGCCCCCACUUGGGUUACAAGCCCGCGCAACCGAGCUCGGCGAGGAUGGCUCGCGAGGACGAACAUUUAAGCUGGUGCGGCGCUGUUUUGGAUGGCGAGGUGGUACUAAUCUAAGGAAUAGGAAAAUUAUAGGUGAUCAUAUACUGGGAAAUUUUUCUCUCCGUCCGGGAUGGGCCACCGCUUUUUCUGUUUUGAAAAACAAAAAAUAGGGGAGGCUCUUCGUUGCUGUGCAAGUCUCGAUAGCUUGCAAGCUUCUUGCUUCCCCUACUCGCGUUGCACGGUUCACUUUCACGCAUCAGCUCAUCUACGGCAUGGCUAAUCAUGAACACCUCAAUGAUGGUCCGGUCAAAAGACCGUGUGUUUAAUUACUGAGCACGGAUCGCUGUGCCGGUUAGCAUCAAUCGGUAUAGAGUAUAAUAACAGCACGUCAUCGUCACCGAACGCGGCACGACUUUCUGUUAGCACUAAACAAUGCUCCCCAAACCUCCGCCCCUCGCUGCCAUGGCCGCGCUGCAGGGUCCUUCCCCAUGCCUAGCUACGCGCUGCCAGAGUCGACCGAGCCCGCGCCUGCAUUCCCACCCGCCGAGCUCCGCGCUCCUCGACGGGCACCACCUCAGGGAGCAAGACUGGGUGUUCCGCGUCAUGGUUGUUUUUUUCUCUGGUAGAAAAUUCUACCUUAUCCUAUCCGUUUCUCCCUUUCCUGGACCCGUACAUCUCUAUCCUCCGCCGCGCAACCCGUGGCUCUGCUCGUCCCUGCCGCUACGCCCGCGCCCUCGCCGUUCUUCUCUAUCCCUGCCUGCUGCGCAGCUCUUCUGCGACCCUGCUCUAGUCGCGCCGUGCUGCGCCCCCACCGUUCUUCUCCAUCGCCAUGCCGCAUCUCUGCCCGCCUGCAUCUCGGCUGCGCGCUCCGCCGGACCUCGCCGUCGAGCAGCGUGGGGCAGCGGUGCGCCCCCACUCCGGCCGCCGGGGCGCUCAAUCCCCUCCGUCGCCUCUGUUUUAAGAAAGGAGAAGCGUUUUCCCCUUUAACCCCCUCCCUUCCCUCCUUUUUUCACCCAAGGCCCCUCUCUCUUCAAAAUUGGACUGCGGGUUGAUUACUGAAAAUUUGAAGGACUUUUUCGUAAAAUGACCAUGACGGUUGAAGGAUUGAAAGAAACAUCCUCUCCUUAAAAAUAUAUAUAAAUUUAGGAUGGAGGGAAGUGGUAUUUGGAGCCAGACAUGAGGUUCAGACAUGAGAUUAAAAAGAUUAUGAUUUCGCUGGAUUGGAGUUCGUCGUAGCAUUGGAUCCAUCCCUGGGUGGAGAUGCACGUCGCCCGGCAAUUCUCGUCGCGACUCACCCGGGCGUGUCGCUGUUUUUGUACGGCUGAAGAUCGCGUCCGUGACGUGUUCGCGUUUGCACUCGAGUUUGCUACGGUGCCGUACCCCGCGUCGCAGUCGGCGUUUUGCCUUCAGCAGCAAAUUAAAUGAUCCCGUGGUCUGCGUGGCUUAUCAGGCGGAGGGAGCUCUGGCUGGAGGUGGAGUCAGCGGAUUUCAUGCUAAGGGGUGUUUGGAAAAGCCGCAUCGGAUGUUCGGAUGCUAAUUAGGAGGACUAAACAAUAUCGGAUGUUCGAAUGCUAAUUAGGAGGACUAAACAUGAGCUAAUUAUAAAACUAAUUGCAGAAUUUUGUACUAAUUCGCGAGAAGAAUCUAUUAAACCUAAUUAAUCUAUCAUUAGCAAAUGGUUACUGUAGCACCACGUUAUCAAAUCAUAGACUAAUUAGGCUUAAUAGAUUCGUCUCGUAAAUCAUACUCCAUCUGUGCAAUUAGUUUUGUAAUUAACCUAUAUUUAGUACACUUUAUUAGUAUCCAACCACGUUAAAUUUUAAUAGGUAUUUCCAAACAACUCUAAAAAGAGGCUGAAGCCCCCCAACCCAACUGCUGUGCAGACCGUAUUAAAAGUUUGAGAAAAUCCAUGGCACCAAAAUCGAGGAUGCCUGUCGCUGGUUUUCUGCUGCCCAAGGUUUCUGAAGAUCAUUGCAAGGUUGGUGCACAAGAGGCGGAUUGUUGCUACUUCCUCUUUCUCACAAUAGAUCGUUUUAAUUUUAUAGAUGUAUAGUUUUGAUGAUAUACUUAGAUAUAAUAUAUGUCUAGAUGCAUAGCAAAAUCUACUCAAAUUAUAGAUCGUUUUAAUUUUAUAGAUGUAUAGUUUUGAUGAUACACUUAGAUAUAAUAUAUGUCUAGAUGCAUAGCAAAAUCUACGAAUAUAUAAAAAUCUUAACAACUUACCGUUUAAAAUGGAGGGAGUAUUGAUUUUUUUUCUUGGCCGAUGGCUUCUUUGAAGUACUGCUGCUUGAUAAAAUAAAAGAUUUCUUUUAUGGUGACGGACUAUUUUGGCACAACUUGAUAAAUUGGUCAAUAAAGAGGUCUUUUAAUUAGAGAAAAAACAUAUAUGUUAUAUGAUUCAUUGGUUGUAGUCAAUUUUGCAAAUGUUUACAAGAUAUUUCAGACAUGGAAGGUUGUGUUUCUCACCGUCAGAGGCUAUGAAACACUAGGUUGUGUUUCUCACCGUCAGAGGCUAUGAAACACUACUAGGGAAUGCGCCUUCAGUACCGCUUCCUAACCCCCCUCUAGUGACGGUCGUGCAACCCGUAUUGCUACUUCGGUACUAAAAGAGAGUCUUUAGUACUGGGAGAUAAUCGGUACUAAAGGGGGGCCUCUAGUACCGGUUGUUUAUACCAACCGGUACUAAAUUGACCGCGCGUGGCCAAGGUCAAUUUAGUACUGGUUGGUAUAAAAGUUUUUUUCUUUUUUCUUUUCUAUGUUUUUUAUUCUAUAUUGGUAUUUCAUAUUUAUUUCCUUUACGUAUAAUAGUUCUAAUACGCUAAGGAAAUUUGUAACAAUAAAAAAUAAAUGACUAAGGCAAUUUGUAACAACAAAUAACUAAGGCCAUUGUAACUAAUAUAAUAUAAAAAGAAUUAUUCUAAGAAGUAAUAGGAAUUUUGCAAUUUCUUGCACUAUUUAUAUAUUUUCUAGCACUAUUCCACUAAUUCUAGCGCUAAUAAAACAAUGCAUGGCAAUAAUGUACAACCAUCAUCAAAUAUCUAAGAAAUAAUAUAAAAAGAAAUUAUUCUAAAAAUUUAUAGUAGGCAUCAACAAAUUUCUAAUAUUCUAACAUUUUUCCUAUUAGUUCUAGCUAUUUUAAACUUUUUUCUAUAAUUUCCAGCUAUUUUAACAUAUUCCAGAAAUAAAAAAGAAAAAAACUGAUGUAAUCCGACCGUGGGCUUACAUCAGCACAGACAAGGCCCGCGGCCAGCGUGGUGGGGGACAGAGGUUGGCGAUAAUUCUCAACAAGUUAGAGAUUGUCCUGCGUCAGCAAGAGAUAGGACAGGCUCGCUAUCGAAGCCGCCAAGUCGGAAACGCGGCUUAACAACCUGCGUCUCCGAUGUGCAAACUCAUAGGAGACACGGAUUUAAAAGCGUGUCUCCUAUAAUCUCACCAUCAUCGGAGACACGCUUUAUAAACACGCAUCUCCUAUGAUGCUCUACAAAGGAGAUGCGUGUAAAAAAACCGCGUCUCCGAUGACUGGCGAUCUAAUUAGAGACGCGGGUUUAUAAUACGCGUCUCCUAUAUAUGUAUGUAUAUAGGAGACGUGAGUUAACUAUGGGAGUUUUCGGCAGACUCACAGGAGACGCGGGUUAUUAACACGUGUCUCCUAUGAGUUAUUGUAGAUGUGUGUUGUUCCCGCGUCUCCUAUGAUGGUAUUUUCUUUGACAAUUUCUUAUAUAGUGUGGGGUGCCCCUACGAAUCGUUUUUUAUAGUGAAUAAAAAUUUAUCUCAAUUUCUCCAAAAAGUUAUACAAUAUUUUCCAAGCCAUUUAACAUAACAAAACUACACGCAAUAAUAUUAAAAUAAGAUAGUACAUCACAGGUUCAUGUGGGUUGAUCAGUCAAUUGCAUGCAUAUUCAACUGAAAAAUUAAAAUUUCGGGUGAUAAAAAGAAAUUACUGGACCUUAGUUGAUAAAUGGGAUUAUCAAGUUUAUUGAUAUUUUAUCGCUGAUAAAUUAUUCGUGGCAUGUGUACUAGAGCCUAUCGAGUGUUCCGACAAUAUAAAUAGCUACCUCGGGCUUGCUACACUCAUUUGAAAAGCAGCACAGCUGAGGCAACUUUCUUGGCGGAGCCUAAGUUCAGUUAGCAUUGCUCAAUCGCUCCAAGCCUGCAAGCACAAACACAAACUAAAUCCAAACAUGGCAAUGGAGGCAACAGCUGCAGCCACCUCGGUGCUUGGAGCUUCCUCGCUCACCUCUGCAAUCCUCAAAGCGUUACUGCUCCUGGUCACGAUGGUGUGCCUCGUUCGAACCAUAAGGCCGCAGCGGAAGACCAAGUUCACCGCGUCGCUCCCGCCAGGGCCGACGCCGUGGCCCAUCGUCGGAAACUUGCCGGAGAUGAUGCUGAACAAGCCGGCGUUCCGUUGGAUCCACCACGUCAUGAAGGACAUAGGCACCGACAUCGCCUGCAUCAAGCUUGGCGGCGUCCACGUCAUCCCGAUCACCUGCCCAGCGAUCGCGCGUGAGGUGCUGAGGAAGCAGGACACCACCUUCGCCUCCCGCCCGCUCACCUUCGCCUCCGAAACCUUCAGCGGCGGCUACCGGAACGCCGUGCUGUCCCCCUACGGCGACCAGUGGAGGAAGAUGCGCCGCGUGCUCGCCUCCGAGAUCGUCUGCCCCUCCCGCCACAAGUGGCUCUGCAGCAAGCGCGCCGACGAGGCCGACAACAUCACCCGCUACGUCUACAGCCUUGUCAAAACGAAGUCCGGAGGCGCCGUCGACGUCAGGCACGUCGCGCGCCAUUACUGUGGCAACGUCAUCCGCCGCCUCGUCUUCAACAGGCGCCACUUCGGCGAGCCGCAGCCCGACGGUGGCCCCGGCCCGCUUGAGGUCGUGUUGGAUGUUCAUUCACUCAGUUCUUAGUUUCUUAGACAUAGUGUGACACACGUGGCACAGAAGCAAACCCAACAUCAUUUCCUUGGCGGUUUUUUGCUGCCAAGGCAAUUCCGGAUUUUGGUAGUGUCUUACAUGGUUAUUGCAAGUCGUAUAGUCAAAGUUCCAUCAUUCCAUGCUACUACACAAACUGCAUCCGCACGUAGUACUUGUUUGCUACACUCAUAACACUAAUAAACCUGAACAUAAUUAAGCUGAUGGCAAGAUUAAUCGUAUAUAACAGGUGCAGCACGUGGACGCCGUGUUUAGAUCGCUGGGGCUCCUCUACGCCUUCUGCGUCUCCGACUACCUGCCCUGGCUGCUAGGCCUUGACCUCGACGGCCACGAGAAGAUGGUCAAGGAGGCCAACAAGAUAGUGAACGGGCUGCACGACAAGGUCAUCGACGAGCGGUGGAGGCAGUGGAAGAGCGGCGAGAGGAAAGAGCCCGAGGACUUCCUCGACGUGCUCAUUACACUCAAGGCCGCCGAUGGCAAAGCGUUGCUCACCAUCGAGGAGGUCAAAGCUCAGUCGCAGGUGCAGAUCUUCAAAAUUCAUACACGUUGCUUGCAUGGCACGUGCUCUGCCACACGACACAUGACACAGGAAUAAAAUAUUCACUGAUGACUGAUCAGUUGCAUUAGUGGAUGAUUUGCAGGACAUCACGUUCGCGGCCGUGGACAACCCGUCGAACGCGGUGGAGUGGGCGCUGGCGGAGACGGUGAACAACCCGGAGCUAUUGGAGAAGGCGGCGGCGGAGCUCGACGGCGUCGUCGGCCGUGGCCGGCUAGUGCAGGAGUCCGACAUCCCGUGGCUUUGCUACCUCAAGGCCUGCAUCCGCGAGGCGUUCCGCCUGCACCCCGUGGCGCCGUUCAACGUCCCCCACGUCGCGCUCGCCGACGCCACCGUCGCCGGCUACCACGUCCCCAAGGGCAGCCACGUCAUCCUCAGUCGCAUCGGCCUCGGCCGCAACCCCGCCGUCUGGGACGACCCGCUCCGCUUCGAUCCCGGCCGCCACAUCAUCCCCGGGGAUCCCACAGCGGAGGUCACGCUCUGCGAGAACGAGCUGCGCUUCAUCUCCUUCAGCACCGGCCGCCGCGGGUGCAUCGCGGCCUCACUCGGCACCGCCAUGAGCGUCAUGCUCUUCGGCAGGCUCCUCCAGUGUUUCACCUGGAGCAAGCAAGCUGCGGUCACGACCAUCGACCUGAGCGAGUCGAGGAACGACACCUUCAUGGCCAAGCCGCUCGUGCUGCAUGCCGAGCCACGGCUGCCGGCGCACCUCUACCUGGGCAUGUAUAAUUAAUUUAUCGCCUGUUGUGGUCUUGUGACAUAAGAAAGUUCACAAUUAAUCCAUCAUCACUUCAGCUAUAUACGUAAAAUAAGCCCAAUCGUCAAAUAAUCUAUGCUCUCGGCGUGAAAUGCUGAAAUAAGAAGGCACCUGAAAUAUAUAGGAAGGGUGUAAUGUUUUAUAUUUUUCAUGUUUCAAAAUAAUGUAAGAUAUUUUAGUUUUUUUCUAAGUCAAACUUUGACAAAGUUAUCGUAGAUGUUAAUAUUCUUUGACAAAGUUAUUGUAGAUGUUAAUAUUCUUUAUAAAUAUGGUCAAAGAUGAAAAGUGUCAUUUUUGAAAUAAACUAAAACAUCAAAGAGAGUACAUCUGGUAGAUCUACACCAAAUUGGAUUUGCCUUGACGGCUAGGACUUUCCUUGGUGGCCGAAAUUUGGCCGCCAAGGAAUGUUGUGUUUUCUUGGCAGGUCUAACAAACGGCCAAGGAAAUGUAGUUUCAUGGUGGUUUUUAUGAGCUGCCAAGUAAAUGAUGCAUUUCCUUGCCAAUUUGGAUUACCUUCCAAGGAAACACUUCAUUUCCUUGGUUGUUUUAGUGACACGCCAAGGAAACGGUGCAUUUCCUUGGCUAUUUUGGUUACCCGAAGUAGUGUAUUUUCUUGGCUGUUUCUGCGAACCAUCAAGGGAAAAGUACAUUUCCUUAGCUGUUUCUGCGAACCACAAGAGAAAAGUACAUUUCCUUAGCUGUUUCUGCGAACCGCCAAGAAAAUAGUGCAUUUCCUUGGCUAUUUCUGCGAACCGCCACGAAAAUAGUGCAUUUCCUUGGCUAUUUUGGUGAACCUGCCAAGAACGGUUGACACCCAAGAAAAUUGCAAAACUGCCAAGAAAAUAUUUGUUAUGUAGUUAAUAUGGCAUGUUUUGUUUCACUUAAAUUUAUAUGUCAUGUGCAUGUUUAAGUGUUUAUGUCCUGUUAAGUAACUAACACAUAUGACACUUAAACUUGUUAGGAUCACUUAAACACGUAUGCUUAAACAUAUGACAUACUUAUUUUCACUUAAACAUAAAAUGGCACAUAUAUGUUAAUGGUUUAUAUCUUGCAAGGUUCACUUGCACACAUGACGCUUAAACUUGUUUCAUUUAAACACGUGUGAAAUUUAACAUGUUAACUUAAACAUAUAGAACACAUAAAUUUGAUAGGUUCACUUAAACAUAUAUGGCACUUAGACUUGAUCUUGCAUAAAAAUAUAUGACACUUAAGAGUAUGUCGUGUUUGUUAAGUUUACUUAAGAAUAUAUGGCAUAGAGAUGUUUUUUAUAAUGUAAUCUUCUCAAUGGCUUAAUAGUUUCAAUUUUUUUCUGUACACGUGGAUUGGUGAAAAAUAGUUGUUGGUCAGGAAUAAAUAAAAGAAAAAAUGUAUGUAUUUGUAACAACUCUGCCUUAAUUAGGUGUAAUUAAACCUAAAUAAGUCAUUAGUCACUAAUCAAAAGCGGUGAAAUGUCCAUUUUGACCCUAAGAAGCUCUUUUUGGAGUUAAAUAUAAAACUUGAGAUUUUAUAUGCAAACUUAAAUUUUUUUCCCAAAUAAGAGUUGUAAAACUUUUAAUUUCAUACAACUCUUGUUAAAGACACUUUGGCUAAUUCGGAGUGGGAGACGGUCAAAAAUAAGAAUCAAAACAGGAGUAUAUUAAAACCCUACAAACAACCGAACUCCUGGAAUUCAAGUUUUUCUUCAACUUUGCAACCUACUAUGUCGCAAUUUCAUAUCUAACCUCAAGUCGGACCUUUAAUAAAAGUUGUAGUCCCUUAAGUGUUUUCCAACUUUGUUACACUGACCCAGGUCCAAAUCGAAACCAAACCUACUUAAAAUCUUGGUCAAAUUUGGGUAAAACAGUCAACUCAGCCCUCUGGGCAUUCCAGCUAAGUUUGGAGAUCAUCCAGAGUGCGCCUCUUGGCGAGGGUGUUCCUCCGAAUUUUUGAACUAAACUUAAGAAAAGCUCUUAAUAGAAGUUGAAGUCCUAAGACCGAAGAGAAACUCCUUCAAUAACACCUUGGUCUAAUUCAACUCAGAAGCUGCCCUAAAGUCGAGUCAAAGACAGCCAAACUCCUGAAAAUUCACCAACUCGGCUGAAACGCCUAUGUCUGAAAACUCUGGUUUUUGGCAAACUUUGGCUUGAGUUAUCUCCAAAUCCUUUCAAAAUCUGAGCAAACACUUUUAAUAAAGUUUUAACUACGACCAUAGUUCUACAAGUUUGUUUAAGGGGUAUUUGAACGUUUAGUUUGAAAAUCUCGAGUGGAGGGUCCCCAAAGCCGGUCGGGUUUGCUGCCCGACGUUGCCUCGACGCAAGCGCGCCCGGGCAUGUUCGCCCGCACGCUGCCCGCCGCGUGGCCGCCAUCCACCGGCGAGCUCGACGUCGCCCUACCCGCGCCCACGACAAGACGGGGCGAGCGCUGUGCUGGCCAAUCACCGCUGAGGCUGUCUUCCUUCCCCGCGCGCGAGCCGCUCCGCCCAACCGGCGCCCGUGCCUUCCUCCCCCUCACACGCCAUGCCACCGCCGGACAUCGGCCGUGCAGCCGCCCCCAAUUCGGUGAUUGACGCCACCAGACGCAUGCCCGCCUUCGCCAAUCCUCCCGCUUGGCCAAACCGCGCUUGCCCGACGCUAUCUCCCUUGCCCAAUGCCCUGAGGAUCCUGUCCCCGGAGCUCCGCUUCCCCGGCCAAUGGCGCCUCCAGCCAAUGGCCGUCUUGCCCGCGCACCCGAUUUCCCCCAGCCUUAUCCUCCCGCGCUUGGAGCCCCACCUCGACCCUCUACUCCACCUCUACCCUAUAAAAGGGCCGAGAUCGCCAUCAGCACCACCCUUUGCCACCUCCCGCACGCCGUGCCCCUGCUUUUCCUCUGUGCCACCGCUAAGUCUCCCGUGGAGCUUCCACCUCCACGCCACCCUGUGCUUUGACGACUUCUUCGCCCGCUUCGCCACCCCUCCGCGCACGUCCCCGAGCAGCCCGUUGCCUUCCCGACGCCGCCGGUGUGCCGGAAUGCCGCUCACACCGCCACCCGCCAAGCCCAGUCGCCGCCGUCGUGUUCCGACCCUCGACGACCAUCUCCGUCACCACAACUCUGCCAAGUCGAGCUCAGGUGAGCCCCUGAGCCUCUCCGGCAACUUGUUGCCCAAUCUCCGCCGGCGAAUCGCCGGGGAUUUCGCCGCCGCCACCGUGCGCACACCCGGGGACGAUAUUGCAUCUUCCCUGAUCUUUCCAGGGGCCUAGGCGCAAAACUCAAGGACCCCUACAUGAUUAAACCGUAGAUGUAGGGGGUAGAGUGCAAGUUUACCACGGUUUAAGUUUAAAAAUCGGCAGAAAAAGGGUUAAACUUUGUAAAUGCCCAGUAAAUCGUAGAAAAAUAAGAAAAAUACCAAAUCACUUUUGUGGGAAGCCUUGUUCUGUCUAGUUUCUGACAAAAAAUAAGUUUGCUGAUGUUACUGUUGUAAAUAGUAUCUUAUGGUUUUAUUCCUUGUUUAGGCCUUUUAAAUCAUAGUAAAUAGAAGAAAAAUGCUAAAUAGGUAAAUCCAACUCUGUGGUGAAUGUUGCAAUGAGUAGAAGCUCAGAAAAAUAUUUAGGGUCAUGGAGUAGAACUUAAAGUUCCUAUUUUAACCUUCUAUUUGAAAUCUAGGGUUAAAUCUUACUUUUUGCAUAAGUUUUAAUCCAGAGCUGAGAAAAAUAUGAAACUACUUGGAGUAGCUCAGUUUUGAGAUAUAGUUUACAGGAAAAAUAUGGGUUGUGGUCAGAAUCAGAAAGAAACCCACCUUCCUUGUUAAGCAUGAUUAAGUAGAAGAUAAAUAAAGCAAAUAGUUGUCCUUCUCCAAAAAUUAUGAAAAAUUCACCAAACCCUCUGUAAAACACCUUCAACCUACUGGUAAAAUUUCACCCCCAGAAUCACUGUAGGUUUUGAGAUAGAAAUAGUUAAGAACAUGCUACCUUUAAUGAUGAUAUACAUUUAAUUCUUUUUAUGGUAAUCCAAUGGUUUCCAAAAUUUUACAGUAACUUAUUAAUGACUUAAGUGAGGUGCUGUAAUUUUCUCAGUACCUUUGGCUACUGUUUGUUUGUGAAACCAUUUUUAGGCUAAAUAAUCGACUUAAAGGAAUAAAAAGAAGCAUCAAUCCUAAUAAGCUAAAUAAGUAAUUUUGGAAGAGGUAAAAAAAACAUUCAGAAGUAAAUAACUCUCCUAAUGCACUUGAACCACCCCAAACAUGACCUCCCACUCUCCUUGUGCAACUCUAAGUUGUAAGAAUCUAAAUGUAUACACAGUCACCAUCAAAGUCAACCUCAAGUUUAAACCGACCACCAUACUUUAUGAAGUUAAAGAAAGUCAAAACCUUGUCUAGGUGAAUGUCACCUAUAUGCAACUUUCUUUCUACCAUAAUCCAUGCCGUGCAUCGUUUGUGUUCACGCCUGGUUGAAACUAAACUCCUGCAUGUGCAUGUCGUGUAGAAGCUAAUCUUGCCGACGGAACCUACGAGCUCCACCCUACACCGGAGGAAGAACCCGUCGUGGAGCUUCAUCACUUGGAAGGUGACCCCGAGCUAGAUCAAGACCCCGAGGAACCACUAACCUUUCCUGAAGGCAAGCCCCAGUGCAUAAAUUCCCUGUUUUAAAUUUAUGCAAGAUAUUGAUGGUGAUGAUUGUGCAUUUACGUUUGUAGGAGUUGAUUGAAACCGUAGAUGCAUGAACUUAGUACCUUGAUCUAAAUACUAGUUGCUAAGGUUGAGUAGCUACAAUGCCUAAUAGGUCUCAGUAAAAGUCGAGUGAUUUCCUGUCACUCGCGAGUUAUAGGAGUUGUUUGUUUAUUUAUAUUGCAACUAUAAGGACGAUGGAUGGGGCUGGGCUUAUGUUCGGUGCUUGGUGGUUUGCCCCAUCUGUCUACAUGAAAAUGGACUAAGGGCGAAACGUGUCGGCGUUCGUGAUCAAGUGUUUGAAAGUACUAAUCUCAUACCUAGUAUGGGAUAGGAAAGCCUAGUACGUGAUUGAACUGGGACGUGGCAUACCCUCCGGCUGUCCUUGGAAAGUCAUUCCCAUGGUGCAUCAUGUGAGUGCAAGAGCGGUCAUAGUACGGCAGAGGCCGGUAUUAUGGAGCAUUGCAUGCCAAAGGCAGUUGGCCCUGACACGUGCCUAAGGGAACGAUGGGGACGGCUGACAAAUGAAGCGACCCUUCGUGGUGCACGAAUAUCGUGAGAUUAGGUUCUCCAUGCAUGGUUAAUAAAUUCGAAUCGAUUCAUCUGCCUCUCAUAGUUUGGGACUACUUGAUCACUAUUCUGCACUGAGUAAAGAUGGAACAUGAUGAUAUUAAUCUUGAUGCUUGUUCUUUAAAUUGUUUGGGAAACUAUGCUUGCUUAGUAUAAGUUGCUAAUCUAGACGGGUUAAUGAACUUAGAAUUUGAGCUAAAAUAUUGAAAGUAAGGACCAACUUUAGUCGCUUUUGGCAAAACAAACCCAAAGCCAAAAAGGCCUUGCAUGUCUAGAAGUUGGUGACCGUACUUAUCACUGGUCGGGUCAGUCUUGCUGAGUAUUAAUUGCUCAGCCUUGUUGUGGCUUAACUUUUCAGGUGAUGUCAAUAGUAUGGCUGCUGACACCACUUGGCCUACCCAGCUCCCUCCAGGCUGGACAGUCGAGUGGGAUCCCUCCUCGGACGGCGAGGGCAGGGAUCAUUGAUGUCAUGAUUGGCUUCAUCAUGAUAUUGUGUAUCGACGUUUAGCUUCCGCUUGUUUUACUUCGUCUGGUUGAACCUUGCAAACUUGUUUGGAUUUCGAAAACUCUGCUGUAAUAAGUUGUUGAACUAUGUUAAUAGAUGGGAAUGUUGUGAUCUCUGUGCUACUCACCUUCGUAUGAGCAAUGCUUCUCGAUCCUGUGUAAGUGGUUUAUCAGAUGAAAUCCGACGGACGACCAAGUUGACUUGCUUAAAGUGCAUGAUUGCGUGUCAGGUGACUUAAGUGUAUUUUAGCCAAGUUAAUUUGGGCAGUUCUGCCACAGUAUUUGCUCAUCUCUAAAUAUUCGGUCUGAAAAUAAAUGCCCACCUUGUACAUUCGGCCCACCUCAGCCCAAAUAAAAUACCUCACAUUGUCCUUGGCCAUUGAAUCAAAACAUGUGGUGGAAAUGCACCCGGUAUUGACAUGUUCGCCUGAGAUUAUUUGCAGCAGCUUCAGUUGCAGCUACAUGACCAAACAGUUGUAGGUUCAUCCUAGCCGUUUGGCUGUCUAUGUUACUUGCAAGCUUUACUUCCUCGUUUGUAUAAAAUCUCCUCAUUACGCUGUUUUUAAUUGCUGCAGUAAACCAAAGUUUGUGUGGCUGCAGCAGCUGCUGUUUGCUGGUUGUUGCUGCAGCACAGCCGCAGGCUUGCAAUGCUACAAACUAGUACAACCGAACAGCCUGAAAAAAACUCCCCACGAAACCCUAGCCUAGACAUCAGCACUCACCAGCCACCUUCUCCUCUCAAAUCCUCCACUCGCCUGCAGGCUUCCACCUUGCCCCUCCCUCUAUAGCACUUGCCUUCAGCCCAAGUGUCCUGCGGCCUCUUUCACCACCUGGGUUGGCAACUCGGCAUCAUCGGCACUGGAGCGCGCAGCCAUGGAGGUGGAUCUCAUGAGGCAGGGCGCAGUAGCCAUGGCGGCUGCAACCUAAAUCGGCGCUAGGGUUAGCUGCGGCGCUGCCGCUCCCUCUCUGCGUGGGGGCCGAGUGGGUGCCACGGAUCUAAAUCUGCGUGAGGGUUAGGCAGCGGCGGCACCCUUGAUCUACAUGAUGAGGGUAUUACCUGCUCGGAUACAACCACAUUAGCAACUUUUAAUUCAAAGGUGAAACAAUUAUUUGUCAUGAUUAUAUUUGAUAGAUUUGAUGAAUUGAUGCUGCACCAUGAUGUGUGUUCAUUGUCAUUUUUAGAAAUACAUACAUGGAUCAAAAAGAAUGUUAAACAAACACGAAAGGCAUGGAGGUCCAAAGAAGUUUAUUGGGGACCAAGUCUAAGAACUCCCAGCAUUCUUCACCAGGCCACCAUGUCACUUUUGGUACAAGGAAAGACCAAAUCCAACAUGUUUCGAAGUUGGAUUCGGACUGCAGAACAACACCAAUUUGUGACGGUCACCACGGUCGCAUAUGGACUCACAUUGGAGCGUUCAAGUACUUCAUGGAAUCCUUAUGAAGUCUAUUUUCAUAUGGUUCUGGACUCAUAUCCAUAUUUGUUCUAAGGCGGCCACAAUGAUCAAGUUACUACUGAGAGGUUUUUCUAUCCAAGGUGCUGCGUCGUCUUAUUUUGGCCCAAUGGGUCGUGUAUCAAGUUAUGUCCAUUAGGGACACAUCCUAGGGUUGGAGCAUGACCCCAACACCCUUGUGAUCGUCAUCCCAUGUUCUUAUACCUUUUGCCGCCACCAGGAACACACGGGUUUUGUUUAGAUGUAAGUUUAGCCAUUGCUACUUUCUUAUAGACGCGUGUGUCGACUAGACCAUCCGUUCUACUCGAUUCAGAACCCCAAAUUUGGAAUUUCAUAUUGGUUUUUAUCCCUAAUUGAGUUGCUUGUUCUACUUGUUCCUGCUUGUUCUUCGAUUGCUUGCACGAAUUACCCUAGUGGUUUGGUUGAUUGUGCUCCACAAGAUUGCGGCAACAAUUGGAGAUGGUGUAUCAGUUGUUAAGACGCAACAUCCUUGGAUGGUUGUAGUUGGGCCAUGAACGUCGUCUCCAUCCCCAAAUCAAGUUAUCCACCUUCUCUCAUCGAAAGAUUGGGAAUCAACACUCUUUUUGAUCCAUGUUUGUAUUGCUGAAAAUGACAAUGAACACACAUCAUGGUGCAGCAUCAAUUCAUCAAAUGUAUCAAAUACAAUCAUGACAAAGAAUUUUUUCACCUUUGAAUCAAAAGUUGCUAAUGUGGUUGUAUCCGAGCAGGUGAUGUCCUCAUCAUUCUCCCCUUCUUGGCUGCAAGUCAUCCUCGACUUGCUCCAAUAGCAUUCAAAGGUGUUUCCUUUGAUGUUGCAACACGGAGCGACGGCUAUGCUACACGACCACAACCAGCAAUGCUCCCCUUCUUCGGGCUGACCCUGUUGCAUAAGGGGAAAACUAGAAAAACUUUGCAAGACAUUAUUAGUGUUAGUGCAGCCCCCUAUUUGAUCAUGAUAUUGUAGUUUAAAAGGAUAUUUUAGAUUAGAGAAAAUAUAAACUUUAUGCACCAAAUAUUCUCCUUUGAUAUCAUAUUUGCCAGUUGCAUGAAGCGAACAUUGAUUAAAACUUGGCAAACCAGAAUCAAAUUUAAGUUUUUCUUUUAGACAACUUAGAUUACAAAGAAUUUCAAAUUCAAUAUAACCUAAUGUGUUAAAACAGGACAGGAGUUUUAGCUCUUCCUUCUUACUAGCAAGGCAAUGAACAUGUGGAGAAACGACAUGUACAUCAUUCAAAACAGAUUUAACAUGUUCAUGCUUGAGUUGUGUUUGUGGUAUACAAGAAAUAUUUUCAAACAACUCCUUAUCAUUAUGACAAAAGUGUUCUGUUCGUGGCAAGGCAUACUCAGUAGGAAGUUGCACUAAAACCUGUGCGAGGCUAGCAUCAGUAGUAGGCAAUUGCAGAGUAUUAUCAUACUCACAAGGAGUGUUUUCAGCAUCGAAUGUGGUUCUUUGCUCACUCUCCUCUAACGUGGUAGUUGUCCCACAAUCAUUCUUUUCGCAGUUUAGCAACGGGUGUAGUUGCUCAAUUUGCUCAAUGCACUCAAUGGAAUUGCUCCCAUCCUCCUGCAAAAUUUUAUGGACAACAAGAGAAACAAGAGACUGCUCUAUCUCUAGUUGUGGUGAUGAAAUCAGAGAAGACAUAUCACACAACUCUUCGUUAUCAUAAGGUAUAGCAAGCAAAUCACGUUGCAACAUAGGCAAAUCAGCAGCAAAUUCUACUAUUUUGUGCUCUUGAUUAGGAUGUGUAGUGGAGGAAAAAGGAUUACCAUGGGUCACAUUGUUCUGGCAAGUAUUCCUAGAUAAUAAAAUCUGAUUUUCAGCAAGCAAAAAUAAGAUAGAGAGGUGGUUAUAAGUUUUAGAAAUCAGCAUAGUUUGAAUUUCAGAAUUGAGCCCUCUCAUGAACCUACUCAUUAUAUCUUUCUUGCACUCGUCUAAACCUCCAAGCAUGGCACCAAUCUUAAAGACAAGAUGGUAUUCUUUCACAGUCCUACUACCUUGCUUCAAGUUGUCUAAUUUUGCAAGCAAAUAAUCAACAUAAUAUGCAGGAAUGAAUGCAUCUCUAAAACAAAAUUUGAAGUCUUCCCAAGAUUCUGGAACUUUUUGGAACUUUGUUGUGCCUAAAAAUGUGCUUCCAUUCUAGCAAAGCAUAUUCAAUCAAAACAUUAGAGGCAAUAUAAAUCUUUUGUUUCUCGGACAGGUCAUACUCAUCAUAUUCAUUAUCUACUUUUAGCUCCCAAUCAAUGUAAGAUUUAGGAUCAUAUAACGGCAAGUGUUGAAUGACAUCCUGAAUAUAAGGAUCUAGUUUCAACAGCUCAAAAAUCUCCAUAUCACCUGCCAUAAUUAGUAGAAAACAAGAAACAUAAAAAUAAUAUGUAUCCUCCUAUCAACUACUAGGAUGUGUUGGUUGUAAUUUUCUCAAACUCAACUUGUUUAAAACAAGCCCUUACAAGUUCUUACCAAGCCAAAUAGGAGGUGACGACAACCAAUAAGUCUGCAACCGUGGAGCGAAGUGUAUCGGUGCUGCAGAAAAAAAAACCUGUCAAGCUAUAGUCGAAUAUGUCGAGUUGCAGGUGGGCUGAAGCAAGAGAAAAUAGUAGCACCAUGUUAGUCACAAAAGCAAGCUGAGUAAUUGUUCAACAACGGUACUGUGCUGGUCCUAGCCUAGAUUGUGCUAGAGGCACGAGCCUGGACACAAAGGAAGUCACAAAACACCACCGAAAAUAAGAGAGGAACAAAUGGAACAGCCCCUACUUCUUUGUUUAUGUUUUUUUCUUUUUCUUUCCUAUUUUUUUUUCUUUUCUUCCUUUUUUUCACAAAUGAAGUAGCAAAACUAACUUGGAAAUCAAAACAAACUAAGCCAAAUUGGACUCUUGAUAGAUAUGAAUUCAAUAACUAGCAGUGGCAACGGUGGAAGGGACCAAAAUGUGACAAGAACUCGAAACUCUAAAAGACUAGAUACUAAGACCAGCAACUCAACACAACCCAUGCAACCGAAGACUCAACAAGCCCUAACUAAGUAGCACUAGUAAAAGGCUCAAAGGGUCUUUAGGAUUAAGGAAAACUAAUCUACUAAUUUUUUUUGGCUUUUUUUGGAUUGUAGGAGAUUAAAAACAACAAAUAACUGGAAGUCUCUCACUGAUCAACCUUGCUCUGAUUACUAACUAAUGUGAACCUAUUGGGUUGAUUCCCGAUCUUUUGAUGAGAGAAGGUGCAUAGCUUGAUUUGGCGAUGGAGACGAUAUUCACGACCCGACUACAACCAUCCAAGGAUGCUGCGCCUUAGCAACCGAUACACCACCUCCAAUGGUCAUCGCAAUCUUGUGGAGCAUGUUCAACUGCACCACUAGGGUAAUUCCUACAAGCAAUUGAAGAACAAGUAGAACAAGCUACUCAGUUGGGGAUAAAAACCAAUCUAAAAUCACAAAUUUGGGGUUCUGAAUCGAGUAGAAUGGAUGGUCUAGUCGACACACGCGUCUACAAGGAAGUAGCAAUGGUAAGCUUAAAUCUAAACAAAACCCGUAUGUUCCUGGUGGCGGCUAAGGGGUAUAAGAAUGUGGGAGGAUGACCACAUGGGUGUUGGGGUCGUGCUCCAAUCAUAGGAUGUGUCUCUAAUGGACCUAUCUUGAUACACGGUCCAUUGGGCCAAAAUAAGGCGACGUAGCACCUUGGAUAGAAAAACCUCUUAGUAGUAAUUUAAUCAUUAUGGUCGCCUCAUAACAGAUAUGGUUAUGAGUCUACAUCCAUAUGAAAAUAGACUUCAUAAGGAUUCCAUGAAGUACUUGAACACCCCAAUUCAAGUCCAUAUGCGACUGUGGUGACCGUCACAAGUUGGUGCUAUUCUGCAAUCUGAAUCCAACUCCGAAACAUCUUGAAUUUGGUCUUUUUCUUUUCAUGGGCCAAAAGUGACGUGGUGGCCUAGUGGCGAACUCUGGGAAUUCUUGGACUUGGUCCCCAAUCAACUUCUUUGGACCUCUGUAACUUCCAUGUGUGUUUAACACUCUUUUUUAUCCAUGUAUGUAUUUCUGAAAAUCACAAUGAACACACAACAUGGUGCAGUAUUAAUUCAUCAAAUGUAUCAAAUAAAAUCAUGACAAAGAAUUGUUUCACCUUUGAAUUAAAAGUUGCUAAUGUGGUUGUAUCCGAGCAAGUGAUGUCCUCAUCAAUCCGAGUCCAUAUGCGAUUGUGGUGACCGUCACAAGUUGGUACUGUUCUGCAGUCAAACACAAGCUAUACAUAUAUGAACAAUAAGUAAAGAGCUUGUAUAUGUAAGGAGCAAACCACCAAGAAGAGGAUGACAAGGUUGACACGGUAAUUUUUCUCCUGAGGUUCACUUGGUUGCCACCAAGCUAGUCCCCGUUGUGUUGGCUCACUCACUUGGAGGUUCAUGUGCUAAUAGGCAUCACCCGCCUAGCCCCCAAUGGGCGCCGCACAACCAACACAAGAUGAGGGAACUCAACGACACGCUUUACUAGUGUUUCUCUUCGUGAUCCCCACGGGGUGAGCACAAUGCCCCUCACAAAGCCUUCUCCGAAGCCACGCACAAUCUUCUUGCGUGCUUCGACGGAGUCACAAGCCACCAAGCCGUCUAGGAGGUGGCAACCUCCAAGAGCUACAGGCACCACCGGCUUGCAACACAAACACCUAGUGCCAAUCGAUUCGCACUAGAAUCGCACUCACUCGCAAUCGAUUCGCACUCUUGCAAGAACAAGUGAGUUAGAGGGCUCCCAAGUCAAGCACAACCAAGGGUAAUACAUCCCCAAGGUGCUCAACAAACCCCAAGGGCCGACCACCCCUCUAUAUAUAGAGGGAGGGGACAAACUAGCCGUUUUCCCCUUUUUCUCGAGCUGUAACGGCUCUCCCGAACAGUCCGCCAUUCUAGGAAACUAGCCGUUAGGUUCAAACAUGAGCAAACUAGGGACUGGUGGACCAUCCGCCCCUUAGGCCAGAUUGUCCGUGAUACACAAUUCGGCUUGCUUUUUGAACUGCAGACCGUCCGCCGUUAUAUGGAGGACCGUCCUCCUCACAAAAACAUCCUCUAACUCUGAAAACAUGUCUCUGUCUAAGUUAGGCUGACCGUCCCCCAUACCAAGGCCAGACCGUCCGCCUCUAAGUAGUUAGCGCUCAUUUAGACCAUGUUUUUCUUCUCAUCUUUUUCACUUUCUCAAACUAUGUUAGUCCAUAUGCAUGCAAUGCAAUUGUUUGAGCAAAGUGGCACUAUAGAGCCAUCAAGUAGAUGAAAUUGACCCCUCUUGAUAGUACGCCUAUCUGGCUUAUUAAUCCGGUCAAAUUACAUCCGCUGAGCACCUCUUGACCAUUUCUUCAACCCCUUUGCAAAUGUGCCAACUCCACAAGUGUUCCACCUUAUGUGUGAGUGAGUUAGCAUUUUCACAAACAUUUUUCAAGGGCUUUUUACUUGUCCUCACCAUGCCACUCGAUCCUAGCAACAUCGCCAUGCUAGAUCGCUCAAGUGGCACUAGAUGAUCGAUAUGCAAACAAGUUUGCCCCUCUUGAUAGUACGGCCAUCUAUCCUAAACCCGGUCAUAAACUUCUCUACACACCUAUGACUGGUGAAAUGAAAUGCCUAUUGGUUAUACCUUUGUCUUGCGCAUUCCAUUCCAUCUCUUCCAAUGUUGAUGCAACACAUGCACCAACACCAUCACAAAUGAUAUGAUCAACUUCAUAUCAUCAUGCGACGUAUUGGUUCAUCGAUCUUGACCUCACUUGCUUUUCACCGUUGCAUCGGUCCAUCGGCGCCAAGUCUUUGUUCAAGCAUCUCGCCAUGCGGUCCAACACUUCAAAGCCUCUGACUUGUCCUUCGCACUUGCAACCGGUCCAUCAAGCCAAGUCUUGUCUUGAUCUUCUCCACCUAGUCACAUGACUCCAUGUCAUGUCUCAUAUGCAAUGAGCUCCUUCAUCACAUAAUUACCUGUGGACUAAUCACCUCUGUAUUCUACUUAAACACAUAUUAGUUCACCUAGGUUAUCACUCAAUUCCCAAAACCAAACAAGGACCUUUCACAUAUAAAAAAGAGAAACAAGAGCUUCUUAAAAAUGCAAAUGAGCUAGAUAAAAAGGCAGAAUCACAACUGCUAAGUCAGAAAGAGACUGAUUUAAAGCAAUGCAUCAAGGAUAGACAGUAAAGCUUAUGAGAGAAGAAGAAAUAAAAUGGUUUCAAAGAGAAAAAAUCACUAGGAUGUUGAAGGAGGACAACAAUACCAAAUAUUUCCAUAUGAUAGCAAAUGGCAAACACAGAAAAACUAGAAUCUUCAGGCUGGAGCAAGAAGAGGGGAUUAUUGAAGGGGAGGAGAAUCUGAAAAGAUACAUAAAAAGUUUUAUAAAUGCCUUUUUGGUGCUCAAAAGAGAAAUAUCUGCUCUAUGGAUGAAUCCAUGACAAAGGAUAUACCUCAAGUGUCCAGAGAGGAAAAUGAGGUAGUAAUUGAUGGUUUUACUGAAAAGGAAGUGACAGAUGCCAUUUUUCAGAUGAACGACAAUAGAGCACCGGGACCUGAUGGAUUUCCAGCAGAAUUCUACCAAGUUUUUUGGAGUCUUACUAAGGAUGACCUAAUGGCCAUGUUUAAAUAUUUCCAUAACUGCAUGCUCCCUCUACAUAACUUAAACUUUGGGAUCCUAACCUUAAUCCCAAAACUUAAGGAGGUCAAAAUGAUUCAGCAGUAUAGGCCAAUUUGUAUCCUAAAUGUUAGCUUCAAAAUAUUCAUUAAAAGUGAUAGGUAAUAGACUGAGCAUGGUGGCCAAUAAAAUCAUUAGACCUUCACAAGCAGCUUUUCUACCUAGAAGGUACAUUAUGGAGGGGGGUGGUAAUUUUACAUGAAAUUCUCCAUGAGCUGCAUAGGAAAAAACAUAGUGGAAUUAUUCUCAAACUAGAUUUUGAGAAAGCAUAUGACAAAAUCAAUUGGAAUUUUUUGCAACAGGCUCUAAGAAUGAAGGGGUUCUCUUCAAAAUGGUGUAAGUGGAUUGAAACCAUAGUGAGUGGGGGAAGUGUGGGGGUUAAAGUCAAUGAUGACAUGGGGCACUUCUUUCAAACAAAAAAAGGAUUGAGACAGGGGAUCCUUUAUCUCCAGUCCUGUUUAAUGUGGUAGCAGAUAUGUUAGCUAUCCUUAUUUCAAGGGCUAGAGACAGUGGUCAAAUUAGGGGCCUAGUGCCACAUCUGGUAGAUGGAGGAUUAUCAAUUCUCCAAUAUGCAGAUGAUACAAUACUUUUUUUGGAAAAUGAUCUAGAACAGGCUAAAAACUUGAAGCUUGUACUAUGUACAUUUGAAAAGCUCUCAGGCCUUAAAAUCAACUUCCAUAAAAGUGAGCUGUUUUGUUUUGGGAAGGCAAAGGAGAAAGUAGGAGAAUAUGUGCAGAUUUUUGGCUGCCAUGAAGGAUCUCUACCAUUUAAAUAUCUUGGCAUCCCCAUGAACCCUAAAAAACUCAAUAAUAAAGAUUGGAAGGGGAUUGAAGAAAGGUUUCAGGGAGUUGGAAAAGCAAAAUGUUGUCUAUUGGAGGGAGGUUAGUGCUUAUAAACUCUAUCUUAUCUAGUCUGCCAAUGUAUAUGAUGUUCGUUUUUAGAAUUACUAAUGGAGUUCUUAGAAGAGUGGACUAUUAUAGAUCUAGAUUCUUUUGGCAGUGUGAUGAACAUAAGAAAAAGUACAAAUUAGCUAAAUGGAGCAUCCUCUGUGUCCCAAAGAAUAUGGGUGGACUGGGUAUAUCUAGUUUAGAAGUCCAAAAUAAAUGUUUGUUAGGCAAAUGGCUAUUUAAACUUCUAAAUGAGGAGGGAUUGUGGCAGAGUUUGUUGAGGAAAUAUCUGUCAAAACAUACACUAACCCAAGUGUCAAAAAAGCCAGGAGACUCACAGUUUUGGUCUAGCCUUAUGGAUAUAAAGGAGCAAUUUGUGGCCAUGGGUAGGUUUGAAGUAAAUAAUGGGAAACAAAUAAGAUUAUGGGAAGAUGAAUGGGUUGGAAAGGAACCGAAUCCAACUCUGAUACGUGUUGGAUUUGGUCUCUUUCUUUCCUUGAGCCAAAAGUGACAUCGUGGCCUAGUGGGGAACGCUGGGAAUUCUUGGACUUGGUCCCCAAUCAACUUCUUUGGACCUCCAUGCCUUCCAUGUGUGUUUAACACUCUUUUUGAUCCAUGUGAAAAUGACAAUGAAUACACAUCAUGGUGCAGCAUCAAUUCAUCAAAUGUAUCAAAUACAAUCAUGACAAAAAAUUGUUUCACCUUUGAAUCAAAAGUUACUAAUGUGGUUGUAUCCGAGUAGGUGAUAUCGUCAUCACUGCAGGCUUGUGAGGUUGCUCAUGCCGGCCUGUGCGUACGGUGGGGUGGGGGUAGGAGGAGGUGACGCUACCGUGGGGGAGCCGUCGGAUCCAACGAGUCUACCACCAAGGAGGCAGUGUUGCUCUGCAUGUCCGCUGCUGGCAACCUCUGUUGAAGGAGAGGUAGAGCGCAGGAAUGGUUGCCAUUAAGGUAAUGUCUCUUAAUUAUUUGAUUCAGACGUAGUGCUUAAAGUUUAUGUUUCUUUUCUGACUUAAGAUGAACAAAGCCUACCUGUUAUGACAAAUCUUGACACUGGGAACAUCAGUUCCCUGUCUCUCUAAACUGAAAAAUCAUUCUGCCUAUUCUUGUUGAUGUGCGUACAGGUGCCUUUGCUUUCUCAGGAUAUCAUGUCAUAUGCCUUCUGUUGUUUAACUGAACUGUGUUACUCUUUUCAUGGAAUUUGUAGCAGGUCAGAUAGGAAUUGGUGCUGUCCCAAAUUUUCAUUUGAAGCCGCUGAAGAUGGGACGAGCAUAUGAAUCCACAUUCUGGUUUCCCAAUUAUUGUAUCUCAAGGAAACAUAACUGUCAGGUAAUCACUUAUUCCUUUUCAGUUUUCACCUACAUCCUUCCAGCUAAUAGUUUCUUUUUCACCUAUCUUACAAUUUGUUUUUAUGGGUUAGCGAGACAUGCAGGUGUGAGAGUUGUAGCAUGGGAUCUUAUAUGCAAUGGUGAAAGAUCCGUUUACCUUUUUAUUAGCUAGCUCAAGUCCUGCUAGAUUGAUCCAAUAGUUUUUCAAGUGAGUUGAUAUUCUGAGCUGAUUGUAACAACUUAUCCAUGUUUGCUAUUGGAAUAUCAAUGGAUAUUUUCUUCUCAGUAAAGCUACUACAUAUCAGAUGCAAUGCAUUUAUUUUCUCAGUCAUAUUUGCAUGUAACAUUUUUGGAAGAACAAUGACAACUUGCUGGUUACUACCUUAAUCAAUGGAGCUCGUGAUGAAUUGAAUGCUUGAUGGAUGUAAACCAUUUUCUGUAUCUAUUAUUUGAUAAUAUAUCAAUAUUUUAUUUGUUGAUUGUAUUCAUUUCAUUGGCGGUUGGCAGCCAAGAAACAACUUAGCUUGGCGGUUGAGGUCCGCCAAGGAAACAACUAUUUACCGGCGUUUGAGGGCUGCCAAGUAAAUAGCAUUCCUUGGCUGCCGAUGACCACCAAGGAAUGUUGUAUCCUUGGCUGCCAAUGACUACCAAGGGAAGCUAUAUACUUGGAGGUUGGAAUAUUUUCUUGGCACAUUGAAGAUUUUACUGUUGUUCUUGUUUUCUUGGCUCCCAAACCGCCAAUGAAAUGAUCCUUGGUAGGCAGCUGCCAAGCUAAUUGAAUUUCCUUGGCUCUCUACUCUCGGCGGAUUUUACUUGGCAUUUCCUUGGCGGUUUUGGUACUCCUUGGCGAUUUUUGGCUGCCAAGGCAAUUCCGGUUUGGGAUAGUGAGAGGUAAAAACGUGCCUUUUGUGGGAUGAUUUGGAUUAAAUAAGGUCCCAUCAAUAAACAAGCAGCAUAAUAGGAAACCUCAAAAUAUAUGAAAUAUGUGUCGUUGUUGACUUUUGAUCACGAUAUUUGACCAUUCAUAUUAUUCAAAAAUUAUGUAAGUGUUAUUUAUUUUAUUUGUGACUUACUUUAUCAUGAAAUGUAUUUUAAGAUUAAUUUAUUUUUCAUCUAUUUAUAAUAUUUUUUUGAAUAAGAUGAACGGUAAAACGUUGUGAGAAAAAGUCAAUAGUGAUAAAUAUUUUGAUACGGAGGGAAUAGUUGAUAACUAACUUAGUGCAAGAUUGAAUAAGGAUGAUGCUACAUUCUAGUAACAAUAAACAUGGAUGGCUACAAAAUAGAUCUCAGAAGCAACAAUUAUUGCUACAAAUCUCCUGUAUUUUAGGUGUGUUUCAGACAAUGUUGCAGAUGUUCUCUCUCUGGUCUCAAACAUGCUAUUUUUUUUUGAGGGAACAGCAGGGGCAAGCCCCUGCUGAAGAAUAUUAAAAGUCAAAAUAGAUGCAAAUUACAAACUUAGAGAUGAGAUGAACAGAACAAAACAAAAAGCAAAGCAAAAGAAAUAAGUUUACAGAAAUGCAGGAUAAAAAAAAAGAGCUAUAACGAGUCAAUCCAGUUCAACAUGGCAGGGGCCAUUGAGGGCUUGGCUCUAUGAAGGCUGAUUGUUCGCAGCUCAACCACGAAUCUUCUUUUACCUUCCUGCACAGUUGGGGCUUUGCAAUUGAACGUCCAGUCAUUCCGGACUGUCCAGAUGCUCCAUGACAAUGAUUUCCAUGAAGAAGCUGACAUUCAGCUUGCGCCUGAUGAGGUUCAGAAUAUGUAGGGGUUCUCUGGUGGUAGCAAAAAUGACACCGAUUGAAGACCAGCAAGCUUUACAAAGUUACACUUGAGAAAUAGAUGUGCCACCGUUUCUCUUUUUUGCAAGAUACAGAGUUCACAGGUGUAGGAAUCCAUAAUCAUCGAUUUUCUGCGAAGGAUAUCUUUUGUGCUUAGCCUAUCCUUGAUUAAAAGCCAGAAGAAGACUUUGUGUUUCUUCUGGCACUUUAAUUUCCAUAACCAGGAAUAAAUUGGAUGAGUACUUAUCUGGCCAGUCAAGGAUUUGUAUGCUCUUGUUACCGAGAAUAAUUUACUCCCCCAUAUGUAAGACCACUUAUCUCCGUCUUGUAUAACAGGAACCUCCGAUAGUCUGUUCUGUAAGUCAGUGUAUUGUUGAUGGGCCUCUUCAGAAAGGGGUAAAUGAAAGUUUGCGGACAUCGAGGGAUUGGAAAUUGCUUGUUUAUAGGAUAUUACUCUCGAACUGGCAAACUUUGUUAUGUUGAUGGUCUCGAACAUGCUAUUAUUCGGUGUUAUAGAUUUACUCUUCGAUGCUGUAGAGAUGAAUAGAACAUGAAACAUAAUUUUGUUGCUCCCACGUUAAUGGUUCAUACAUUAUUCGUCGGUGUUUCAAAUGGUAAUUUUCAAUGCUAUAUAUCUCCGCUCAAAGUUGUUGAAUUUCGAAUGCCCAAAACAUAACAAACCUAUAGGUUUCCAUGAGUGCGAAGUAUGAGUAAGCUGGUGUAACACCUCUGUUUGGCUUUCAUAUGUGUUCACUAAACAUUUCAUCUAAUUUAUUUCUAAGAAAUGUCAAGACAGUGUGUUAGAAUAAUGUACUAUAAGUAUAAUUUAAUAUUUUUGAAUGGUAUGAUUGGACAAAAGGUGAAACUAGGUAUGGCAGUCAGUCAAAUGUAAAACUAUAUGUAGCCAAAGAAAUGCUACUGAGACUUCAAGACAAUCAUACCAUUGCAUACUUGUUACUUAUUGGUUGAAUACAGCAUUAUAAAAUAUGAUAAUGAUUUGAAGUUAGUUUUGAAUAUAAUUCAAAUCGUAACAUGAGUCUUGCAGGAAUGCACAAAGGGUCUGCAAUUCAGGUUAUUUGAUUAGUAAAAUUGUUUACAUGUUUGACUGCAUGCAAUCAUUUCUUGUCUACCCGGUAUGUAAAUUGCAGAGAAAAAGUAAACGACUUGCGUCCUCCUACUUUUUAGCUCUCAUAAUAAGAUCCCAGAUUGGUGAUUGUGUUUUUUUAUAAGAAUUUUACAUUAAAAUUGUUCUCGUGUUCAAUCUUGUUUAUUCUUUUCUUCGAUAUACUCACAUACACUUGCCCUUACAAACACACGCACGUAAUCCUACCCCUAUGAGCACUUCGCAAAGACUAAGCCGGCAAAUCCUUGAAAUUGACGAAAUCAUCGCUGGCGACGGGCACGUUGCCUACCUGUCGUACAUACAUGUAUGGACCCACCAGAAGGUUUGGACAGUCCUAUAUACAGGGCUGGACACCGAGAUGUGACAGACAUGGAGACUACGGUGCAGGACAGCGUGGUCUACGUGGCAAGAUAGGAACUAGUUGAGGAUUAGGAAACUACUCGUAGCAAUUAGAGUAGGACUCACUAGUCGAAUCCGACUAGUAUUCUUGUAAAUAACCAACCUGUAACACUGCCCCCGGCAAUAUAAGGUGAGGCAGGGACCCCCUCCAAAGCAAUUCAAUACAACCAACACACAGGACGUAGGGUAUUACGUAAUCUAGCGGCCCGAACCUAUCUAAUCGUGUGUUUGAGUUCACCUUCGAGUUCCUGAUCUCGGUGAGCCCCAUGCACUAAAUACUACCUCAAGCACCCCCCUCGGUAGGUUGCCGGGUCUAAACACCGACACUAGUGCACCAGGUAGGGGCGCUCGCCGAGAAUCCACUGGUGAACUCGAUGGACCAAGUCAUCAUCAAUCCCACCGUCGCAUUCGAAGCGGGCGCGACAUUCGUCUUCAGCUCCUGGGUUUCCAUCACAGAUGACUAGAAACUUCCACCGCCACAUUGCACCAGCCCUGAAGAAGAAGUAGCACACCAUCAACCUCCAGUGCUAAGCACUGGAGGAUCUCAUCAAGAAAUUCGGCGAAUUUUCAAUUUCUGACCUAGUCUGAGGCUGACGGGACGAGUCCAAUACAACUCGACUUCUCCCACUAGUCAGACUAGUUUUCACGAGCCGGCGCUUAAGCCAUCGUGCGAAUCGAUCUACGACCCAAGUCAAUUCCCGUUCGGACUCCAAAACACGGGUGUUGUCUACCAAGCUACCCUGUCCGGAUCACAAUCCAACUCGGAUAUGAUCGAGGACCCCGACUACUACUCGGACCCGAAUGAGGAGACCCCUUUAUCAGGUCAACAACAAGGCCUGGUGAUUACAGCAACCCCACCAGGUAGAUUCGUCUACUGGCCCAACAUGAAACCACCUACUCUCGCCAAGCACGACGAUUCUCGCCUCAUCUCCUACCUCGAUAUCCUCCCAUACUAGGAAAGAACUCCUUUGUCGCCCAUCUACAAAGAAGAUGGCUCCACGGAGGUCAUCACGUCAAGUUCGGGAAGCUAUUCUCUGGAGCGAGAACUCUUCGCUCUCAUUGUUGCACAAGAAGGCUAGGAUAAAGAGCAACCAGAAAGAAAUCUGUGGCAUGACCUCACCCAGAUGGCAUCUAGCAGGAUGAGCUUACUGCCAACGUUGUUGGAGAAGAAACUGAAGCUCAAAGAAUUUGACGAUGAGCAAGAAAUGCUGCUAGAGCAGAGCGUCGCUACCAACUUGUGAAUCAUGAACUUGGAUCACACAUUUGAAGCAGCAGUAGCCAUAGACACACUCCAUCCAGACCAAGUAAAAUAGGAGGCGCCAGACCAAGCCAAGCUGGAGCAGUGGGUAGUCAAGUGAAACCCUCGGGAGGCUAUGGCGACCGUGGGCCCAACCCAGAGCCUGAACAUCUAGUACGUGACCUUCAUCACAAGAUCAACGCCAGCCGCGACGCCCGUACAAUCAUUGACGGACGCCAUCACGAGCGCGAGCAAGAAGUCGAGUACCUAGAACAGGAUUCUGAUGAGUUCCCCACCUUCUCAAGAUAAGUAAGGAAGAUAGUUCUACCUGAAAAAUUCAAACAUCCGGGUAUCACCAAGUAUGAUGGCAAGCAGGACCUAGUCUAAUGGAUGCGGUGCUACUCACUAUCAGUACAAGCAAUAGGAGAGAACGACGACACCAAGGUCAUCUACUUCCCCAUCUGCAUGGAGGCGGCGCCACUCACUUGGCUCGAGUCAUUAGACAAGAAUUCCAUUGACACAUGGAAGGACCUCAAGGUAGCGUUCACCAACAACUUCGCAGGGGCAAUUCAACGUCCUGGCAACAUGAUCGACUUGUCUCAAGUCAAAAGGCAACAAGGCGAGACUCUGCGCAGUUAUCUACGUCGAUUCUUUGACAAGAAGGCCACAAUCAUGGAUAUCACGGAGCAUGACGCCAUAGCUUGCUUCCAGAAUGGUCUCUAUGACCACCAGAUGUUCUAAGACGCCCCGAAGAUAUCAAAUCUCCUAAGAUCAUGAUAAAAGCAUGGGCGGAUGAAGAAAACAAGGAGAUCGAGAGGUUUGAGUCUAGUCGCAACAUGGGCCAAAACAACAACAAUCACAGUAAUGGCCAGUGCAACGACAAGAAACGCAACGAUCACCCCAACAAUGACAACUGAAAUAACAACACGGGAGGUUAGAAUCGUAAGAGGAAGCCAGACAAUACUGUCACGGCAAUAUCACAGUCAUCCAAGAAAGGUGGCAAAAAUCAAGAAAGGACUCCGUUUAGCGAGUUCCUAAAGAAGCAGUGCCCAUGGCACCUGUAUCAUAAGCACUUUGCAAUGGAUUGCUAUAGUCUCCGCAGAGUCAUGAAAGAUCUGCCAGAACCUUCUGGAACUAAGGACAAUGGCAAGGUCAAAGAAGACGAAGACGAUGGAGAUAACAGCAAAUUCGAGAACCCUUCCAACACCAUCAACAUCAUCAUCGAUCGGCAGCACACAGGAUACUGCCACUAAGCGGUCCCAAAAUCUAGCCCUCCGAGAGAUCAUGUCCAUUGAACCAGCAACACCUACGUUCCUCAAGUGGUAUGAGGUGCCAAUCACCUUCUCCGGGAAGGACAAGUGGACUAGUUUCUCAGAGCCAGGACGGUAUCCUCUUGUCCUAGACCCAGUAGUCGCUAGCUCCAGACUUACCAAAGUACUCAUUGAUGGCGGUAGCAGUCUCAACAUACUCUUCGGCAAGACUCUGAGGAAGAUGGGCCUCGAUAUUACUGAAAUGCUUACCCCAACAAACUCUCCAUUCUAUGGGAUUGUCCUAGGAAACACGGUUGUACCCCUGAGUUAGGUGGUUUUGCCAGUUACCUUUGGGGCCAAAGAACACUACCGGACAGAGUACAUCCGAUUCGAGGUGGUAGACUUCAAAACAUCUUAUCACGCUAUCCUCAGAAGACCAGCAUUGGCCAAAUUCAUGGUCAUCCCGCACUACGUGUACCUGGUACUCAAGAUGCUGGGACCCAAGGGAGUACUCUCCCUGCACGAAGACUUGAAGAGAUCAUAUGACUGCAACACGGAAGCUGUAGAGCUAGUAGCGACUACUCAAGUGGCAAAUUCGAUGAUGCAAGUCUUCGCUGCUUCCAAAAAACCCUCCCCGUCAGAACUCGAGAUCCCAGAAAAGAAGUCGGGGGCAACCAAGGUCAAGCCAGCAAGCGAAGUGGAUAUCAAAGCCAUUGACCUUGAGACUGGUGACAGCUCCAAGAUAGCCCUGAUUGGCUCAGGGCUAGAUCCUAAAUAGGAAAAUGUGCUCGUUAGCUUCCUCCAGGCCAACCGAGACAUCUUCGCAUGGAAGCCAUCAGAUAUGCUAGGGGUGCCCAGUGAGUUGAUCGAGCACUCACUGAAUGUGGAUCCCAAAGCUAUGCCAAAAAGAUGAUGACUACAUCAUUUCGCUCAAGAUAGAAGAGAAGCUAUCAAAGAAGAGUUGGCCAAACUACUCGCGGCUAGCUUCAUAAAGGAGGUCUAUCAUCCAGAGUGGCUGGCCAAUCCCGUCUUGGUGAAAAAGAAAAACAACGAGUGGAGGAUGUGUGUCGACUACAUAGACCUCAACAAGCACUGGCCAAAGGACCCUUCGGGCUCCCUAGGAUAGAUCAAGUCAUCGACUUGACAGCUUGAUGCACCUUACUCGACUUCCUCGAUUGCUACUCGGGGGUAUCACCAGAUAGCACCCACGGAAGAAGAUGAAAUCAAGACCGCGUUCAUCACCCCAUACGGAGCUUUCUGCUACACAACAAUGUCCUUCGGCUUGAAGAAUGCAGGUGCUACUUAUCAACGGGCAAUCCAGGAAUGCUUCAAGAUGCAGCUACAUCGCAACGUAGAGGCAUACGUGGAUGACGUGGUCGUAAAGACCAGAAAUCCCGACGACUUGAUUACGGAUUUGGAAGAAACCUUGCUUGCAAGAAUUCCAGUGGAAGCUAAACCCAACAAAGUGCAUUUUCGGCAUACCAUCCGAAAAACUACUCGGGUUCAUCAUCAGUCACUGAGGGAUUGAAGCUAACCCAAGAAUAUCUCCACCAUCACUAAUAUGCACGCCCCAUCGUGCAUCAAGUAUGUACAAAAACUGACUGGAUGCGUGGUUGCACUCAACAGAUUCAUCUCAAGGCUUGGAGAAUGGGGACUACCCUUCUUCAAACUUCUCAAGUGGCAAGACAAAUUCUAGUGGACCGAGGAGGUGGACCAAGCCAUGCAAUAGAUGAAAGACUUCCUAUCAAAGCCACCGGUCCUCACGGCGCCAAACCCCAAUGAAGACUUGCUGCUUUACAUCACCGCAACUACCAAUGUCAUCAGCACGGCGAUCGUGGUUGAAAGACCAGAACCAGGCCAUGUAUACAAAGUACAGAGGCUUGUCUACCUUGUCAGUAAGAUGUUGUCAGAUUCCAAAACUAGGUACCCGCUAGUCCAAAAAUUGCUAUACGCAAUACUACUCACCUCGCGGAAGCUACGACACUACUUCCAGGAACACAACAUCUCUGUCGUCACAGACUUCCCCUUGGAAGAAAUUCUCCACAAUCAGGAUGUAAUAGGAAGAAUAUCCAAGUGGGUGGUAGAACUCGGAGCAUUGUCCCUAAAAUUCAAGUCAAGGACUGCCGUAAAAUCACAGGCACUAGUCAAUUUCACGGUAGAAUGGCGGGAAAAUCAAGUACUAUCGCUGGCAGAGUGCCCAGAGUAUUGAGUCAUGUACUCUGAUGGAUCACUCAAGCUCGAGGACGCCGGUACAGGGGUACUCUUAAUCUGUCCCAAAGGUGAACAACUCAAAUAUGUCUUGCAAAUCCUCUGGGAGAUAUCCUACAAUGAAGCUGAAAACGAAGCGCUUCUGUACAGACUCCGCUUGGUAGUUUCGCUAGGAAUCAAGCGAUUGUUAGUCUAUGGUGACUCACUAAUGGACAAGCUCUACAGAAGAGGCAAGUUUCUAGUCGGGGACAAGCUCUACAGAAGAGGCGCAUCUUCAUGAGUACUCAUGAAGUGCAUCUCGCAACAAGACGGCAAGGACAUACUGGAGAUCCACAAAGGCAUCUACAGCAAUGAUGCAUCCUCACAAAUGAUCAUGGGCAAAGCUUUCAGAGAGGGGUUCUAUUGGCCUACAGCUCUCGCUGACGCCGAAGAACUAGUCCGCCGAUGCUAAGGGUGUCAAUUCUUCACCAAGCAACAACAUGUCCCUGCCUAGAAGCUGAUCACCAUACCACCCUCUUGGCCCUUCGCAUGCUAGGGGCUAGACAUGAUUGGCCCACUGCCUAUGGCGCCUUGAGAACUCAAUCAAAAACUGGUGGUGAUUGACAAGUUUACGAAGUGGAUCGAGGUGAAGCAAGUGACCUGCCCCAAGGAAGAUAGAGUACUCAAUUUCCUUGACGAAAUUGUCCAUCGCUACGGCUUCCCCAAUUGCAUUAUCAUAGACGUAGGCUCAAAUUUCAACAAUCAUGAGUUCUAGGAAUAUUGCGAGAACAGCGGGAUUGACGUUCUACAUGUCUCUGUCGCUCAUCUGCGGGCCAACGGCAAGGUUGAGCAUGCCAACGGGAUGUUACUGCAAGCUCUCAAGAAAAGAUUACAUGACAUUGGAAACACCAAAAAGGGCAAAUGGCUCAAGGAACUACCCAAUGUCCUCUAGGGGCUUCGCACCCAGCCAUGCAAGCCUACAGGGCAAUCGCCCUACUUUCUGGUUCACAGAUCAGAAGCUAUCCUUCCCACCAACGUCAUGUGGAAAUCUCUAGUAGUCCAACAAAAUGAGGAAGGUGCAACAAAAAAAAUAAGAUGUCUAAACUUAGACAGCCUUGAAGAAGCCCCAACUUCAGAAAUAUCAUUGCCCGUCGUCUACUCAAGCACAGUAGUUGGCACAAUGUCCUCCCCAGAUGCCUUGACACCCUGUGAGACUACUACAGCCCCCUCUUCGAUACUCGCAACUGUUGUAGUCGCUGCAAUCUCGGUUGCGGGUAGAGGAUUGUCAUUAACAACCUUGGGGGCUGGUAGCGCCAGAUCCUCAAGUGAAUAGAUAACAUCCCAUAGUAUGGUGGCUGCAAGAGUCAUAGCACCUGUGUCACCAGUUUGCACUGGGUCUUCACUCAUCAAAUCGACAACAGGUGCCACGGCAGAGUCCGCGCCCGAUGGAUUUUCAACCUGUUCCGCGCUCGCUUCUUUGAGAAUAAUAUCCUCGGAAGUCCUAAUAUCAAACACGAUUCAAGAUUAAGAAAGCGACUACUGAUCGUGAAGUUGGUAAUCAAACCAUUACAACAGAGUACUUACUUGGCGGACCGGGGAGGAACUUGACAACGUUUCUUCAUCACGGGGACCGGCUGUAGACUUAGAGCUGAUUUACUAGCCAGUACGGGUGGCAACUCCUUGAUGUUUUCACCAAGACCUGAAAAAACCAAUUCAGAGAUAAUGUACGCGCGACUAGUACCGGUACUCGCGAACUCACCGCUAGCAGGGACCUCCGGCAAAGUGGUGUCAGAAAUUGCUUCAGGUGUUUUCACGGUUCCACUUAUGGUAGUCUCUGACAGGUCACCUGCUCCACCACUAGCAACUUCAAGAUCAACGGCUACUUGAGUAGUAGCUAUCUCGGGCGUUAUGGCUGCAUCUCCAGCAGAUGUCUCCAAAGAAACCACACUAGCAGCCGAAUCCUUAGCUAUCGUGACUACAUCAUCAGAAGUAGUCUCGGCAGCUCCAUACGUUGCAUCCGCAGCCUCCUCAAUAUCUUCAUCCACAUCAUCAACAACCUGCAAACACAAACAUCAAAACAAGUCAAUUCGACUACUAAAGGAAGCUAUAUAAGUACUCAUACUUCAGCGCAUUGCUCUUCAGCAGAGGUAAUUACUGGCAGCGGACCUUUGAACGUCUCCAAGUGCUUGCUGACUGAUCGCUUAUGCACUAUGGUACGUCUCUUCUUUGGCACUGAAAUCUGGACCUCUUCAUCACCAACAUCUCCCGCUGGACGCUUCGAGGUGUCAGUUCCAAAUUUAUAUCCUUCGAGUACUCGAGACAGCAUAGAAACACGAUCAGACAACUCGGAGUCAGAUGACGAAAUAUCUGAAUCGCCAAGCAGCUCACAGUCCCCAUCAUCCUCCUCCUCCUCUGAGGGAUCAUCAGGCAAGCGCACGUAGUACACAUAUUUUGCAUUCUUUGUGCCAUCAGCAUCAAGGUGAGGAGGAGGACAAAAAUAUAAAAGGACAUCCUCCUGCAUAAGGAAUUACUGGUUGGCAAACAUGACAACUACUAAUUAUGGUUACUCAAAAGGAAAGCAAGUUACCUCUCUGGGCUUAUUCCAGCUGUCAAACUCCUGAAUGGACUCAUCAACUUCAAGCACUCCUUGGAAUUUUUGAAAAAUUUGCCCAACAAGUCUUCAACCGCUUUAUCAGAUAUAUCUUCAACAGACAUCCGUGAAGGAUCAUCAAAACCUGAGUACUCAUAGCCCCAAGUAUGGUGCAGCUACAAUGGUUGUACUCUGCUCUUCAAAAAGCUAGCGGCCACAUUAACCCUAGUCAGUCCUGCCUUCUUCAACUCUGCAAUCCUCUGCAGCAACUUGGCCACCUGAUGACUAUCCUCAAUGCUAGGCUCUUUAAGCCACUUGCUCGAGUACUUCGGCCGGUACCCGGUGAUCACUAGCAUUGGAUGCUCAUGGUUCUCAAUGUAAAACCACUUUUCCUUCCAGGCACCAUGGGAUGCCGGAGUCUCAUACUCCAAAUACACAUCGGAGUCCCUCAGUUGAAAUCUCGCUCCUCCGAGUACUGCCAUCCUAUCUUGACUAGGCUGGAGCUUGCAGCGGAAAAGCUUACAAAAUAAUGGAAAAUGAGGAUGUAUCCCCAAAUAUGCUUCACAAAGAUGCCCAAAGAUCGCAAUAUGCAAUAUCCCAUUGGGAUUCAUAUGAACAAACUGAAUGUCGUAAAAGUCGAGGAUAUCUCUGAAGAAAUCAGACGUUGGAACAGCAAGCCCUCCCUCCACAAAAUGAGCUCAAAUUACUGUCUCUUUUGGAUGGACCUCAAAGUUCCAAGCAUUGGCAUAUUCGCACCUCCAAUUGAUGAUGGCCUCCUCCUGCAGCAAUUUUGCAUCCACCAACUCUUGGAUUGAUUCUUUCUUCAUGGUGGACAUCUUCCAAGCGGAUGCUUGAUUUGGCGGAGUGGUCUGAUCGGUAGGCCCACAUUUGGGUGGAGGAAGCUGUGGCUCCUUCUCCUUCCUAGAAUCUUUCAUCAUCUCUUCCAUGGCUUUUCCCUUAUACUUGUCGGUUUUCUUCCCCAUCUUCUUCACACGCAUCACCUUGGAACGCGUAAGGGAGGAGGAGAAAACUACUAUGACACUUGAGAUCGCUAACUUUGGCUAAUGGCGGUGGCGGCGGCGCAAGCGGCGACGUUAGGGUUUUUCAAGAUGGAGAAUGACAGAUGUGAAUGGCUGGAAGCGUAAACCACGGAGGUUACCGGCCUUAUACUUUAUAAAACACACAACGGAUCUAAAAUGGCUCCGCGAUUCUGGGAAUGCAGCUGGUAAUCUUGCAACGGUCUGAUAUUCUCAAGAUUUAUCUCGAUAUUGAAGUCCAACGAUCACACUGAUCAUGAUUGACCCCUUCAUCGCCUGGACGUAGUCAAUCAAGUGCUUGGGGGCUGCAUACACCUCGCUCGUUGGACAAAAUUUUCUUUUUCUUCAGGGAUUAAGAAAAGACGAAGCAAAUUCAGUUUGACCGUCAGCCUGAUUCUUCGAUUCAACCUAAGGCUCGAGGACUACUCCAUAUGGAGUGCGAUUUUCAUCGCACUUCCAUAUAAAGACUUGAAGACAAACUACUCAAAACUAAUGUCAGAAUGGGACAAGAGUACCUGCCAGCCACAUGACAGCAUUUGAGUACUCGAAGACUAGCCACGACAGAAGUACUCAACAAGCACCGAAGACUAGUCAAGCAACGUCUGCUGAGUACUCGGAACUCUUUCAUUUGACUACAAAGUACUCGGGGGCUUGUCAACCAUACCUCCCCAGGCCCACCAGAAGGUCUGUAUGGACCCACUCAAGGGGACGUACUCGAGACGUAUUAGGAUAUGAAGACUACGCUAUAGGACAACGUAGACUACAUGGAACUCUCGAAGGACUAGUCGGAAUACAAGGAAACUACUCUGCUGAGUUAGAGUAGGACUCUAUAGCCUUGUCUGACUAGUACUCUUGUACCAAAGACUACCUUGUAACCCUGCUUCCCCGAUAUAUAAGGGCGGGCAGGGACCCCCUCAAAACAAGUUCAAUUGAAUGCAAGCAUACAACACACAGGACGUAGGGUAUUACGCGAUCUAGCGGUCCGAACCUGUCUAAAUCGUGUCCCUACGUCACCAUUGACUCCUUGAUUUCGACGACACCCACCAACCAAAACACUAUCUCGGGUACUCCCUUGAUAGGUUGCUGGGUUAAAACACCGACAAGCAAGGCUAGUCCACGCUCAACGAAGUAGGAGAAGAUUACCAUUUCGUCAACAUACGUCUCCAGCGGCCAAGGGUUGCCGAACCCACAUCUCCAAUUGAUGACAUUCUUGUCUUGGAGGAGGUUGGCCCCCACCAGUGCCUUCAUGUCCUCCUCUUUCAGCACGAACUUCUUCCAAGCGCACGCAGGCAAUGGCGGGGCCGUCUGGUCAGUUUUGCCGUAUUUGGGAGCCAGCAGUUGGAUCUCCUUCUUCUUCUCUGAUCUCUUUUUCCCGCCUUCCGCUGCCUUGCUCGAAGUCGCUUCUUCCCCAUCCGUGUUGCCACGAGGGUCUUGUUUUGCAUGCACUCGAGAGCUAAGUGGUGGGGGACGGUGGCCCUCGAGCUCAAGGAUCGGGCAAUGGCAACGCUAGGGCUACAGUGCGGAAGUUGAAAGAGCAGAUUAUACAGGUGAAAUGGAAGGAUGUUUUGCUCCAUUAUUUAUAGCCACGGUGUAGUUAAACACUAGCGAGAUUAACGGGAAUAUUCCAUUUUUAAAAGCUCGAAGAUUUCGGACCUGCCUGACAGUUUCCAUUAUUUUCAGAAGAGAUAAAGUUACUGUUGGCUAACGGUCACGUUGACCAGUGGUUGACCCUUAUACCCAAACUAGUCGUGUAACGGCUCGAGGGCUGUGUGCCACGUGCCCAUUGGCUAAAAAGUUUUUUCUUUGAGUUUUAAGGAAAAAGAGAUGCAAAAUUACAAAUUGACCCUCAGCCUGAUUCUUCGAUUCAACUUAAGGCUCGGGGGCUACUCCAUAUGGAGUGCGACUUUCAUCACACUUGAGCAUGGCAGUGUUCGAGUACAUUCGAAAACUCAACCCGAUGGAGUACUCAAAGAGCACCAAAAACUAGUCAAAGAAGCCUACAAAAGUACUCGGAACUACUGCAUUUGACUAAAAAAGGUACUCGGGGGUUUGUCGUAUAUACAUCUAUGGAUCCACUAGAAAGUUUGGACAAUUCUAGAUACAGGCUGAAUAUCGAGACAUGUCAGAUAUGGAGACUACGGUGCGGAACGGUGUGUUCUACGUGGCAAGACAUGAACUAGUCGAAAAUUAGAAAAUUACUCGUAGCAAUUAGAGUAGGACUCACUAGUCGACUAGCAUUCUUGUAAACAACCAACCUGUAACCGUACCCCCGGCAAUAUAAGGCGAGGCAGGGACCCCCUCCAAUGAACCCGGGUGGGCAGGUCCCCAAGAGGAAGCUUACCAGUUUCGCCAAUCUUAUUUAUUCAUUACUCUAUCAUCCCAAAUUACUAUUAUUUUGAUUUUUUAGGUACAUUAAAAUGUACAUCACUAGACAAAUUAUAUGUCUAAGUGCAUAUAUAAAUAUAUAUAUAUAUAUAUAUAUAUUAAAAAGAUUAUGAUUUCGCUGGAUUGGAGUUCGUCGUAGCAUUGGCUCCAUCCGUAGGUGGAGAUGCACAUCGCCCGGCAAUUCUCGUCGCGACUCACCCGGGCGUGUCGCUGUUUUUGUACGGCUAAGAUCGCGUCGUUCGCGUUUGCACUCGAGUUUGCUACGGUGCCGUACCCCGCGUCGAAGUCGGCGUUUUGCCUUCAGCAACAAAUUAAAUGAUCCCGUGGUCUGCGUGGCUUAUCAGGCGGAGGGAGCUCUGGCUGGAAGCGGAAUCAGCGGAUUUCAUGCUAAAAAAGGCUGACGCCCGCCAGUUUGAGAAAAUCCAUGGCACCAAAAUCGAGGAUGUCUGUCGCUGGUUUUCUGCUGCCCAAGGUUUCUGAAGAUCAUUGCAAGGUUCGCGCGCAAGAGGCGGAUUGUUUGUUACUUCCUUGCCAAACUAUAGAUCAUUUUAAUUUUAUAUGUACAUAAUUUUGUAGGCGGAUUGUUUGUUACUUCCUUUCCAAAUUAUAGAUCAUUUUAAUUUUAUAGGUACAUAAUUUUAACGAUACAUUUAGAUAUAAUGCAUGUCUAGAUGCAUAGAAGAACAUAUAAAAAUCUGAACAACUUAUGGUUUGAAAUGGUGGGAGUAUUAAUUUUUUCUUGGCCGACGGCUUCUUUGAAGUACUGCUGCUGGAUAAAACAAAAGAUUUCUUCUAUGGUGACGGACUACUUUGGCACAACUUGAUAAAUUGGUCAAUAAAGAGGUCUUUUAUUUAGAGAAAAAAACAUAUAUGUUCUAUGAUUCAUUGGUUGUAGUCAAUUUUGCAUAUGUCUACAAGAUAUUUCAGACAUGGAAGGUUGUAUUUCUCACCGUUAGAGGCUAUGAAAAGUAUCAUUUUCCGAACUAUUCAGUGGAGGAUCUAGGGGGCUCGAGCCCCCUUCAAAAUUUAGACAGCAUGGAUGGAGAACGGUGGAGCUCUGAGAUAGAAGACGGCCUUAUUUUUGUUUUAUUGGGCUCUGCAACAUUAUUUCAGCAAAAGCUUCUGGAGCUCAUCACAAGCAUCUAGUGCCUUGUCUACACAUAGUCGCCACAAUUCUAGCCUGCAGACUUCAAACUCUAUUGGUAGAGUUCACAGUGCACAACUAGAGCAUGGGAUUGGUCAAAACUCAUUAGGUCUUGACCCCAUGUUAUAGAUCCCACUAUGUAAGAAACUGUCAAAGAAGACAUACUCAUCGGAGACACUGAAACAAAAUGCAUCUCCAAUGACAUAUAGGAGAGGCUUCUUCUUGAACCACGUCUCCUAUGUAUCUUCAUCAGAGACAUGGGUUCACAAGGCAUGUGUCUCCUAUAGCAGGGUACAUCAUUGGAGACGCGGGUUGUAGAGGCCCGAUGUUUCCUGUCAUUGGAGACGCAGGUUGUAGAGAUGCGACUCCGAUGAUGUUUAGGAUAUUGGAGACACCGCUUGUGAAACCCGAUCUCUGAUAUCUCCCAAAGGAGACGCGUUUUUAAAACCACGUCUUUGAUAGCUCUCAAAAGAGAUGCCUUUCUUCUUAACAACACAUCCCUAAUGACUAUCAUCGAUGUGUUUCACAUCAGAGACGCCAAUUUAGAGAUGUGUUUUUUCCAUUUCUCCAAUGAAUCUUAACCCGCUUCUCCUUAGAAGGCUGUUUACAUAGUGUCCCUUGCUUGGUUAAGCAUUCGUAUAGUCGUCUAGUGAUCAUAAAGUUAGAUUUUCUUGUCUUUUUGUCUAUGCUUCUUUUCUUUGAUCUCUUGGCACAUUUCUUGAUCUUCUAAGGUCUUCAACACUCUCACUUUGGUCUACAUAUUAGGUGUUUUAUCACUCAAGUCAAUUAACUUGCACCCAUGAGACUAAGUCCUUCUAUAUUAGCAAACUAAAUUAGUCCCAUUGGACAUGUUGUCAUGGUCAAUGUUUCUUAUAAUCUCCCCCUUUUUGUCAUUAAUGACAAAACAAUCAAUUUAAGACUUAAUAACAAAAAUCAAGUAUAUCUACUUGCUUGGAUGCAAUGCAAGAGCAAGAUCAUAUACUAAUUGAAAUAUGGAAUGAAAUACCCCCAUCUUUAUGUGGUCAUCAUGAACAUAGGGAACCCAUUUAUUCCAAUGCCACUUUUUAUCCCUUUCCUGAACCAAAUUUUGCAAUCUGCCUCAAAGCUUACUUGACGUUUUUUAAUUGCAUGUUUCCUCUUAACAUAGUUUGCUCUCCUUUUAAGUUAUACUUUAUUUGGUCACUGAAAUCCCCCACACCCUUUGAAAUGAAACACUAAAAAGGAAGACACUAAUGGCAGGGGGGUUCAUAGAUUAUGAUCCUUUUGUUAUGUGGAAGGAAAUGGGAUCACAAACUAUGAAAUUUAGAUAACAUAGACUAACUCCCAAAAAAUGUGUGCAUACGUAUGGCGGAAAGCAAGUAUGGUGGAAAGCAAGUAUAUGCACAACGAGUAAAAUAAGAAAGAGGUUAAUCUAUAUUAGGCCAUGGAUUUACUUCAAAUAAAAGGAAUGACAUCAUACUAAAAGAAUACUUGAUACUAAACUUGACGGGGUUCCUCCACCAAGUUUAUCUCUGACGUCACUGAAAAUGGUUUAAGUGGUUGAGGAUAUCGACCAACUUAUGGGUGCUCUCUCGCAGCUGGUAUUUGGUGGCCUGAGCAAUGCAAUUGGCCUCCUUUUGCCAAGUGGCUUGUUGGUUUAGGGUCUCUUGAUUCUGUAUGGUUUUGGUGUCGAGGACGUCCACCCAGUCUAUGAUGUAGUUGACGUCCAUGUAGCAUUGUCCGCUUCCAUAGUGGGGGGUGCAUACCUAGUGGACUAGGAUGUCCAUUGAUUGAAGCUAUACGAAUCGAUGAUCUUUCCUACUAUAAUGAUCCUCCUCCGUACCCGAACUGUCCUGCAUAUCCAGAUCCUCCUGCAUACCCAAAUCCUCGUGCAUAUCCGGAUACUCAUGCACCUUGAGAAGAUGCUGCAUAUUUUUUGUAUGUCUUAUUGAAAGCUAAGGUAGCUAGCUGCUGCUGUGGCUCAGAGGUGCCAAGAUAUGCAUCCCUACGGCAUGCUCUUCCUCGUGUGAUGGGUCCCGCACCUGAAAUAUUCACUACUAGAAUCCUAACUUUACCCGACAGUUAUCACAAGUUACCGACCGCCUGUUGGUAAAUCUAAGAAUGGCCAACUGUUUUUAUAUUGCCAACAGUGCAGCUAAUCACUUUCGGAUAUUAUACAAAUGGCCGACGGUUAUUUUAGUGCAUGAUAGUUUUCUGGUCACCGUUGGCAAACUAUGGAAAUAGCUGAUAGUUUUCUCGUCACAGUCGGGAACCUAUGCAAGUGGCCGACAGGUUCAAAGAAUCACCGUCGGGCAACACCUACAAAAAGAAAUUAUGGGGAUUUAAAAGGAAGUCUAUUAGUCUCAUAUUCCUUUUUUUUCUUUUUGGAGCGCCCCCACGUUGUGAUUAAGCACCCAUGAGCGUAAGAUAAGGUAACCAACCAUAUAUCACAACCAUUCGUGAUUGGAUGACCGAGUAUAUCGAGGGGAUAUUUGGCAGCACUCCACCUCACAAAAAUCAGCUCCACUCCACUAGCUCCACACUUUCCCAACUCCACUCCACCAACUUCAAAAAAAUAUGGAGCUCCUGCACGUGUUUGGCUGGUGGCAAUGCUACAGCUCCAAAAACAUGAGCACUUGUUGUGAAUAGUCUAUUUUAACCUUUGUAAACAGGCCCACAUGUCUGUCUCUUCUCUUUCCUCCCCUUCUCUUCCUCUGCUCGCGCUCGAACUAAUCAAAACCCAAAUCGAAGUAAUCAAAACCCAAAUUUGGAUCGCACCUAUGGAUUUGGCGACGGCCACUACAAAAAUUCCUCUCCGGUGACUACAAAAUUGUUCCUACAGCUGCAAAUUUUUCCUCAGGACGCAUUGCAAGUCCUGCUUGCAAGCGAGCAAGCUCAUCCGCAUCCUGCACAGCGACGCCACGCAGAUCGCGCCCUCGAAGCACACCCCGGCCGGGACUGGGGACGCCGCUGGCACCCGCGCGGUGGCCUCCUUGCCCACUGCCGGCGCGGGUGGCUGCUUGCUGGCUUCCUACCCGGCCACCAGCGGAUGCGACCACCGCCACUGCUGCUACGCCAGUGGCACCGUGCCACCAUCGUGCUCACCGUCAAUGAUCUACAGCACGAGGUGGUAGUCCUCGACCUUCCUGGCGCCGACGCGGUGCGCAGCCUCCUCCCGCGAGAUCACGAGGCAGGUUGUUCGGCGAGCAAGGGCGGUCCGCCGGGCAGGGGCUGGGUGGGGGCGGCGCCGUUCGGUGGGGGUGGUCUGCCGGGCAAGGUCAAGGGGGGACGGCGCGGUCCAGCGAGCAGGGGCCAGGCGGAGGCGGCGCGGUCUGACGAGCAGGGGCGAUCCGCCGGGCAGGGGCCAGGCGGGGGCAGCGCGGUCCUUGGGGUAGGGGGUGGGCAGGGGUGGCACGAUCCAGCGAGCAGGCGCGGUCCGCAGGGCAGGGGGCGAGCGGGUACGGCGCGGUCUGGCGAGCAGGCGCGGUCCGCUGGUGAACAAACUAGUGAAGCAAAGCGCACAAAGCCUAAGCUCACUACUAAUGCUCAAUACCAAGGCUACACAAGCCAAACUAAAGAGCUCAAAAACUUAGCUACACAAACUAAGCAAUGUAACUAGCAAAGCUACACAGGCCAACUAGUUGCUCACAAGAGCUACUUCUAUGCUACACAAGCAAGAAGGUAAUUAGCAAACUACACAAGCUAGCUAAUUACAAGAGCAACAACACAAGCUGUACAUAUAUGAACAAUAAGUAAAGAGCUUGUAUAUAUAAGGAGCAAACCACCAAGAACAGGAUGACAAGGUUGACACGGUAAUUUUUCUCCUGAGGUUCACUUGGUUGCCACCAAGCUAGUCCCCGUUGUGUUGGCUCACUCACUUGGAGGUUCAUGUGCUAAUAGGCAUCACCCGCCUAGCCCACAAUGGGCGCCGCACAACCAACACAAGAUGAGGGCACUCAAUGACACGCUUUACUAGUGUUGCUCUUUGUGAUCCCCGCGGGGAGAGCACAAUGCCCCUCACAAAGCCUUCUCCGAAGCCACGCACAAUCUUCUUGCUUGCUUCGAUGGAUUCACAAGCCACCAAGCCGUCUAGGAGGUGGCAACCUCCAAGAGUAACAAGCACCACUGCAACACGAACACCUAGUGCCACUUGAUGCUAUCUCACAAAGCAACGCACUAGAAUCGCACUCACUCGCAAUCGAUUCGCACUCUUGCAAGAACAAGUGAGUUAAAGGGCUCCCAAGUCAAGCACAACCAAGGGUAAUACAUCCCCAAGGUGCUCAACAAACCCCAAGGGCCAACCACCCCUCUAUAUAUAGAGGGAGGGGACAAACUAGCCGUUUUCCCCUUUUUCCCGAGCUGUAACGGCUCUCCCAAACAGUCCGCCAUUCUACGAAACUAGCCGUUAGGUUCAAACAUGAGCAAACUGGGGACUGGCGGACCGUCCGCCCCUUAGGCCAGACUGUCCGCGAUACACAAUUCGGCUCGCCUUUUGAACUGCAGACCGUCCGCCAUUAUAUGGAGGACCGUCCUCCUCACAAAAACAGCCUCUAACUCUGAAAACAUGUCUCUGUCUAAGUUAGGCUGACCGUCCGCCAUACCAAGGCCGGACCGUCCGCCUCUAAGUAGUUAGCGCUCAGUUAGACCAUAUUUUUCUUCUCAUCUUUUUCACUUUCUCAAACUAUGUUAGUCCAUAUGCAUGCAAUGCAAUUGUUUGAGCAAAGUGGCACUAUAGAGCCAUCAAGUAGAUGAAAUUGACCCCUCUUGAUAGUACACCUAUCUGGCUUAUUAAUCCGGUCAAAUUACAUCCGCUGAGCACCUCUUGACCAUUUCUUCAACCCCUUUGCAAAUGUGCCAACUCCACAAGUGUUCCACCUUAUGUGUGAGUGAGUUAGCAUUUUCACAAACAUUUUUCAAGGGCUUUUUACUUGUCCUCACCAUGCCACUCGAUCCUAGAAACAUCGCCAUGCUAGAUCACUCAAGUGGCACUAGAUGAUCGAUAUGCAAACAAGUUUGCCCCUCUUGAUAGUACGACCAUCUAUCCUAAACCCGGUCAUAAACUUCUCUACACACCUAUGACUGGUGAAAUGAAAUGCCUAUUGGUUAUACCUUUGUCUUGCGCAUUCCAUUCCAUCUCUUCCAAUGUUGAUGCAACACAUGCACCAACACCAUCACAAAUGAUAUGAUCAACUUCAUAUCAUCAUGCGACGUAUUGGUUCAUCGAUCUUGACCUCACUUGCUUUUCACCGUUGCAUCGGUCCAUCGGCGCCAAGUCUUUGUUCAAGCAUCUCGCCAUGCGGUCUAGCGCUUCAAAGCCUCUGACUUGUCCUUCGCACUUGCAACCGGUCCAUCAAGCCAAGUCUUGUCUUGAUCUUCUCCACCUAGUCACAUGACUCCAUGUCAUGUCUCAUAUGCAAUAAGCUCCUUCAUCACAUAAUUACCUGUGGACUAAUCACCUGUGUAUUCUACUUAAACACAUAUUAGUCCACCUAGGUUAUCACUCAAUUACCAAAACCAAACAAGGACCUUUCACAUAUAAAAAAGAGAAAUAAGAGCUUCUUAAAAAUGCAAAUGAGCUAGAUAAAAAGGCAGAAUCACAACUGCUAAGUCAGAAAGAGACUGAUUUAAAGCAAUGCAUCAAGGAUAGACAGUAAAGCUUAUGAGAGAAGAAGAAAUAAAAUGGUUUCAAAGAGAAAAAAUCACUAGGAUGUUGAAGGAGGACAACAAUACCAAAUAUUUCCAUAUGAUAGCAAAUGGCAAACACAGAAAAACUAGAAUCUUCAGGCUGGAGCAAGAAGAGGGGAUUAUUGAAGGGGAGGAGAAUCUGAAAAGAUACAUAACAAAGUUUUAUAAAUGCCUUUUUGGUGCUCAAAAGAGAAAUAUCUGCUCUAUGGAUGAAUCCAUGACAGAGGAUAUACCUCAAGUGUCCAGAGAGGAAAAUGAGGCAGUAAUUGAUGGUUUUACUGAAAAGGAAGUGACAGAUGCCAUUUUUCAGAUGAACGACAAUAGAGCACCGGGACCUGAUGGAUUUACAGCAGAAUUCUACCAAGUUUUUUGGAGUCUUACUAAGGAUGACCUAAUGGCCAUGUUUAAAGAUUUCCAUAACUGCAUGCUCCCUCUACAUAACUUAAACUUUGGGAUCCAAACCUUAAUCCCAAAACUUAAGGAGGUCAAAAUGAUUCAACAGUAUAGGCCAAUUUGUAUCCUAAAUGUUAGCUUCAAAAUUUUCAUUAAACGUGAUAGGUAAUAGAUUGAGCAUGGUGGCCAAUAAAAUCAUUAGACCUUCACAAGCAGCUUUUCUACCUAGAAGGUACAUUAUGGAGGGGGGUGGUAAUUUUACAUGAAAUUCUCCAUGAGCUGCACAGGAAAAAACAUAGUGGAAUUAUUCUCAAACUAGAUUUUGAGAAAGCAUAUGACAAGUCAAUUGGAAUUUUUUGCAACAGGCUCUAAGAAUGAAGGGGUUCUCUUCAAAAUGGUGUAAGUGGAUUGAAACCAUAGUGAGUGGGGGAAGUGUGGGGGUUAAAGUCGAUGAUGACAUGGGGCAAUUCUUUCAAACAAAAAAAGGAUUGAGACAGGGGGAUCCUUUAUCUCCAGUCCUGUUUAAUGUGGUAGCAGAUAUGUUAGCUAUCCUUAUUUCAAGGGCUAGAGAUAGUGGUCAAAUUAGGGGCCUAGUGCCACAUCUGGUAGAUGGAGGAUUAUCAAUUCUCCAAUAUGCAGAUGAUACAAUACUUUUUUUGGAAAAUGAUCUAGAACAGGCUAAAAACUUGAAGCUUGUACUAUGUACAUUUGAAAAGCUCUCAGGCCUUAAAAUCAACUUCCAUAAAAGUGAGCUGUUUUGUUUUGGGAAGGCAAAGGAGAAAGUAGGAGAAUAUGUGCAGAUUUUUGGCUGCCAUGAAGGAUCUCUACCAUUUAAAUAUCUUGGCAUCCCCAUGAACCCUAAAAAACUCAAUAAUAAAGAUUGGAAGGGGAUUGAAGAAAGGUUUCAGGGAGUUGGAAAAGCAAAAUGUUGUCUGUUGGAGGGAGGUUAGUGCUUAUAAACUCUAUCUUAUCUAGUCUGCCAAUGUAUAUGAUGUCCGUUUUUAGAAUUACUAAAGGAGUUCUUAGAAGAGUGGACUAUUAUAGAUCUAGAUUCUUUUGGUAGUGUGAUGAGCAUAAGAAAAAGUACAAAUUAGCUAAAUGGAGCAUCCUCUGUGUCCCAAAGAAUAUGGGUGGACUGGGUAUAUCUAGUUUAGAAGUCCAAAAUAGAUGUUUGUUAGGCAAAUGGCUAUUUAAACUUCUAAAUGAGGAGGAAUUGUGGCAAAGUUUGUUGAGGAGGAAAUAUCUGUCAAAACAUACACUAACCCAAGUGUCAAAAAAGCCAGGAGACUCACAGUUUUGGUCUAGCCUUAUGGAUAUAAAGGAGCAAUUCUAGCCAUGGGUAGGUUUGAAGUAAAUAAUGGGAAGCAAAUAAGAUUAUGGGAAGAUGAAUGGGUUGGAGAGGAAACCUUAAUGAAAAGAUACCCAUCUCUGUAUAACAUAGCUAGAAAGAAACAUGACACAGUCGCCAAUGUGUGUAGCACUGCUCCACUGAAUAUGUCCUUUAGGAGGGCGUUGACUGGAGAUAAAAUGAAGAAAUGGCUCAAACUGGUGGCUGAAGUGGUAGAGCAUAGACUAAAUGACCAAAAAAGAUGUCUUCCAAUGGAAGUUCAAUAAAAAUAAAGAGUUCACAGUAAAAUCAAUGUACAAACAAUUAAUGCUACAUGAAGGAACACCUUCUUUAUGUGUUGCCUGGAAAAUAAAAGUGCCUCUCAAGAUCGAAGUGUUCAUGUGGUAUUUGAAAAAAGGUGUUCUUUUGACAAAAGAUAAUUUGGCUAAAAGAAGAUGGCAAAGAAGUACUAAGUGUUGUUUCUGUAACUCUAAGGAGACAAUACAGCACUUGUUUUUCAAUUGCCUAAUGGCAAGAUCUAUCUAGAAUGCGGUGUAUCUGUCUUUUGGAAUUCAACCCCCAACUAGUGUGUCUAAUAUGCUGGGACCUUGGCAUAGAGGGUUUUCUUAGCAAAUUAAGAAACAGAUGUUGAUAGGUGCUUCAGCUCUCUGCUGGGCAAUAUGGUUGAAUAGAAAUGAGAUAGUGUUCAAUAGAACUAUACCUAACUCGUUUGUGCAGGUGAUUUUCAGGGGAUCUUCUGGACAAGAACUUGGGCGAUGCUCUCUUCAAUAAGAAUGGGUGGACCUUCAGAAACAGAUUACAGGCUUAGUUAUGUAGGUCUGGCUGGUCUGCUCGUUUGAUGCCCAGUGUGCCUGUUGCGGUGCCUGGGAGCCAAGUUUUCUGGUAGGGUCUUCUUUUCACCUUGUGUUGCUAAGUUCCACAAAUCCUGUGCGUUGAGAAGGGUGUUCAGAUUCUGUUGGGAGUAUGGGGUAGGUUUUGAAGACAAUUAAGUUUGUCAGGCGCUGAGAACCAGCAUGGCUGGCUGGAAGCAUAGAUGAUCUUAGGAGUCUUGUUGGGUUGGUUUUAUCUGUUUCUAUGCUGAACCUUGUUGAGUUUGAGAUGGGUAGGCAGUCUAAGUACUGCAGUUUGAGAUGGGUAGGCAGUCUAAGUACUGCAGUUUGUAAUCAUCAGUUGUACGCUUUCAGUUCCUGAUUGCGGAUGCUGGAACUUUUCCAUAAUCUAAAAAAACAAAGUGCUCGGCUCCAAGAGCCUGACACUCCCCAGUCAUGUAGUCGACCUGGGCAUUAUUUAUAGAAUGCCAAGGUUUGAGGCAAUGUGAGUGACAAGAGAUGUCAUCCUGAUGCUGCCUACUCGUGAGGGCAUGGUGCACCAGUGCUCCGUCAUUGUUUUAAUAAUAGGUGAAUAUCUAGCAUUCAUACACAUGGCAUGAAGAUACUUCAAUUCAUCUUUCUGAACCGGCGUGUGUCAGAGCAUGGGUGAAUGGCCAUUGCUAUACAUUUAUGCAUGAAACUCAGAGUAUGAUUGUAUAUGUCAUUGGUGCGUGAAGCAAAACAAGACACUCUACCUGAGAUUUUUGCCCAGAAUUUAUCGUGAUUGAAAUUUUGAAAGGAAUUAGGAGAAUCUAUUUAGCAUCUCUAAUGAAAUCCCAAUGCUAUGCUAAGCUCACGCCACGAGCAAAAUAAUUCUUCAUUGAAUAAAAAAACUCACUCCAUUAUUAUGUGGACAUUGUGUAGUGAAAUUCAAGAGUGAGGAAUCGCGAACCUUGUUCUUUGAUUACCCAAAAGUUGUCCCACCCAACGUGGGUGAAGAUCUCCUAGAACUCAUCAAGAAUGCCAGAGCUUACGAGCAAGUCUUGGUCAUAGACUUUGUAUGCUCGAAGGCUCGGUCCUUCAGCAUGUUGUAGGCUUGGAAUUUCUGUUGUCUUCAGGACGAUUUUAUAUUCCGAUAUUAGAACCUAGAUCCUGACCGAUGUUUCUUCGUAUUCCUCAUGAGUCCUUUCCGGCUAACAUACCGAGUCCAUAGACAUUGAGUAGAUAAUACGGCUCGGGACCGGAGAUUCCCGAGAGCGCCUCAACUCCGAACUACUCAAAUGGAAUCGAGCGUGCACCUCCUUCAUCGUGUUCACAACUCUCCUUGCCCACGAGAUCCUUCCCGCAAAAUGGUUAGACGACACCUGAAAGACAAUAAUAUAAUGGUCAAAAUUGGCAGUAAGUCAUUCAAGGGUUAGUCGUCCUUGUGGGGUUUAGGACCUCCACAAGCUGUUUACCUCACUUAAGACUUUUACUAGGAUCGUGUCUGUGCGUUGCUACGGGCAACACAGUUUCCCUUCACAAGCAUCAAAAUAGCAAUAUAGAAAUUUGGGGACAACCAUUUAGCAGCUGCUGUGGAAGAACGUAUAUUAGCUAGCAAUUUAACAUAUGCGGAGAACCGUUCAAAAGCAAAUUGAGUUCAUAUAUAGUUUAACUUGCUUUAGCAAUUAGCACCGAAUGAAAACACUAUAAUUAAAUACAAUUACCAAUGUGAUAACAAGAAAUGUCAAACCACUCGUCUAGAAGUUUCACUAUUCUGCUUACCGUGACUAUUGAAUACUCAUGUCACAAGGCAUGAAAACAUACUUUUUGCAAAUUGCAAUCAACUCCUAGCAGUGGUGGGCAGGUUGCUAAGUGAAAUCGUAAGGUUAUUGUAGUGAAAUCGUAAGGUUAUUGGCAAAUCAAAAGAAUCGGUGAUUAGAUUCACUUUAUGUAACAAAACCAAUUCAAUGAACGAAAACUAGACUUUCCUAGCUGCUUGACGUGUAACAUUGAAGAUUCAAUUACCUCGUAGAAGGCAAUUACUUUAUCAAUUAGCGAGAUUUUGUUUCUAAUGCACGCAUCAUCCACCAACUUGUAUCCAUGAUUCUUUGAUAGAUCAGAGAUGCAUGGAUGUCAUCUUCAAUGUAAUUGUGACUUCAGAUAUCAGACCACUUUUCCUGAGCAGAUGAAUAGGAUUGUUCAACUUGGUGUGCUACAAAUCAACAGCCAGUCUUCUCCAAAACUCUCUUCAUCUGCACACAAACCAUAAAGGAUUAGUCUCAACAUUUUUGCAUCGACAUUAGCCUCUCAUAAUGCAAAUAGAAACUACAUUUUGAUUAGUAGUCAAAUUUUUUUCACAGAACUAUAUCAAUAAUUCAAAGCCAAGUGGCCUGAUGUCAUCUCACAUCAAACUAACAGCACAGGUGGCAGCAUCUCCACUAUUAAUAUCAACUAAAUGCAUCAGAAUCUCAAAUGGCGAUGCAUUCACAAAUGGCCUGAUGUCAUCUCACAUCAAACUUGGGAAAUCAUAUACUCUGUCUCCCUCCUGCUAAAAGUAACAGAACAACAUCACUUUCGACGCACUGAAACCAUCUACCAACAUCUAGUGGUGACGACAGUAAGCAAUGUAUUUCUUUUAUCUAAAGCCUUGAUUUGACAAUUAGCAGGUCGUGUGGAUACAACUUUUCCAUGCUCAGUACAAUAUAGCAUUUUAAAUUUUCUGACACACGAGCUCCUUCAAGAACCAUAUUUCAAAAGCAGCUUUCCAAGUACCUAGGAGGAUAUGAGUACAUUCAGGUAAACAUUAUUGAUCUUCUAAUUUUAUUGUAAAAUGAAAAUGACGAGAUUGGUAAUUGCUUAUCUAAACAAUUGAAGCCUGGAAAUAAUUACAGUACCAUUAGAGGUAUACCUAUGAUUGAACAUGCUCCCACAAAAAGGCAUGAUGUCAUAGUAGUUACACACUACAACUAGGAAAAGAAGUACACGAGGGUCUCAAAAUCUGCAAACACAAGGAUACCCUCAAAAUCUGCAAACACAAGGAUAUUCGCUCAAUCAGGGGAGCAUGCUUGAACUAUUUUUUUGGACCGUAGACCGUAAUUUUUGAUUCAUUGUAGCCCGUGUGGAUGCAAAUAUCCCGUGCAGUGACAUCAUGUGACAAAAUUAAACAAUCACUUUUAUCUAAAUGCUUGACUUGAUAAUUAACAGCUCGUGUGGAUGCAUUCAGUAAGUACACACUAUGUUGUAACUGACAUAAUGAGGAUGGCAGCUUAUUUUAUUAUCCUUUAAAUUUUUGGAAAGAUGCCAUUAUAGUGUAGCAGCUGCAUUUUCAGAAAAAUUUCAGGACUAUCCAUAGCAGCUGCAUUUUCAGAAUUUUUGGUUUCUGAACUAUAUCUACACACAUCAACAGUGGCAAUUGUUUUACACGCUAAGCACUAAGUGGGAUCAAACAAAGAGCAAUGCUGACAGUGAAAGGAUAUUCAGUGAAAGGAUAUUCAGUCUUGUAAGGUCCGGCUACUCAUUUAUGUAAAGCAAGAAUCAAACUUCUUACAUGAGAUGAUCAAGAACAGGCUGAGUUUCCCCUCACGCUCCUAGCUUGUUCAAAAAACAGUUGCUCUUCUGAAGCCUGCACAUGACAGAUCAGUACCUAUUAAAGGAUAAUAAAACCAUCAAUUUAUAUCAGUUGCUCCUUUGAAAGUAGAAAAAAAAAUGCAAUUGCUAAUUAAGAACUUCUAAAGCCCUUCUCCUCAAAUGACUUGUAGUGCUAACUCAAAUGAUCAUGAAGCCUUUUCUUGACAGGAAGGCAAGGCAGAAUCGAAAUUAAUAACACAAAAUUAUUGAUUAAAAUCAAAAAAACUCUUGUAUGAGCACCUUGUCUGCAAGCGUCUAAUGCAGCGUGUGCUUUAGGGCUGAUGAACAACCAGCUACUGUAUUGAUAUUAGUGAAGUUAAACUACAGAAUGAUAUGAUCAAAUGAAACAUUCUCGAUGUGAGAAAAGGAAUUACUCAUACCCAAACUGGUGCCCAAAAGAUUUGCUAACCUGAGUCAUCAAGCGGCUCUCAUCUAAUAUAUGUGUACAACCUCUGCAUUUGAACACAAGGCAAAUGAAUUCACAUGUUCUCGAUGGACGAGGAGAAUGGCCUCACCUUGAUUGGCCUACAGGAUUUACCAGGACAUGUGACAUGUGGCAAAAGGGAGACGACGUACGGGCGGCAACUGGGAGUUGCUGCAGCGUAUUGGGGGUGCCGGCCGCCAUGCGGAGGACCAGGACAGGCGCCGGCGGCGCCGGAAGGGUUGCCGGCGGCCGGGCGAAGGACCAGGACUCAUACGUAAGAAACUGAGCAAGAUGUAUGUAAGUAGAAAUCUGUGGUCAAUGCGCUCCUUUAAUUUGUGAUCUCGACAGAUUUAGUAUUCUAUGAGUCAGGAUCUAGUAUUGAAACUCGUGGUUCUCCUUAAUGCCUUAGGAGAAAAUUCUAAACAUGAACUGAUGAGCUAUGUAAGUUUUCAAUAGAAUGCAAGUUUAAUGCAUUCUAAAACUAAUAUCAAUCAAAUCAUCCCUAAGAAAAAAAGCGUGAGUCAGACAAAAAUAUCAUAUUGAGAUAUAUACUUGAUGCUACUAAAACUAAUAAGUAAACUCACCCAUGCCUGGACGGCUGGACCAUAUUCCUGAAGUACUUUGUCCAAGACUGUCUGUCAGGCCACUUUUGACUGCAAGCCUGGACCAUACUCUUGCAAGUUUAAUGCAUGACCCCUUAUGUGCCUAGAAAGGUUGCAUUAUCAAACAUGCACUCCAUACUGAGUGAUUGCCAUUUCCACCUUUUCCAAAACUGAAAAUACAAACAAAGAAAGGGUAGUCCAGUAACAUGAACUGGAAAAGAUUUCUGUAUGCAUCUGUGGUACUCGGUUCACUGGCAUGUGCAUAAGCCAAAUCAUUUGCAUGUCUGGCAUAUGUAUAUCAAGUUGAAAGUUCAGAACUCUGAAACAGAAAGCAACCAAAAGAAACUUCCAGAAAAGAUUAAAAGCGACCUUACAGUAGCAUAUGGCAAACAUGAAUGAUUCCCCUUUCUUAUAAAGAGAACUGGGUAUAACCCUGUCAAUAAGAACAACAAAAGAAACAUUUGACAGAUGUAUGCCUACCGUGCUAACCAAUGUGACAGGUGAACACCAAAGAAUCUUGCAAUAAAAUUUAUAGUGCAAUAUAUAGAGCAUUCGACAAUAAUAAAAGUGAGGCAAGCACGAACAUACCAAACAAAAAUAAUUAAUUUAAGAAUAUAGUUCUUGAACUAAACAAAUCUAGAUAGUGCGCUGUCAGUAAAACAUAGUGAGGAGAACUUUAAUCAAUUGACAUCACAAGCAUUUUGCCAAAUUAAUCAGAAACUGUGAAACUGAAGAACUGUAGUGAGUGUCAUUACAUGUGAUCUCUAGAUGUUAGCAGAAUUUUGCAAGAACAAAGAUGCCACUUCAUUCAGUUGAUAUAUUCUCUUUUAAGAAGCAUGAAACUUUCGGUGAUUCACAAUAAUGUGCAAUUUCAAAAGAAAACAUGACUGCGAUACUAUCAGUAAUUCACAAGUGUGAAAUUUGAGUAGACAUAAGCAAAGCACUCCAAUACUAUCAGUUUUUUUUACAAUAAACACUCAGCGAAAUUUUAGUAGACACAAGCAAAGCACUCCAAUACCAUCAGUUUUUUUACAAUGAACACUCAGUACAAGAAACACUCAGUACAAGAAUAACAUUGCUGUCCAUGUAACAAAGAAUAUGAAAAAAAACACCACAAAGAGACAUGCUAUCAACCAUUCUCUAUAGUUGACCACCACGGAGGUAAUAGGCUUACUCAGGUCGAUCUGAUGGCUCGUCGCAGCAUGUGCUUGAUCACCACAGAGGUAAUAGGCUAACUCAUAUUUAUGUGAUGGUCCUUCCCAGUGGGUGCCGACAGUGAUCGUGGCCACCUCAAGACCUAUCAAAAAUAUGUCCGUUUAGUGAUUAGUGUACAAAUUAUGGCAUGAAGGAAUUGGCGAGAAGCAUACACAGAUGAAUGACCAGUCAUGGAUGUAGAAUUUGGAUGUUUGACAAUGCCAUUUUCUCUACUAUGGAAGAACCGAAAAAUAUAUUCAUUUAUAGUUUGAAUAAUAAAUGAUCAGUCACAGAAAUCGAAAGUAUCUUUAACAAAUGAGAGAACAAAAAGAGCAAGUUAAGCAUUGGGAAGUUUUUACCACAAAACAUGAUGGAAACCAUGCAGUACUAUAAUACAUAUCUACAAGCAGCAAUAACAUUACUGGAAAGAAAUGUUGAGCACAAGAACCAGAUUCGAAGUAACUGGAUUUUAGGAGAACAAGACGUCAAAUGUUAGCAUUCAAAUUCCUACAGUGCUAAAAAAGAGAUGCACAGUAACAAUAAGGUGAAUAGAACAAUUCAUCUACAGAACACACCUCUGGUCACUAUAAGAAUUACCUAGUGAUAUUUGCAUAAUUAAAAAAAUAUUUUUUUCAUUUAUUCUCCAUUGUGACUAUCACAGAAGAAAUGUAGUAGGACACCUAGAAGUUUACCAGCAGGCAGCAGCCACUUCACAGUAGGCUGCAUACAGCAUUAGCAUAUAGUUUAUAAAAAAUACUUUACUACUAAAAAAUAGAACUUCAACAGCCACCCCAAAAAUUUGAUUUCACAAGCAAAUAAGUAGUUGGUUAAGUAUGCUUACAGUAGAGACAGUGAUUCUCUUAGGCGAAAGCUGAAAAGGAGAUCCCGUAAACACUCCAAUUACCUCAACCAAAGCAUUAUAGUUUAACUCCAAUUCAGAAAUGCACUAUUUUGUAGGGGAGAUAUGCAAAAUAAUAUUUUCAGUAGGAAUUUUUUAGAGAAUUUAACUCUCAACUAUUUUUGAAACAAACAUGGGUGCCGGUUGCGUGCUGGUUGCAAAAGGACGGAAAUCUAUUCCUUGCCUGUGUUCAUUCUUCAUCAGUAUAAAAAGGAAGUGACUUUUGAAUCAAUCAAAUCAUCCCUAACAAAAAAAAGCGUGAGUCAGAUAAGAAUAUCAUAUUGAGAUAUAUACUUGAUGCUACUAAAUCUAAUAAGUAAACUCACCCAUGCCUGGACGGCUGGACCAUAUUCCUGAAGUACUUCGUCCAAGACUGUUUGUCAGGCUACUUUUGACUGCAGUUGGAAGAAACCAAAAUCGUGCACAAGCACAACCAAUGCACCCACUGAGCAUUCAAUAUUUGAAACUGCCAUUCACUCCCCAUUGAGACCAUAACCUGUUUUAGCUACAGGCUUGCCAUCGAAUCGUGCGAAUUUCAGAAAAGGAUCAUGCACAAUGCGACAGGCACCAUAGAACAAGUUUGGCACAGUAUUGAACAGGCUAAGCUGACAUGUUUUAGCAUACAGGGUAUAAUUUGGAAAGCAACCAAGAAUGAUUCAGAUUAUGCCUGAAAACAUUUAGAGAUUAAAAUGCUACUGCAUUUCUGAUUUCAGACAUGGUGCAGAACUCACUAUCUGUAGCAUUUGUCUUGAUAGCUGGUAGCCUUUCUUCAACAGGAAGUAAAUAAUUGGUGACCAUUCAUCAAUACAGGAAGUAAAUCUUUGUUAUUUGAAGUGGAAGCUGGGGCUAUUUUAUGUUUUGGAUUGAUUUGUUUGAUCAGAAAUUAAGAAUAAGACCCAAAAGCAUAAAAAAGCUACUGCUAUACAACAUGAUGGAUGAAAUUCUCAAGGGCAUGGUUGGUCCGUACCAAUGGCAUGGCCACCUGUAAAAACUCUUCGAUUCCACCUGUGCAGCACCUCCCCGGAACGACGCCUGCCCAGCCAUCGGAUCACGACUCGCAACCGCUGGAUUCCACCUGUGUAGCGCCUCGCUAGAACGAUGCCUACCCAGCCAACGGAUCGCGACUCAGGGAGGGCGGUGGCGGCUGGCGGCGACGCAGGGAGGGGUAGAGGCUGCUGGCGGCACUGCGGCGAUUCAGGGAGGGGCGGAGGUGGCUGGCGGCGCUGCAGCGACUCAGGGAGGGGCGGAGGCAUUUUGCGGCGGCAGAUGUCAACGGCGGGAGAAGGACGUAGGGACGGAGAAAAUGCAGUGACGCUGUUGGGGGAAAUAUUAACGACCCCUAAAGCCCAUUAAAGCAACAAUCAUAAAAGCCCAGGCCCACCUAAGGUAAUGAAGAUUGCCGUCGGCCCAGCAUGGGAGGGGAGAGCCCCGCUCCACCUCGCCCGACCCAGUGCCCCGGGGUCAGACACUCCCGACCCCUUGAUGGCCGGACUCCGCCUCGCUCGACCAACGGACCCAGGGUCGGGAGUGCCCGACCCCUCAUCGCAAGACUCCACCUCGCCCGACCCAGGGCGCAGGGGGUCAGACUCACCCGGGCCCACCAGACAAGUAUCCACCUCGAGCGCGGAUCUCGUGGGGCCCCCUGUCAAUCUCGCCAUAAAUGCAUCACGGCUCUGGCGCGCAGAAAGACGCUCGCACCCCCGACGCGACCCGCCACGAGUACCCAUGCACGACCACACAGCACAGGCUACAGUGGUCGCGGCUCUCUCCGAUUCGCUACAGGACACUCAUGACCUGGGACGCCCGGAAUAGGAGGAAGCCCCGCCCGUUCUCGCGCCCCGCACAUCCAGCGACAGGGACGCGACGUCCGCAUUCCGCGAGCCGUCAGCAAGAUGGCAGGAUCAGCCGCCUUCCCCGACGGGCACAGAUGCCACGACCGAACACCAUCAUCAUGCCUGGCAGCAACAGCCACCAAGGAAAUCAUCGACAGGACUCGAAGGCAGCCACCCUCCUCCGGCGGACGCACUGACAGGAGCCGAAGGCCGGAGAGGACGCCGGUGACCUGGGGACUUGGUCCCUCCCCUUGUGUUGUAUCUUACUUGACUUAGCUUAUCUCGUUUACUUCUCCUCACAUCCGAUCUCGCUUGUAACUCUAGUAGCCUCCUUGCGCUAUAAAAGGAGAACCGGGGGCCUUGAGACAGGGGAGACUCUCGAAAGCUAACAGAACACACACACACUCUCCUUCGGAGCAUCAGUGCACACCCAAGAGACUUGGGACCAAUUCCCUCUCUCCCGCUCCUAUAACCCCUACUACAGACCCCGCGUGAGAAACACAAGCAGCACCCCAUACUGGACGUAGGGCUUUCCCUUGCCCGAAUCAAUCUAAACUCCAUCCGAAGCCUUACGCGCAUAAAAGAAAUUCACUAGUCUUAGUCUUGAUCCGCUAAUCUUGACAACGUCAGACGCAGGGUGUGGCGGCGGCAGCGUUAGAAGGACGCAGGGAGGGGACGACACAUGAAUGUGAAGUGGCGGCGGAUGGUGACGCUGGAGCGAGGGUUGCACGCGGAGAAAAACGGAUGGAGGAGGAAGGUUGUUUUGCCGCAUUUCAUGGAGGUGACGGAUCGACGAGGAAGGCGCUGACUGCGCGGGAAAACUGACGGACGAAAAACACCGAAGCGAGGGACAUCGCGCCGCGGGAGGACGACAUACCACAAAAUUGUGUCCAUUUUCCUUUUCAUAUAGUAGAGAUUCGAAAGGGAAAAUAUUUGUUGUUAUUUUUCUUAUAAAAAACAUUGUACUUAUUAGGUAUUUUUCUUUAUCGAAAACACAUCAAUUUAUUUUGUGUAUGUCUAAGAAGCAAACUUUCCCAUAUGUAUUUCAACACAUUGUAUUAAUCAUAUAAAAACACAUUAUACUAAUCAUUUUUAUCCAAACCACAUCAAUUUUUUUUUGUAUAUGUCUAAGAAGAAAAAUUUCCCAUAUGUAUUUCAACACAUUGUACUAAUCAUAUAAAAAGCACAUUUUACUAAUCAUGUACUUUUUAUGCAAACACAUUCAUCUCUUUUUUUUACCCUAGCACAUAUUUUUAGAAUCGUGCCAAAGCAUGAAUUUGUAUAAUGAUAUACCCAUGGCAAUUGGACUAAACAGGAAAGCUAUUAUUUUUCCUUGCUAAUUACUGUUUCUCCGCUAUAUAACUUUCUUUUUUGCUGUGUUUUUUUGGAUUAGUUCAUGGGUUAUUGUUAAUGUAAAUAUAUCUUUAUUGUAAUCCCAAAAUUUGUACAUGUAAGUUUAAUGUAUGGACUUCCGGUAACAUUAAAAUCAGCCAUAACGGGCCAGGUGACCUGUUAGCUAUUGGGUGUGGGACAUGAAUUUUUCACUUAUACAUGUGACCACAUGAGCUAUCCCAGUCAUUCAUUUUUGAAUCAAUGGUGAGAUGGAUCAUGGGUAGAUAAUGAAUUUUUCACUUAUACAUGUGACCACACGAGCUAUCCCAACCAUUCAUUUUUGAAUCAAUGGUGAGAUGGAUCAUGGGUAAGUAAGAAGUACAUGGAGUAGAUAGUGGAUCAACGGUUGGAUGCAGAGAAAUCAACGGUUGAGAUAAUUCAUGUGGUCACAUGUACAUGUACGUGUAGUUUUGCAUUUUACAUUGCGUGCGUGACAUUAUCAUACAUUGGGCACAGAUGCAAAACUUCUUGUUCUUUUUUAAUUAUAUAAUUCAGCAAAAAAACAACAAACAGAAAAAUUACACAUACAAUAUUUUGACAUACAAUAAAGUUAUAUAGGACUUAAUAUUAAAUUCCUUCGAUACAAAGACAAUGACAACCAAACCUCGUAAGUUUUACCUUUGUUGGUUGUGCAUUCGUUCAAUAACUAGUCUCGUACCUCCUUGGCACCAACAUGAGCGGUGCCUUCUUUUGGAACGCUAGGCUCCCUGCCUCCUGCAUGCUUAUGUCCUCCUUCGCCACACCCUCAGGGAGUUCCCAAUCAAAACAGUAUAGCAGGUUGGCCAAUGUGAACUCCAUGUUACUCACAGCCAUGGCCAUCCCAGGGCAAAUCCGGCGACCUGAGCCGAAUGGAAUGAACUCGAAAUGUGCACCGUUGAAGUCUAUAUUUGACCCUAUGAACCUCUCAGGAUUGAACUCCUCUGGAUCUUUCCAAAUGUUAUGGUCCCUGCUGAUUGCCCAUGCGUUCACUAUAAUUCUUGUAUUUGCCGGAACAUCAUAGCCUGUGAUAUUAACUUGCUGGAUGGUCUCCCUUGGAAGUAGCAGAGUUAAAGGAGGGUGCAGCCGGAGGAUCUCCUUCACAACCAUCUUCAGAUUCUUGAGCUUGGACACAUCAUCACGCGAAGCCCUCUGUUUCCUUCCUACUACAGCUCUGAUCUCGUCCUGUACAUUCUUCAGCACCCUCGGGUGUUGGACCAUCUCUGACAUCGCCCACACCAUGGUAACGGCGCUUGUGUUAAUUCCGCCGACAAAGGUAUCCUGGGAGAUCAAGAAGCAAAAAUCUCAAAUUUUGUAACUGGCAGAAGUAAUUUACUGUCCUCGAAAAUGUGUCAAGAGGUACCAAAAUAACUUGGAUUUGGUAACUGAUAUGAGAUUCUAGGUAUGCCUCCCAAGUGUUACUAGUUACAUGUCUUGACAUAAGGCAACAAAGCUCAAGCUCAAUUAAGAUCGUGAUGCAUUUAGACAUAACUGUUAACUGAAAGCUCAGACUUACAAAGAGCAUAGCCUUCACAUGGUCACGGGUGAAAGGCACAGCAACACUUCCCUUGUCCUUCCAUAGCUCAACGAGCGCUUGCACUGGGUCUGAUCUGCAGUUUUUGUCAUCAAGCUUGUUGCAAGAGGGGUUGAGGUGCUGAUUGAUGACUGCAUCAAAGAAGUCAUCGAGCCUCCUGAAUAUCCUAUCACGACGGGAGAUGAGACCCGUCAGGCGGUCGAUGAGGCGUCCAGCAGCGUUGGGGAAGAAAUCCUCGGCGGAGAAGCUGCCAAGCAUGUCCAUCGCUUCACUGAGCAUGUCCAGGAACUGCAUCUUGAAAUGCUCCGUGCCAUAGAUUUUCCCGAACACCACCGUGCCGAUGAUGCCGUCCACGGCGCUGAAGAUGUGCUCGUCGAGCUUCACCGGGUUUGGCCCGGCACGGGUCAGGUUUUCAACAAGCUUGUCAACCUAACAAGUGUUUGAGACACGUAGGUAAUACUUCAGAAGCUUCACAGGUUUUGCUUCCUCACUGUCAUAAAUUAACCCAAUACCUGGGCCUCCCUGGCGUCCCAGGCAGCGUUCACGCGGCGCAUGCUCUGCAACUCGAGGAUGAAUAGCCUGCGCAUCUCGCGAACAUGAUCGCCAUAGGGGGCGAAGGCGACGUCCUUAAACCCGUACGUGAGCCGCCGCGCCCCCGGCAUGGCCGGCCGGCUGCAGCAAUGCGCAUCGUGCGUCCUCAUCACCUCCCUCGCCGCCUCCGGCGACGACACCACCACCGUCGGCACGGAGCCCAGGCGCAGCAGCAUUACCGGGCCAUGCUGCCUCGCUAGCGCCCACAGGCUCCGGUGUGGCAGUGCGCCAAUCUGGUGCAGGUUGCCGAGGAGGGGGAGCUUCUGGAGACCCGGCGGCAGGUGCAGGCCGGCUGACGUGUAUCUGUUCGACCUCCUUGACCAGGAGAGGAGGAUGGAGACGAGAGCAAGGGCAACGGCGACGAGUAGGUAUCGCCAUUGUUGGAGUAGAAUACAUGGGAGCAGCGCCACAGUCAUUCUUGUUUGUGUGCGUUCACGUGUACAUUCGCACGAGCAGAGAGAAUUAGCAGCGACGUCGAGGCAACAACGUCACGUAGCGACGGGCAAGAUUGUAGGCGUCGACUUGUAGUCAUUGUCAAGAAAGGUCACUUGCAAAAGUGACAUUUUUUCGUAUUGUUAUUGUCGUCCCGAAGCAAGAGGUCGCAGCGCUGUGAUAUUUUCAGCAAAAAGGAAUAAUAAUAUGGACGGUUUCUGAAAAUUUUCAGUGUUAUACAUUUAAAAUGGAAAAUUUUCAAUAUGGCAUGUUUUUUAAGGAUGGCCACUCAUUUUUUUUAUGAUGUGACAUAUAGGAUAUCACGUAUCUCGAUUGUACCAUCUGACCCACCCUUUUGCCUCUUCAAAUGCAUCAAACCUUUUUAUAUGAUGGAGAGUGGAUGUAAAUCAUGUCUUAAUUUAAGAGACUGUCUAAAGUAAAGAGCAUUGGCAAAAAAAAACUUAAGGCAUGCCUUGAGCUUUAGGGGGUCCCAAAGAAAAGUGAAAAAAAUAAAAGUAAUAGCUGAGAAUUAUAGAGUUCUUUUUUUUGUAUAGUUAGUUACUUGGUUAGUUAGCAAAUGGAAGGAUUACAUCAGAAGGUUAUAGGGGUAUAUAUUUGAUUAAAGGAAUAGAAAGCAAAAAGCUCUCCCAAGCUGGAAACGUAAUAAGUGGAUGUCUUUUUCUUAGAGUAAGUCAUUUUUCCAUUCAAGAAUGUGAAAUGCUCACUCAGAAGAACAGCUAGUAGGCCAAUAUCUGACCAAUUUCCUAGUUUGCGAUGUGUUCUCACUAAUUCGAAAGGUCGAUGUCACAGAGUCAAAUUUGCCUAAAUUGUUUUACAAAAAUGCAGUACUCAUGUGCUAACGUAUAUAACAACAUGCUACACAUGUAACUAUGUAAGCGUUGUUAUAUCCCAAUUGUAUCCGUUGCUACUUUGCAACGCUUAUGUGCAGUGCUUACCAACGCAUAAGUCUACGUUGCAAUAGACCCUUGCAACGCCACUUCUUGCAACAUAUAUUAUAUGCGUUGGUAUAUAGACUCUUACAACAUUUAUUUGGACUUCUAGCAACCCAUACACUAAUGGAAAACACGUCUUUAGUCCCGGUUGGAUAUGGUCAUAGAUCCCGAAAAUCCGACCAGGACUAAUCAUUCGAGACAAAAGGGGGAGAAGGGGAGGCACCGGUAGAGGAAGCGCCUAGAAGAAGAUAAGGUGGAGAGAAGGAGAGCGCUACAUGGAAGAUGGUAAGAAAGGUGGAGAGAGAGGGGGGCGCGUGGAAAGCUCCCCUUUUGUCCCGAUUAGAAUUUCCAACCGGGACAAAUGGGGGGCGUCGGUGCCAGAUUUUUUAACCGUUACAACCAGGACUAAAGCGGCUUUAGUCCCGGUUGGUCUUUAGUCCCGGUUGAUCUUUACAACCGGGACUAAAGCUCCUCCCGUCGGUGGCCUUCGUCGGUGGCCUUCGGUGCCUCAUUUUUUAUCCGGGACUAAAGAAUCCGAGUCCAAAAUCAAUUGGGGUAAACGCACCAGGAUGGAAGGUCGUACGACACAUCACAUGGCCAUACAGUAGUACAUACCCAUAAACUUUCAAUAUUCCUGAUGGUCAUGUAUUUUCGUGGCUGCCAGCAAGGAUGGUGACGGAUAUUUGUUUUCCAAACAGGUUUUCUCUAUUAUGAACGGUCUUUAUCCGUUGAGAAAACUGGUUUCUGAUAGAGAUACACGGCACCAUCUCCAGGAUCUCCCCGGAUUGCCUGUGUGGUACCUCCAAUGAUGACAAGGUGUCCGCCCUUGGCCCAUCCAUGCCACGCGUUGGUCCAUGGUAUAGAUUUUUUUUAGGAGUUGGGACCGUGAAUGUGCGGUGCUAAGCGAAGGCCAGAUGUGUGACCAGCCAGGGGGGCGGCAGGGUGGAAAUCCCAUUCGAGUGCUAUCAAGGCAGAGAGCACUAACCUCAGCAGUUUUCCGUACCAAUGCUAUCGGCUCGUCACCACCAGCCCAAAUCAUACAUGUACGAUAACGUAGGCAUUGGUGGCCACCAUGGGGAUCGAGCGUGGGGCUUAAGAAAUGAAUCGGUAUUUUUUUUAGAAAAAGAAAUAUUUCCGACCUCUGGACCGCACACAUAGCUAAGUUUACAGCAUUCUCGGUUCAAAAGCUCAUGAAAAAAAGAAAAAGAUGUAUAUAUAUAAAGGAAAUAAACAAAGCAUAGUCUACUAUUGCUUCUCCAUCCAUUUUUGGAAAAGAUAUCCAAAGCGACAAUCUCAAACGCUUUACUUGCUGAACAGAACAUAUAGUUUCCGAAGAGCCCAAAAUCGCAACCAAUAUGCUCCCCUAAAAACAGUCUGCAUAAAAGAGGCAAAACGUUUUGUCGGAUUUAGUGACUGGCAGUUCACCAGGGGUUACCCAGGUGGUAGAUUUGUAGGCGGGGGAGAUCGCAAGAUCAAGAACUCGAAUGGUAACACAAAGACGCAAGGUUUAGACAGGUUCAGGCUUCCGAAGAGUAAAUACCCUACGUCCUGUAUUCUGGUGGAUUGUAUUACUGGUAUGAGACGCGAAGAGUCGAUGUCCAGAUGGGUUGAGGUCUGUUGGGUUGAGGUACCCUCAGGGGGCGUCCCUAACCGUCUUAUAGGCUGACGACCUAGGGUUACAAUCAGAUAGGAUCUAGUCAGUUGUUACAUGGAAAGUAAUCUGAGUCGGAUUACAACAAGUAUCUAGUGAGAUCCGGGCAGAAUCCGUUCGCCCAGCCUCCGAGGUUGUGCUCCACGCAUCUUCAUACCUUGGCCCGCAUGGCAUGGUCGGGUGGACCCACCUGUUAGCACCGACCAUUAUCCUGGUCGAUGGGAACCCAUGAGGACCCUUAUCCCUUAAGCUCACAAGCAAUGUGGAGUCAAACAGGAGCCUGAUGGAUGAGCAACGAAGCUUGUAAUGCACUCGUCUAAAGUUGCGGUGUCAUCAUAGAAAUGGAGAGGCUGCGCAGUGCUAAAAAAAGAAGAAAAAUUGAAGAUUCCACGAGUGUAUGACCAAAUGUGCAUGGCUAUGUGACUGCCGAACUCCGGAUGUCUAGCAUCCUGUAGAUCGAAGGGAAGCACAUGGAGGGCAUAGAAAAACGCACUCCAUAUGGAGUAGCCCCCGAGCAUUGAAAUGAUUAAAGUAAUCGGUCCAAUGGUCAAGAAUCUGAUGUAUUAUUUCCAUCGUAAAAGGGAUCCAAUUAUAGCACCUAGCCACCGAGCGCGAGGGCUGGCGGAGCCGCGGGAGUAUGCCAACCUGAAGUAGGCGCCCCGCCCCCGAGCGCGAGGACUGGCGGAGUCGCGGAGGCACGCUAAACUUAAGUAGGCGCCCAGCCCCCGAGCGCGAGGACUGGCGGAGCUACCAAGGCAUGCCGACCCAAAAGCCAACCUGAAGUAGGCGGCACAACCCCCAAGCGCGAGGACUGGUGGAGCCAUAGAGGCACGCCGACCUGAAAGCUUUGAAGUAGGCGCCCAACCCGAGCGCAAGGACUGGCAGAGCCGCGGAGGCACGCCGACCUGAAAUAGGCACCCAGCCGUCGAGUGCGAGUACUGGCGGAGCCACGGAGGCACGCCGAGUCAUCUAUAGUGCCCAGCCCCUGAGCUUGGGAGUCGGCCGAGCCACGGAAGCAUGCCGAGUCACCUUCCGCCCUGAGCCAGAGAGGUCGGCCGGGCAAUGAGAGGCACGCCGAGUAGUUUCGGAGCUGUAAAUGGACAAUAUAAAGAUUAUGUAGCAUAAUGCAAAACAUUUAAUAAUUGAAUAACUCAUAGUUUUAUUCGGCGUUGAAGUAAAUUCUUGCGCAUCUUAGUCUUGGAGGCCAUAUAAUUUCCCCGAGUAGUUAGCCCGUUACAUUUAAGCACCUGACCCUACUAAGGUGUUGCUGAGAGUGGGCUCGAGCAUGCUUAGCAGGAAGCAACACAUGAGGGCCAGGCUUCACGGAUUAAGGUGUGUGCUACCCGAGUACUUUAGCAACUGUUAAGAGAGACGAACAAGCCGCAAAGCAGUCAGAACUGUGCUCAAAAGAGAAAGCGUGCACUGGGCACUUGUAGGGCGCAGCCCUCGACUGCCUAUUUAGUGGACGGACCAAGUUGUAUAAGCAGUCGGGGGUGUGACCGAAGUGUUCGGCGGAAGUCACAGAGACAUAGAGGAGCGAGACGUAUGAAGGUAUACGGAAGUCAUAAAAUAUUUAAUUGAAUAUAUAACUUAGCUUGAUUCGUGGUCGAGUUGGAGAGUCAGCGUCAUGCCUGAAAGGACCGCCAUCGGUGAACAGUUGUUGACAAAGCUGAUUUCGGGUCCGAGUGGCAGGAGUGGUUAGUGGUGCUGGUUGCAGGAGCAGCGUGCAUGGCGAAGUAGUCAGGGCCAUGGUACACCAUAGGUGCCGCCGACCACACGAUCCAUGCCUGGCUACAGAUGUGGGUAUUGCUUUAACCCUACAAGAUGGUUCGUAAUCGAGCAAGGCUCCAUCACGCUAUACAUGUAAGCGCACGUUAGCUUUUAGGAAUUAUUAGAUGACUAAAAAUAUGUAGUGGCCGAUGGAUUUGAUUGAAGAAAAGAACAAGAAAUUGAAGAAGGGAAGACGUGCUCCCUGUGAUGUAUGUUCUUGUACGUAGAUGGAUUUUCCAUGGCCGCAUGCGGUAGCCAUGCAGGUAGUCGUGGAGAAAACGCCAGCCGAACGGGGAUGGACGAAUCUUUCUGGACCCUUCAGGUGCCCAUUGAAGCGUCCCCACAUCAGCGGAGACUAAAUGUGAUACAAAUAUCAGUCUUAGGAGGCUGAUAACACAUUUAUUCAACAGAUGGUUCAUAAACUGUACAACUCCCAAGGGAGUGGGCACGAAAGCCACGCCGAAAUGAUAAGUAAAUAAACAACAACAGCGAGCCAAGCUAGUGUCAAGAGGUAGCAUUCAGGACUACACGGCAGCGGAAGCAUUCUGUAAAGUCCAACACCACAGGCAGCGUUGGGUGCGGAAGCGACCUUCUACUCAAAAUCCUCGGCGAUGAAGUCCGAGUCUUCCUCUAAAGCAACAAAACAAGGGUAAGUACAAAAGUACUCAACAAGUCCAACCCCAUCCAUGGAGGGGGAUACAAUCAAGAAUAUGCACAGGAUAUAUCAAGGAUAAGGCUCGUGUUUAUGUGCCAUAAAGCUAGGUUUUUCAACACAUGCAGGGGUUCAUUUUCAAAAGGGUUUUCAAAAAAUAUUUUCUUUAUUAACCGAAUCAUUAGGUAGGGUUGAUCCUACACAAAGGAUCCAAAUUUUCAUGCUACCAGACUCCCCAUCCGCGGUAGCUCACGGCACAACUGUCGGACACUUCCAAAAUCCAACUCACAUCAUGAAAACCAUCCAUCACCCAAACACUAGUUAUGUGUCCAAGACGUAACUCAUCCAAUACCGUGGACAUGGCUACCCGGAUAGGUUUUAACUCUGCAGAGGUUGUACACUUUACCCACAAGUAGGGUACCGUAGCAUGAUCACCUUAGUGUCGGUGCAGAUCCUAUCAAAGCCAUUACCCACCUUAGCUAAGACUGACUAGCUAACAUGGAAGCAACCAAGGGGUUAACAACCUACCAACGAGGUCUUAACCGGGAUCUAAGUUCACACAGUUUUUAGUCCUUCUCCAUGGUCUCCCGUUUCUCACCAGCUCUCCUGAUGCCUAACAGAUCAGCUAGUGGGAUUUAUGCUAAGCCGGCACCCACACAACGGUCGAGUGGUUGCACGAUAGUUGGGUUAGGCAAGAUGGCACCUCAACUCGGUCCUUAACUGUGACAAGAUGGAUAUCUCCCAACCUUGCUCAACCACAAAGGUACGAGCCCAACUUAUUGGCAUUUCACACAAAAAACACCCAUCCAUCUCAUCUAAGCAUUUCUUUUCUUUAUUUUUGAAAACCCAUUUUUCUCAUUUGAAAACACUCACAUAUUUAUUCUUUAAAUAAAUCAUUGUAGUCAUGAUUGAAUUGGGUAACAAGGUCCUAAGCAUUCUAGCAGUAAUUAUCAUCUAAACAGAGCAAAUCAUAUUUACAGAUAAUUAUAGGACACUCAAGGAAUGUUCAUAGCAAUCAAGGGGUGGCUAUCCAACCAUGUUUCAGUAGUAAAACAAUAUGCAAUUUUGUAAAACAAGCCAAUAGGUGGUGUUUGAAAAACUAGGAUAAAUAUGCAUCAAAGGGUGAGAUUGGACUUGCAUUCCUCGUAGUUGGCCGGGAGUUCUUGCUCGCGGUGCUGGUCCUCGAGCUCCGGCUCACGGUCAAACCCCUCCUCAAGAUCCCCCUCGGGUACUCCACGAUCUAUGGCACACACAAUCAGGCACACAAUAAAUAAAAGAAAAAAAUAAGAUUUUACCCGUUGAGCUCAAACAGAGAAAGCGAACGAAAAAUAGGAGGAAUGAGUAUUUUCAUGGAAUUUACAGAUGACUCGGCGGGAAUAUAGUAGAGGAUGACAUGGUCGAAUUUGGGAUAAAUUGGAGAAAGUUUAGCACAUGAAAUGAUGAGAUAAUUGUGUGUUUAAGGGUUAAAACAGGGCUUAGGGGCUUAUCUGCGAGGAACCAGGAACUUGUUUGUAAAUAUUCUCGGAAGGUGGAAGGGCUGUUCUGUGAAAAGAGUAUGAGAAAGGUGGGAGGAUUAUUUUGCAAAUAGGAGAUAGCAGAGGGUUAGAUCAAAAUUGGUGGGUGUUUUUCUCUUCUUCUUCUCGGUUCAGGAACAUAGGGAGAUGGGGAGGAGAUGGCUGGCGGCGAACGGCCGGCCGGGCCUCGCCGGUGGCGAGCCGAGUGGCGGGGAAGGUAGAGGAGGGUGAGAGGGUCCUAUUUGGCCCCUUACCUUGGACGGGCGGCACCAGGGAAGGGGGCGUGCCGGUGGUGGCUUUGGCGGCGGCGGGCGGACGGCUUGGCGGUGCGAGCGUGGCGGGGGAAGGGCGGAGAACUGGGUGGCGAGGGAGGUCAGGGCGUCACCCCUUAUGGCGCCAGCGGGAGGGGAGGGACCGGCGGUGUGGGGGUCGGGGCCGGUGCAACGAGCGGCGCGGGGAAGGGCCGGUGAUGGGGAGAAGGCCGGCGGGGCUGGCGAGAGCUCGGGGCUGGUGGGGAACGAGGUGCUGNNNNNNNNNNNNNNNNNNNNNNNNNNNNNNNNNNNNNNNNNNNNNNNNNNNNNNNNNNNNNNNNNNNNNNNNNNNNNNNNNNNNNNNNNNNNNNNNNNNNCCAGGAGGACCUACUGUGCGGCGUAUAGAGGCGUUGUCCGGCCAAGGCGCUAGCUGUUCGCAGCUAGGCGGCAUGCGUGAGCAACCAGGGAAGAAAGGAGGAAGAAGGAAGAAGAAGAAUGAAGAAAGAAAGUGAAGGAAGAAAAAAAAAAGAGAAAAAGGAAUAGGGAAAAGGAGAAAAAGAAAGGGAGAGUCGGUGGUGAUUGCAGAAAACGGUUGGAGUACGCGCGGCGGUUUGUCGACCGACACGCGGCGGAAUUUGCGGAGAGGAUAAAAAUGAUGGCUAUCGGCUUUGGGUGCCGGGACGAUGAAAUCGCCAGGAAGAUGGGAUUUUCGGGAGCUCAACGGUAAAAAAAAUUUGAAAACAAUUUUUAGCGGGUGAUUUAAAUUGGUGAUUUUUAUGGAUGUUACACCCAUCAAGUCAACGUAGAUGAAGUCCUGGGUGGCGACCAGUUUGGUGUAGACAAGUGCAAAUCAAGUCGGCGUGUGUCAAUGAUCUUGGAUUGAUGCGGCAAGCCCGGUUUCUUGUAGUAGCGGCCGUCGUGUUGACCCAUGGCGUCGAGUGACGCCGGCAUGUUUAGAUCAGAAAGAAAAAGAUCAAUACGUGAUUAACUUGCACAAAACAAGAUCAAUCUACUAACUCCAUCAUGAGGAACAAUGCACCCGGAUUGUAGGAGUAGAUGUUGACUACCACUAUCAAGGUUGCUAAGAGCAACUCCAAAAACUUCCUUAAAAUUGUCCUAAAACCUUAUUUAGGGGGAAAAACUUACCUCCAAACAGCUCCCCCUUUUGUUCAUUAUUGAGGACUAAUGGUGGUCACCCUUGGAUGAUGAGUGAUUGACAACGUUGUGUUGGAUUGAUGUUGCUCUUGACUUGUGAUGUGUAGGUGUAGGAUGAGACAUGGCAGCCGACGGCGUGCGGUGAAAGUCAAGCGAAAGGUUCAUGCCGAUGGACUAAGGGCGGUGAAGGAUGAACGCGAGUAGGCUUGGACCGAUGGACCCGAGGAGUCCGGACGGAGUCAUGGACGAUCCACAUGCACGGAAGGGUGAGAGAACAUGACGGGAUGGAGACGGCAUCGGUCGAGUCGAGCGGGAGGCUUAGCGGAGGUUGGACACGCGUCGACAUCAAGGAGGUUGCAUGGCGGCCAAGCGGAAAUGGACGGUUUGGGUGGUUUGGGCCUCAAAACCAUCACGCAGGCAGGUUUCCCGGUUUAGGCCUCAAAAUCGGGGGCGAGCCUGGUGCGGCCGGAGCUUCGAGAAGGAGCGCACAUGGCAUCAUCGCUAAGCUUGUGUCGAGGCGAAGCAAAGUCGUGAAGGUAGCGUGUCCGUCCGAUGCGCCAAUAAAAAUCUGGACCAAAAUACCCCUACGUGGGCGGUUAUCUUAGUAGUAGCAGUAGGGGUAGUUUCGUCAUCUGCCAUGGACUGUAUAUAUGGUUGGAUGGCAGGUUAGUUCAUGACCCUUGUUAGAAACCCUAAUUUUCAUUUUUGCUUAGAGGCUAGUCAAGCGCUUAGAGAGAGGGGAGAGAGGGAGAUGAGGGGUGAUUGCUUUUUUCUCUUGAUUUCUUCAUCUUAGUGGGUGGAUGAAGGAAGGAGGCUAGUCCUCAUCUCGUAAAGAUGAUGUCCUCAUGAUUUAGCUGUGUUUGAUGUCUCGAUUCGUGCUAAAUCUUUAAUUCCGAGCGUUUUUCUUUUUCGGUAUUUUCGGAACUAUUUUCGAGAAUUUUUCCUUUUUUGCGUUUCAAAUCUCAUGAGAUUUGUUAGGGGAAAAUGUUGCUAGGACUCUUGUGAACAUAUUUGAUAUGAUCCUCCAUCAAAUCCCCAUGAAUUUGGCUUGAAUUUGAGUUUUCACCAAACCGUGUUCUUCGUGUAGGGUUUCGAUUUUUUCCAAAAUCCGUACUUGAGCUUUUUGAGAUCUUUUCCAUGGAUCUAUUAGCCUUUAGGGUUGCGCAUGUAUGGCUCAAGUUUUAUCUCGAUUCAUGGAGUUUUGAAGGAGUAUUUUUCGUUUGAAGUUUAGUGCUUUGUUCUUGGGGUUCUUGCGUGUUCUUCUGUUCUUCCUCGUGCAGGUAUCGGAUGCAAGCGCACGCGCGAUUCACGCGGUCAGGCGAAGCAGGCGCACCAGCACGUGUACGCGGCCCAGGUGGGGAAGCAAGCGCAGCGACCCAGGCAGGCGUAGCAGGCCUAGCGCGAGCUUGCGGCCCAGCACCGCACAGGCAAGGCAGGCCCAGGAAGCAGAAAGCAGGCGGCCCAGGUCAGGGAUCGAGCACAGGCCGGCCCAGGCAGAGAGCAGCAGGCCGCGCGUGGGAGGCCCAGCUAGCAGGUGGAGCAGGCCGCGUGCACCAGGCCACCAGGGAGACAUCCGCCAAGCACAGUGAGCUCAUUCUUUUGGUCUUCCGUUAAUUCUUGCACUUUGGUUGUUAAUCACUUAAUCCUUGUUCAACUGCUUUAGCUACUUAUUUUGAUCUCUCAUUUGCUAAUCAUGCUUAGCUCCUUAAAUUAAUCAUUUUUCCUUGCAUGCUUAGUUGAGUAAGUAGUCAGUGGUUGUCUGGUUGAAUCUCGUUUGUGCAAGUUUGAUGGAGUUAAUUUAUGCUUUGCUUCCGUUAUGAUUUAAGCAUUUUUAAUUGUUCCUAGGGUGAGCUUGUCAUGAAUUGACUUAUGUCAUCUUGGCAAUUAAACGCAAGGUGUGUUUUGGGGUGGAAAUUGGACAUAGUUCUUAUUCUUCGAGAAGAAUUUUAAAGGCUCCCAUUCACCCUCUCUGGUCGUCCGUCCGGUCCUUCGAUUGUUAUUAGAGCCGGUUAAGAUUUUUUCAUACCCUAAUCGGUUUCAAGAUCCAUUAUAGCGACCUCUGAGCGUUCUUUCUCGACCAUUGCAUAAUCCGUCCAGUCCUUCAGUUAUAAUCGCGUAAACAUUCUAGUUGACCUCUGGCUCCUGCUAUUGCCGACGCACGAAGAGAUCGUCGGUGGAAGAAGCCAUCGCGUCGAGCCGCCGAGGAGUUCGCCGCCACCAAUUCAGUCGUGAUGCCGUGCGACUGCCACCUCUACUGCUGGCAUCCGGACGACACCGCAGCGUUUCUAUCACGCCAUAGCCACAAUCAGCACCUCACACGCCGCCGGCUGGUGCUUGCCGUCAGAAACUGCAGCGCUCUUUGCUGCCUGGAUGCGAACUGUUUUUAGAUGGGAACGGUGUGGGAAGAGGGAAGAGAGUAACACGUGUGCUCGACAGGCAGCCCGUUCAUCGAUCCAUCUGAUCCGGCCCGGCCCCUUGAGACAUCGAUUUCUCUCUUUGGCUGCCUCUCCAUCGAAAAAACGACGACGAUCCGUCUGGCGGGACGAGAACGACGGAGAUAGCAACGUAUUCCACUAACUAGCGCAUGUGCGCGAAAACGAGAGGAUUGCCGAGGCGCGGCGACAGCAGCCACAUGCGUGGGCUCUCGUGGCUCUCGUCUCCGAUUGUCGGGUUGCGGGGAGGGGAUGAGGACCGUGGUCCGAGCGGCUUGUGGCGUUUACACCAGAUUUUCAAUGAAAUCACGGGGACCUCAUCAGGACAUGCACCAAAAGAUCCUCUUGUGAAAACUGUUCAGCAUGCAAGUCACGAGGGAUCCCAUCAUCAUUUUGGCCAAUUGCGUGACCAAUGAAAGCACAAAUAGGAAGAACUUAAUCAAUUACAAAUAACUGUCGAAUUAGGAUCAAUGGAGAAGGUUAUUACGAAACCAGAUCAAGGUGGAUAGCAUCGUUCCUCUCAUCGCUAACCUAUGAACGAGCACACUCUUACUCCAAUCAGCACCUGUUGGCUACCACCGAAGAAAAAACAAACUGUUGUUCAUUCAUUUCUAGAAUAAAUCCAGACAAAUUAUAAGGGUACCUGUGUUGAGCCUAUGACUCUGGUGCUCAUUUUGCUUUCAACCUGAAAAUAACUGUCUGCCGAGAUUUCCUUCAAAAAAAAACUGUCUGCAGAAGAGACAAAGUUGCAGGGCGUGCCAUCUUCAUCAAACCGACAGGUAGAUCUGAAUCCAUGAUAAUAUCAUGUCCGGCUAACUGUGUGGAGGAAAUUAUUGUAGGCUCUAUAUGUGUUACAUAAGACAAUGGCAUGACACCUGAGACAUGUAACUUAUUAGACAAUAACCUCUAUUUGGACACAAAUUCCCUGAAGAACUCAUGAGGAGAUUUCGUAAGAAAAUAACCGUUAAUUGUUAGCUACUCUGUUACUUGCGCGUUAAGGAUAAUGAUAGCUUUCAGUGUCAUAUCGGCCGGGUACUUUCGGCAAUGUGACCUUUUGUCAUUUCAUUAUACGUUUUUCCUCAACUUUGUCAUGAAUGGUAAGCCUGUAGUUUUCUUCUAUUUCUAUUUGAGCAGCGUUCCUACAAGGCCUUUUUCGUGGAGAAAAUAUUUUAUAUGAAAUACCCUUAUAAGGUUGGCUGUGAGAAAACCUUCAGAACUUUUACUUGCACAACUAUAACUAGCAUGAAAAGAAGUAAUCCUAGAUACAAAUCUUGGAAUACCACCUUGACCUAUUUCUGCAGGAAUUUGCCAAUGGUUCAAACAGAUACACCAAUACAACAAAUAUAGGAAUUAAUAGAGGAAACUUUGGUGAAACUUUAGAUUGAAAACACGCAAGAUUUUAAGAGGUGAAUGUUUGGACAUGCACCGAGAAGAGAAAAAAUGAGGUUCGAGUUUGUGUCCAGCUAAAUUCCUAUGAAACUUUCGCAAACAUCAUAACGUUAUAUAUAUUGCACUAUCUUGUGCAUUACGCCACACUAUGAUACGUCGUCAUGUCGUCGUCACUCUUUUCUCUCCUGCCUAUAAAAGACAGAGGCCACAAACCAACCAUGGCACAGCUCCACAGCUAGCUCUCAAACCUUCUUAGAGCCAAGAUGGCCAAUCCCUGUGGCCCUCUAGCAGUGCAUCUGCUCAUCUGUAUCGCUUUGAUGCUGUUUGCCCACCAAGUUGCUCCAGCUCCGGUGACUCGACGCUUCAAGUGGGACGUUGAGUACAUCAUGUGGGCGCCGGACUGCCAGCAGAGCGUGAUGAUCGGGAUCAACGGUAAGUUCCCCGGGCCGACGAUCACCGCAAACGCCGGCGACGUGAUCAGCGUCGAGGUGACGAACAACCUGCACACUGAGGGGAUCGUCAUCCACUGGCAUGGAAUUAAACAGGUGAUUGCAUCUAUAAAUUAAAGUCUAUAAAACCUUAUCAUGCAAAACGAACUUACUGUUAAAAGCCAUUUAACGAGACAACAACGUGGGUAUGUUGGAAGGAUAACAACAUGUUAGCAUGCAUCCAAAAUGUGCAGAUCGGGACACCAUGGGCUGAUGGGACCGCGUCGAUUUCCCAGUGCCCCAUCGAGUCAGGGGGGAACUUCACCUACGAGUUCCUAGUUGACAAGGUAAUCACAAAUCAACCGCUCUCCAAAUCGAUAAAACAUUUUACCUCCAGCUAGUCUUGACUGAUUCGUGGUGAACGGAAACGUUCGUCGUCGUUGCAGCCGGGAACUUUCUUCUACCACGGCCACUUCGGGAUGCAGAGGGCGGCGGGGCUCUACGGCUCGCUCAUCGUGAACGCCACGGACAAGCAGCCGGAGCCCUUCGCCGCCGAUUACGACGGCGAGCACAGCAUGCUUCUCAGCGACUGGUACCACGAGAACGUCUACGCGCAGGCGGCCGGGCUCGACGGCAAGGACAAGCACUGGCAGUGGGUCGGCGAGCCCCAGGUGAUCCUAGCUAUUUAACUAUCCUUCCCAGUGAUUUCGUAACUCGCCUUCUCACUGAAUGCCUGAAUAAUGUAAGUACUGACGCCCGUAUGCCGCCGCAGACGUUGCUCAUCAACGGGAGGGGCCAGUUCGGGUGCUCUCUGGGGAUCACCCGUGACCGCAGGGCCUGCGACAGGAGGAAGAAGGACGCGUUCUGCCCGGAGGGCGACAAGAGCGAGCGGUGCGAGAUGAUCCGGAGAAGCGAGUGCGGGCCCUUCUGCGAGGGCACCAAGUGCUCGCCGGUGGCCUUCGACGUCGAGCCGGGGAAGACGUACAGGCUCAGGAUCGCCAGCACCACCUCCCUCUCCGCUCUCAACGUGCAGGUCCAAGGUCACAAGCUCACGGUGGUGGAAGCGGACGGCAACUUCGUGGAGCCGUUCGAGGUCACCGACAUCGACAUCUACUCCGGCGAGAGCUACUCCGUGCUCCUCAAGACGGACCAGCGACCAUCAUCCUACUGGAUCUCCGUGGGCGUGAGAGGGCGAAGACCCAAGACGCAGCCGGCCCUGGCCAUCCUAAACUACACCAACAGCAAACCCGACAGCUGGCCGUCGGGCGUGACCCCGGAGACCCCGGCCUGGGACAACGUGACGCGCAGCAAGGAGUUCACGUACCGGAUCAAGGCCCGGGCCGGCACCGCCCGGCCGCCGGCGGCCGUGGACCGUCGCAUCACCAUGCUCAACACGCAGAACAGGUUCAAGGGGCACAUCAAGUGGGCCAUCAACCACGUGACCCUCUCGCUCCCGGCGACCCCCUACCUGGGCGCCUACUUCUACGGCAUCGAGGACGUGGCGUUCGACGCCACCGCCGAGUCGCCGGACACCUACGACCGGAGCUACGACAUCGAGAAGCCGCCGGACGCGCAGGCGCCAGAGGCCAUGGCCCCGACGACGGCCAGCGAUCGGGUGUUCCGGAUCGCGAGCGGCGCCGUCGUCGACGUCGUGCUCCAGAACGCGAACGCGCUGGAGGCCGGCGUCAGCGAGGUGCACCCAUGGCACCUCCACGGGCACGACUUCUGGGUGCUGGGGUACGGCGACGGCGUGUACGAGCACGAGAGGGACUCGGGGAAGCUGAACACGGCGAACCCGCCGCUGCGGAACACGGUGGUGCUGUUCCCGCACGGGUGGACGGUGCUCCGGUUCGUGGCGGACAACCCCGGGGUGUGGGCGUUCCACUGCCACAUCGAGCCGCACCUCCACUUGGGGAUGGGCGUCAUCUUCGCCGAAGGGAUGGAGAAGCUCCGGGAGCUCAACGUGCC
rnacentral:lncRNA from 1 species